AGAAUGAGAUGCCAUUCUGCUGCACAGCAUCCCAGCAACUAACACUAGCGCAUGGAUUACUGCAAACAAGAGUUCGAGUGAUGUGCAAAACAAGAUUUAUGUCAGGUUGGUUCAGCCAAUCAGUGAACAGAUGUGACUAAUAAUAUCAGCUGAAGCAUUUGGACGAGCAGCAUUUAAUGCCUUCUGAGACAUCUCUGCCAUCAAUUUCUCAUCACCUGUACAACAAGAAUGGUCAAGGAAACAUCAGUUCGAAGACAUGGAACAAGACAACUGGGACGAAAAAUGUCAUAAAUGCACAAACGAUCAAGAAUAGCAGAUUUCAUGCAAGUAGCAAAAAAAUAGAAAACAUCUGCAUUCAUCAGUGUCAUCAGAUAAUUAUGCAUGCCACACCACCAUCGCUCCGCAGGGCGCUGAGGUCUGCCCCGCUGCUGGUGCCCUGGAUGAUAUUGAAGCAUAGGAAUGCAUGUGUCUUCCGACAAUAUGACUCCGUCGCUCGACGAGCUCUUGGAUAUGAUCAAGGAUGAGAUGAGGUGCUGGGCUAGAGCCGGGGACAAAGGGCUUAGGGUAGUCUUACCCCCAUCCUGGGAUGUCCAUUAAACCCCCUAUAACAAUGAUGUAACCACCUCCUAGGAGGCUGUGAUCCCCCUUCUUUUCAAUACAAAGAAACGCAAGGCUCUUUGCGUUUUCUCGAAAAAAAAUUAGUGGCAGUCUGUACCACACCGGAGGAAAGGGGUAAAGGGGAUCAGAUCGGGGGUGAGAGGCAGAGAGGAGAGGGACGAGACUUGGAGGAGAAGGUGGGAUUGCAGAGGAAUCUUAGGUAGGUUCAGAAAAGUCUCAUACAACACACGCACUCUCGCUGCCACAUGCGGCUGCUUUAUAACCCCCACGCCCACGCCCACUCCUGAGUUGCCUGCUGGCAUGCCAGGUGUAGCCAGCUGUGACAUUCUCCCCUCCUUAAGCAUGAUCUUCGUCUUGGGCACCGUGGUCUUCUUGGUCCCAGAUGGUCGCCGUCGGAAAGCGCUGUCGAAGCACCUCAUAGUCCUCCGAGGUAGUGGCCGGAUGUGUGCCAGCGCCUCAUUGAACCAUGAGUUGCCCAAUCGCGACGUUGCCCCACUUGGUCAUGCGCCGCUCCCGGAUCAGUGUUGGAUCCGUCGUCGAUGUGGACAGAUCCAGAACGCUUGGCAGCUCGGCGAAGACCGGGGUGUAGUCAGGCGUGAACGGCUUCAACCGGGAGACGUGGAAGACGGGGCGCACCCGACUCGUGGCUGGCAGGUCCAGCUUGUACCCCAAGGGCCCGAUCUUCUCCAGCAUGGUGUAUGGCCCGAAGAACUUGUACGAGAGCUUGGCGCAGGGGCGACUGACGACGGACUUCUGAACGUACGGCUGCAGCUACUGCAGCUACAGGAGGACCUGCUCCCCCACGUCGAAGUGACCCUCGGUGCGGUUGUGAUCAGCUUGCUUCUUGAACCGCCGCUGCGCGCACUCCAGCUGCGCCUGCGCGGUGUGCGCCGCCCAGUCCAUGUCAUCACCGACGGACGCCUCCGCCGGCCAUGUUGCAUUGGCCCCCAGAUUUGCUCGUAGAGUACUUUGAAGGGAGUGCAGUUCAGGGACGAAUGAAAUGUGGAGUUAUACCAGAACUCCGCCAUGGGCAGCCAUCGGCGCCACCGGCGUGGUGGUCAGGUCCUCCCAUGAAGCUGUUGGGAUGGCUGCCACCGGCGUGGUGGUCAGGUCCUCCCAUGGAGCUGUUGGGAUUGGCAGGGGUGCCAGGAGCCCCGUCGGCUUGGAGUGUUCGUGCUUGGCCUGCUGACAGGUCGACACUGUUGCACGAACUCCUCAACGUCCCGCUCCAGUCCGCACCAAUCGAAGUGCUUGUGCAUUCGCUGGUAGGUCGCCGUGGAGCCAGAAUGCCCGCCCACCGCGAUGUUGUGCAACGCGGCAAUGAGCUUGGUGCGGAGCGCGGUGUUGGCGCCGAUCCAGAUGCGUCCGCCGCGGCGAAUGACGCCCCGGUGCAGCUCAUAGCCUUCGGCGUCGGGGCUGUGUCGGGGUACGGCACCUAUGGGAUCGCGUGGAUCCCUUUACGGUUCGGCAGGGAGAGAGGGGUGCACCAAGAGCAGAAUCAACGAUCAACACGAGGGGGAUUUUACCCAAGUUCGGGCCGCUGAGAAGCGUAAAACCCUACAGCAGCUAGGUACACUAACAGACCCAGAAGCCUCCCUUUCUAAGAGUCUAAAAACCGGAUCCCCUUUGUAGCUACGCCUUGGGCCUCCUUUUAUAUGUCAAAGGGGUCACCAACAGUGGCGAACAGGGCACACACGGGAUGCACAGUUUCUAGUGUUUACUGACGUCUCAAGACAAACGCAUUAAAUGCUUCGUCAGGCGUCCUUGGCCUUCUGCGGGGCAGGGACCCGUCCCAUCGGCACCGCUCAACCCCCUCCAUUGCUAGUGCCUUGACACGUAUUCAGGAGGAAUGACAGAUGGUUGCUGCGCUGGAGCGGUGGCAGGUUGGUGGGAUCUUGCCGGGUGCACGUCUUGCCGGAGCUCCGCUAGCUACCCCGGCAAGGAUCUUGCCAGGAUCCCAGCCUUUGGUCUUCUAUCUUCUGGUUGUUGACUUGGAUGUUUUCUUGACAUCUUCGUAUUUGCCUUCAGCUGUCCCCCGGCAGGCCUUGCCGCUGGCGUGGCUACAACUGCCCGUGCACAAGUAUGGGGUACUAAAGACCCAAACUUUAGUACACCGACAGGAGCCCCUGGGCCUAGGCCAUUCAUGGGUGCGAGGCGUUGUUGGGCUAGGCCCAAACAGUGCACGGGCACGCGUGGCAGGAGUCUGCGGUUGUAACCAUUUCAGUUACUACGCGCCACCUCCAUCAACCACGCCACCCAGAGACGGAUCUUUGGCAAGGGCUCCCACCAGCGCAAGCACAGGGGCCGGCAAUCCUACAUCGGCAACCGAUGUUGCCAGGAAAGGAGCAACCACCUCUCAACAGCUUGGCGCAGGUAAACCGUUUGCCCAAGAGUACUCGUCAUUCUGUCUUUAUAUCUUUUUGUCUUCUUGAACUUCUAUCUUGGUCUCAUCUUGUUCCCCUUCUUUUGGUUUUCAGAUCUCCCUCUGAUGGAACAUAUGGAUGUCGAUGCCGUCAUCCAGGAAAUCGCCAUCGAUGCUGCCGCUGAGGCCGACAGAGUUGCCGCUGAUGAGGCCGCCAAGGAUGUACAGGAGGAGACCACCAAGGAGUCCGCGGAGAGGGCCGGCAAGGAGUCCAGUGACCAUACUGACGGCAUUCCUGCCGCAGGAGCGCCAGGCGCUACGCCGGCCACAAAGCCCUCAGUUGCCGGUGGGGCGGAUAUUGAGGAUCAAUCGACAACAUCCGAAGCCCCCUCUUCAAGCUGAUACCUCGAAGUUGGCGAGAACCUAUUCAUCAGCAUGCCGGGAGCGGCAAGCGCUAGGGUGCCCACAGAAGGAGAAACCUUUGUCGAGAAAUCACCACUGCUGCUGGGCUCAAAAUCGUUGGCGAAUCAAGAGCUGGCAGCAACAAAUCCAAGGAAGAACGGCUCCUCCAAACUAUGAGCGACAACUUCCAUCAUCUCCAGGCGCUCCACCGUGCCCGGAAAGAGAAGUUGGACUCUAGGGCAGCAGUCGUUGAAGCAGCGGAGGUGGAUUUCCAGAAGCGCGUCGGGGAAACACAAGCCUGGUUCGCCGAAGCCUUUCAAGAGCUGAAAUCUGGUAGGGAACAGCUGAACGAAGACCGGAUCGAGCUCCUCUUGAAGCAGUCUAACAUCGAGAAGGCGCAAGAGGAGGCCUCGCAACAGGCUGCUGCAGAGGAAGCCCGCCUUACAGAGCGCAGCGUCUGGCUGGAUGCUUAUGAAGAGGAUCUUGCCGCUCGCGAGAAGGCGCUCGCCGACAAGCUUCGCAGCAAGGAUGAAGAAAUCGAGAGACUUGUCGUGCAACGAACUCAGGAGCUGGAGCAGAAGCAUAUGGGAAUCCUUGCGGCUCAGGCCACAGACCAUGCCGGCAAGCUGAAGGAAGCUAUCGACAACGCCGAUGCUGCAGAGGCCGCCAAGAGCGAGCUUGCCGACAAGGUAAAUAGACUGGAGAUCGAUCUUGAAGGUCUCGGCAAGGAGAUCUCGACGCUCAAGGCCGAAAGAGAGAAGACUCUCUUUAGCUUGGCGGAGAUGCAGACCGCCGUAUCCGACAAGACCACACAACUCAACUCAGCCAAUGACUCCAUUGCUGAUCUGAAGCUGAAGCUGACCACAUUGGAAGAGACCCUUGAGAGCAGCAAGGCUCGUGAAAGGGUCUUGGUCAAAGAUCUCCAGGAUGAGAAGGCUCUGCUCGAGAGUGCCGCCGCUGCUCAUGAUGACUAUGUGGGAGGCGUGAAGAACUGGACUGAACGCCUUGCCAAUGCCGCGGAAAGGCUUACGGCACAGCUGUCCACCAUGGGCCUGCAAAACUUCGCCUAUUCUUCCGACGAAGGGAGAUCUCCGAGCGCCAGGUUAACUCUGUUCUUUGAUAGCAUGAUUGAUGCUCUGAAGCAGCUCCACUCUGGUCAAGCAACCCGUCUGGCCAACGAAUACCGCAAACUCUGUCGGGCCGUCCUCCUCAAGGUGCUCACCAAAGUAGUGCACAAGAACCCCGGCAUCAACCUCACCAACGUGCUUGGCCGCUUGCCGAAGGAUGUGGACCUCAAGGUACUCGAGGAGCUUGUCAUGCCCAUCGUCGACAAGGUGGGCCAAGUCAAGAGGGUUGAAGGCCAGCGCAGAAAUUAGCCGCUCCACUUCUUUUUGCCGCUGCCAUUCCAUGUCAAAGAUAAUUUUGUCUUAAGUUAGAAUCGCGGCAACUAUUAAUGUAACAUAAUUGGCUGUGUUUUGAAUGAAUGUGCGCUAUCCUUCUUGUAUGAUUUCUUCCUGUAUGGUACAUGGCCUUUGCUUUACUAGAAACCUGCCGGUGCGCACAGCCCUGCCGCGAGCGCUUCGAGGAACGGAUCCUUAGCAGCCUGCUGGAGGUGUCGCUACCGGCAAGAUACCUUGGUGCAAUGGAAACUUGUCGGUGCGCACAGCCCUGCCGUGAGCGCUUUCAGGAACGGAUCCUUAGCAGCCUGCUGGAGGUGUCGCUACCGGCAAGAUACCUUGACGCAACCAGUGCAGCCACUUAAGUAGUUGAGCAGGCUCGAAACAAAGUAAGGGCGCAACCGAUCAUAACAAGGUUCCUUCGCAUGCGGGUUUUGCAUACAGAAGUCGAAAUCGUCCAAGGAAAAUAACGUUACAGUUCAAAAUUUACUUGAGUUUUUGCAACUUAGCUUUUUGUUGUUGUACUCCUUUCUGUUGAACAUCGCAUGUUGGUGUCCAUACCCUCAUCCCCCGGCAAACUCGUAUGCGAGGGAACCUUCUAUCCUUUGAGAAAAAGAAAGAAGAGAAAAUAGGGAUAUGGAACCUUGGCGGUUCGUUAGUACUUGCUAGAAAUAAGCGUAAUACAAUAUCUCAGACAAACGUUCAUAUAAAUAAACAUGAAAAUCAACAAGAAUUGUGAAACGCUUAAUUUUAUUCAACUACGUACAGGGUGUGCGCCUGGCUUUGCACAAAGGAUUACAUGCCUUACCGGCAAGACUUGUGCAAAAGGUGGUUGCCGGGAGACCCGACAACCGCGCCUUAUGGAUAGAACUUAAGAAGAUGCUCAACAUUCCAGGAGUUGCUCACCGGAAUGCAUCUUCCGUCUCCAGGCGGACUGCUCCAGGCUUGGUGACUCGUACUACCCGAUAAGGGCCUCCCCACUUCCGCAUCAACUUGCUGCGAUUCUUGGCCGACUGAACGUGCCAAAGAACAAGGUCGCCUUCCUCAAGACUUCGGGCUUGAACCUUGCGGCUAUGGUAGCGGCACAAGGCUUGCUGGUAGCGUGUAGCUCGCACAACAGCCUGAAGACGGUCUUCCUCAAGGAGCGUAGCGUCAUCUUGCUGCAACUACUCUUGCUCAAGCUCGUCGUAGGCGAGCACUCGAGGCGACCCGUAUAUGAGUUCCAUGGGGAGAACUGCCUCCAUCCCGUAUACUAGGGAGAAGGGUGUCUGGCCGAUGGCUCGAUUUGGUGUUGUUCUGAUUCACCAAAGAACCGCCGGCAGCUCGUCUGUGCCCAUGCCGGAGCCUAAGGCUCGACGGCAAGGACUAAAGGCAUGUCCUCUGCUGCGGGAGCGUUUGUCUCUAUGGAAAGGACUCGAGGUCCUGCCGGAGCCUGUUGCUCCCCGGCAGGCUUGGUGUUGUUCCCGGUAACUUCCUUGCCGGCAGGUUCUGGUGUCUUUGCGGGAAAGUACUGGCCANNNNNNNNNNNNNNNNNNNNNNNNNNNNNNNNNNNNNNNNNNNNNNNNNNNNNNNNNNNNNNNNNNNNNNNNNNNNNNNNNNNNNNNNNNNNNNNNNNNNUUGAGAUGAUGGUGAUUGUCGUUUCCUCCAUUCCCAUUGCCAUUCUUAUGACCAUUGUGGUUGUGUCCAUUGCCUCCAUGCUGAGAAUGACCACCAUGGUUAUGAUGGUUGUGCCCUCCAAACUUACUAGGUCCUCAAUCGGAAUAUCCCGAGAAAGGUGCGGAGUGGGACUUCUGCCGAGCUCCAGACUGAAACUUGCCUUGACCAUAUUUCCUCUUGUGGUUCUCCAUCUACUGAUGCUUGCCUUCCAGAGUAAUAGCCUUGUCCACUAACUCUUGAUAGUUCUCAAAAGUCGCUACCAUCAACUGAACUCCCACCUCAUCGUUCACUCCCUCCAGGAAUUUCUCCUGCUUGGCUCCAUCGGUGUCCAGUCACUUGGUGAAUAACGAGACAACCUGUUGAAGUCCUCAUCAUACUCUGACACUAAGCAACCUCCCUGGUGCAAGUCAUGGAACUCUCUCUUCUUNUCUCCCACCACGAAGCGGCUGGUCCGUCCAGUUGGUGAGAGGCAAACCUCACCUUCUCCCGACCAGUGCAUCCUGCUAUGGCCAGCUUCGUACCCCUGUUGCGAAGCCAGUCAACUGCGACGAUCGACUCCGAUAUGCUCGUUAAGAUUGGUGGGUUUAGCCUUAGAAGGCUAUCAAUUGGUGGUGCAGGUGGAGGUGGAGGUGGGUUGUUGUUUUGGUUCAUGUUCUGCAUCNNNNNNNNNNNNNNNNNNNNNNNNNNNNNNNNNNNNNNNNNNNNNNNNNNNNNNNNNNNNNNNNNNNNNNNNNNNNNNNNNNNNNNNNNNNNNNNNNNNNUUGAGAUGAUGGUGAUUGCCGUUUCCUCCAUUCCCAUUGCCAUUCUUAUGACCAUUGUGGUUGUGUCCAUUGCCUCCAUGCUGAGAAUGACCACCCUGGUUAUGAUGGUUGUGCCCUCCAAACUUACUAGGUCCUGAAUCAGAAUAUCCCGAGAAAGGUGCGGAGCGGGACUUCUGCUGAGCUCCAGACUGAAACUUGCCUUGACCAUAUUUCCUCUUGUGGUUCUCCAUCUGCUGAUGCUUGCCUUCCAGACUGAUAGCCUUGUCCACUAACUCUUGAUAGUUCUCAAAAGUCGCUACCAUCAACUGAACUCCCACCUCAUUGUUCACUCCCUCCAGGAAUUUCUCCUGCUUGGCUGCAUCGGUGUCCAGUCACCUGGUGCAUAACGAGACAACCUGCUGAAGUCCUCAACAUACUCUGACACUUAGCAACCUUCCUGGCGCAAGUAAUGGAACUCUCUCUUCUUNUCUCCCACCACGAAGCGGAUGGUCCGUGCAGUUGGUGAGAGGCAAACCUCACCUUCUCCUGAUCAGUGCAUCCUGCUAUGGCCAGCUUCCUACCCCUGUUGCGAAGCCAGUCAACUGCGACGAUCGGCUCCGGUAUGCUCGUUAAGAUUGGCGGGUUUAGCCUUAGAAAACGGGUAAGGCUAUCAAUUGGUGGUGCAGGUGGAGGUGGAGGCGGGUUGUUGUUCUGGUUCAUGUUCUGCAUCNNNNNNNNNNNNNNNNNNNNNNNNNNNNNNNNNNNNNNNNNNNNNNNNNNNNNNNNNNNNNNNNNNNNNNNNNNNNNNNNNNNNNNNNNNNNNNNNNNNNCUUUGCCUAUUAUAAGAAACUGUUUUGGCCUGUCCUUUGCCAAAAAAAGGAUUGGACUACCUUGAUGGGCCUAUCUUUACUAUUGCUACUUGUCACUUGUUACAAUUAUCUUGCUAUCAAACAACUUGUUACCGCUAUUUUAGUGUUUGCAGAAAUUACCUUGCUGAAAACCGCUUGUCAUUUCCUUCCACUCCUCAUUGGGUUCAACACUCUUACUUAUGGAAAGGUCUACGAUUGAAACCCUAUACUUUUGGGUCAUCACUACCCUAGAUGCUUGGCAGAUAAGAAGGCUGGCAUUGUCAACAAAAGUAUAUUUGAUAUACAUGUUAUUGAUGUGUGCCUUACUAGAGCUCGUUGUAGCUCAUGGGUAUUUGAUACGGUUUAGUUGCUAAUAUUAGUGCAUCGAAACACGAGUUGCGGAAUAAAAUACAGGCUAGCUAAGGGUGAGGUGUAGAUGUGUGUUGGAAGUGUUUCCAAGGUUGAUGUGAUCACCAUCAGACGCUCCAUCUACCUUCAGGAGUAGUGAUAAACCUAAACAAAUGUUAUUUGCUGUCUGCGUUGAGCAUGAACAUUAUAUUGAUUUUGUUUAUUGUGACACAAUUAUUGAUGUAAGUUAGAUAAUAAUGGGUUAUUCUAUUUACAUGAAUAAUAUCUUAUAUGACCAGGCACCCAAGUUGAAUGGUUUAUUGAAUCUCGAUCGUAAUGAUAUACAUGUUCAUAGUAUUGAUGCCAAAAGAUACAGAGUUAGUAAUGAUGGUACCACUUACUCGUGGCACUGUCGCUUAGGUCAUAUUUGUGUAAAACGCAUGAAGAAACUCCAUGCUGAUGGAUCUUUGGACUUGCUCAAUUUUGAAUCGCUUGGGACAUGCGAACCAUGCCUAUUGGUGUAAGCGCAUGAAGAAACUCCAUGCCGAUGGAUCUUUUGGACUCACUUGAUUUUGAAUCGUUUGAGACAUGCAAACCACGCCACAUGGGCAAGAUGACUGAAGGACUAAUUUUCCAGUGAGAUGGAACAGGCAAGUGACUCACUGGAAAUGAUACAUUUUGAUGUAUGCAGUCCAAUGAGUGCUGAAGCACGCAUUGGAUAUCGUUAUGUUCUUACUUCACAUAUGAUUUGAGUAGAUACGGGUAUAUUUGCCUGGUGAAUUACAAAGUCUGAAAUGUUGGAAAGUUCAAGCAAUAUCAGAGUGAAGUCAAAUAUCAUCGUGACAAGAGGAUAAAAUGCCUACGAUGUGAACGUGGAGGUGAAUAUCUCAGUUACAAGUUUGGUAUACAUUUAAGACAAUGUGGAAAUUGUUUCACAGCUCAUGCCACCUGGAAUACAAUAGUGUGAUGGUGUUCGUACGUCGUAGUCAUGCCCUAUUGGAUAUGGUGCAUACUAUGAUGUCUCUUACCAAUUUGCCGCUAUCGUUUUGGGGAUAUAUAUUAGAGAUAACCUCAACAACAAUAACAACAACCAAGCCUUUCAGUCCCAAACAAGUUGGGGUAGGCUAGAGUUGAAACCCAUAAGAUCUCGAAACCAAGUCAUGGCUCUGGAACGUGGAUAGCUAACUUCCACGCACCCAUGUCCAUGGCUAAGUCUUUGUCGAUAUUCCAAACCUUCAGGUGUCUCUUAACGGACUCCUCCGAUGUCAAGUUUGGUCUUCCACGACCCCUCUUAACAUUCUCAGCACGCUUUAUCCGUUCGCUAUGCACCGGCGCUUCCGAUGGCCUCCGUUGAAUAAGUCCAAACCAUCUGAGACGAUGUUGGACCAGCUUCUCUUCAAUCGGUGCUACCCCAAGUCUCUCUCGUAUAUCGUCAUUCAGUACCCGAUCCUUCCUUGUGUGGCCACAUAUCCAUCUCAACAUGCGCAUAUCUGCUACACCUAACUGUUGGAUAUGUCGUCUCUUGGUUGGCCAACACUCCGCGCCAUACAACAUCGCAGGUCGGAUAGCUGUCCUAUAAAACCUGCCUUUUAGCUUUUGUGGCACUCUCUUGUCACAGAGUACGCCAGAAGCUUGGUGCCACUUCAUCCACCCAGCCUUGAUUCGGUGGCCCACAUCUUCAUCGAUAUCGCCAUCCUUCUGCAACAUGGACCCCAAAUAUCGAAACGUGUCUCUCUCCAGUACCACCUGCCCACCAAGGCUAACCUCUCCAUCCUCGUGCCUAGUAGCACUAAAACUGCACCUCAUGUAUUUAGUUUUAGUUCUACUAAGCCUAAAACCUUUCGAUUCUAGAGUCCGCCUCCAUAACUCUACCUUUCUAUUAACCCCCGUUCGGCUAUCAUCGACUAGCACCACAUCAUCCGCAAAGAGCAUACACCAUGGGAUAUCUCCUUGUAUAUCCCUUGUGACCUCAUCCAUCACCAAAUCAAAAAGAUAAGGGCUCAAAGCUGACCCUUCGUGUAGCCCUAUUCUAAUCGGAAGUCAUCGGUGUCGCCAUCACUUGUUCGAACACUUGUCAGAACAUUAUCAUACAUAUCCUUGAUGAGGGUAAUGUACUUUAUUGGGACUUUGUGUUUCUCCAAGGCCCACCACAUGACAUUGCGAGGUAUCUUAUCAUAGGCCUUCUCCAAAUCAAUGAACACCAUAUGAAGGUCCUUCUUUUGCUCCCUGUAUCUCUCCAUCAGUUGUCGUACCAAGAAGAUGGCUUCCAUGGUAGACCUCUCAGGCAUGAAACCAAAUUGGUUUUUGGUCACGCUUGUUAACCUUCUUAAGCAGUGUUCAAUGACUCUCUCCAAUAGCUUCAUAGUAUGGCUCAUCAGCUUGAUUCCGCGGUAAUUAGUACAACUUUGAACAUCCCCCUUGUUCUUAAAGAUUGGUACUAAAAUACUCCGCCUCCAUUCUUCGGGCAUCUUGUUUGACCGAAAAAUGAGGUUGAAAAGCUUAGUUAGCCAUACUAUCGCUAUGUCUCCAAGGCCUCUCCACACCUCGAUGGGGAUACCAUCAGGACCCAUCGCUUUGCCUACUUUCAUCCUUUUUAACACCUCCUUAACCUCACACUCCUGGAUACGUCGCACAAAGCACAUGCUGGUAUCAUCAAAGGAGUCGUCUAGCUCAAUGGUAGAGCUAUCAACCUCUCCAUUGUAAAGGUUGUCAAAGUACUCCCGCCAUCUACGCUUGAUCGCCUCAUCCUUCACAAGAAGCUGAUCAUCUCUGUCCUUGAUGCAUUUGACUUUGCCGACAUCCCUCGUCUUCCUCUCCCUAAUCUUGGCCAUCUUAUAGAUGUCCCUUUUGCAUUCCUUAGUGUUUAAACGUUGGUAGAGGUCCUCAUACGCCCGACCUCUCGCUUCACUCACCGCCCGCUUUGCUGCCUUCUUCGCCACCUUAUACUUCUCCAUGUUAGCUGCACUCCUGUCCAGAUAUAGGCAUCUGAAAUAGUCCUUCUUCUCCCUAAUAACCUUCUGGACCUCAUCGUUCCACCACCAGGUGUCCUUAGCUUCCCUUCUACUUCCCUUGGUCACCCCAAACUCCUCUACAGCGACCUUCCGCAAGAAGGUCGCCAUACUCGUCUACAUCAAGUUUGCAUCGCCUCCUUCCUCCCAAGGGCCCUCCUUAAUGACCCUCUCCCUGAAAGCCUGGGAUGCCUCCCCCUUGAGCUUCCACCACUUCGUUCUAGCGACUUUGGCGCGCUUAUCCCGUUGGACACGAAUCCUAAAGUGGAAUUCAGCAACCACAAGCUUAUGUUGAGGGACAACACUCUCUCCAGGUAUCGCUUUACAAUCAAUGCAAGCGCGUCUGUCUUCUCUUCUAGAGAGGGCAAAAUCAAUCUGGCUAGAGUGUAGACCACUACUGAACGUCACUAGAUGGGAUUCUCUCUUCCUAAAGAGGGUGUUAGCUACAACCAUGUCGUAGGCUAGAGCGAAGCUCAGGACAUCUUCUCCUUCUUGGUUCCUGAUGCCAUAUCCAAAGCCCCCAUGCACCCUUUCAAAACCUGUGUUAGAUGUACCCACAUGGCCAUUGAGGUCUCCUCCUAUGAAGAGCUUCUCACCAAUAGGUACCCUCCUAACCAAGUCCUCCAGGCCUUCCCAGAACUCCCUCUUGGUGCUCUUAUUGUGGCCUACUUGCGGGGCAUACACGCUAAUAACAUUGAGGACUAAGUCCCCAACUACCAGCUUGACAAGGAUCAUCCGGUCCCCUUGCCUCUUAACGUCCACAACUCCAUCCCUAAGGCUCUUGUUGACCAAGAUGCCUACUCCAUUCUUGUUUGAAGUUGUCCCCGUGUACCACAACUUGAAGCCGGUAUCCUCCACCUCCUUCGCCUUUUGUCCCUUCCAUUUGGUCUCUUGGACACAUAGGACAUCAACACGCCUCCUCAUCGCCGUAUCAACUAGCUCUCGUAACUUACCCGUCAGGGACCCUACGUUCCAGCUACCUAAGCGUAUCCUCCUAGGCUCGGCUAACUUCCUUACCCUCCGCACUCGUCGAGUCAAAUGUGAAGACCCUUGCUCAUUUUUCACUACACCGGGGCGUCGGUGCAGCGUGCUACUAAGGAUGCGGCGACCCGACCCUUGCUCACUUAUCACCGUAUCCAUAUCAAGAUACGACACGCCACCAAGGGGGUGACGGCCCGGCCCUUGCCCAUUUGACACCACACUCGGUUUCCGAUGUGGCGCGUCGCUAAGAGGGUUACGCCCCAACGAGUUUCCUUUGGGUUUCAUCUCCAUAAGAGUGGCUAGGUUUUUCACGUUGGCUCGCCACGCCUAUCACAACCCUCCUCCUUUACCCGGGCUUGGGACCGGCUAUGCUGAGACAACAUAGGCGGAGUUACAUUAGAGAUAACCUCAUUCACUUUAAAUAAGGCACCAUAUAAUUCUGUUGAGACGACACCGUAUGAACUAUGGUUUGGGAAGAAACCUAAGUUAUCAUUUCUUAAAGUUCGGGGUUGUGAUGCUUAUGUCAAAAGGCUUCGGCCUGAUAAGCUCGAACCCAAAGCGGACAAAUGCAUAUUCAUAGGAUAUCCAAAGAAAAUAGUUUUGUAUACCUCGUAUCUCAGAUCCGAAGGAAAAUGUUUGUUGCUAAGAACGGGUCAUUUCUCGAGAAAGAGUUUCUCUCAAAAGAAUUGAGUGGGAGGAUGGUGCAACUUGACGAGGUUAUUGAACCGUCACUUCAACCAGAGAGUAGUAGGGCGUAGGAAGAUGUUCCUUUGGCGCCUACACCAGUUGAAGAGGAAGCUAAUGGUGGUGAUCAUGAAGCUUUAGAUCAAGUUACUACCAAACCACGUAGGUCGACAAGGACAUGUACUACUCGAGAGUGGUACGGUAAUCAUGUCUUGGAGGUCAUGUUGCUGGACAACAAUGAACCUACGAGCUAUGGAGAAGCGAUGGUGGGCCUGGAUUCUGACAAAUGGCUGGAGUCCAUGAAAUCCAUGAUAGGAUCCAUGUACGAAAACAAAGUGUGGACCUUGGAAGAACUACUUGAUGGUCGUAAAGCUAUUAAGUACAAAUGGAUCUUUAAAAGGAAGACAUAUGCUGAUGGUAAAUGUCACCAUUUUUAAAGCUCGACUUGUCGCAAAGAGGUUUUCGACAAGUUAAAGGAGUUCACUACGAUGAGACUUUCUCACCUGUGGUGAUGCUAAAGUCUGUUGGAAUUAUGUUAGCAGUUGCUGCAUUUUUUAACUAUGAAAUUUGGCAGAUGGAUGUCAAAACAUUGUUUCCUUAACAGUUUCCUUGAGGAAAGGUUAUAUGUGAUGUAACCAGAAGGUUUUGUUGAUCCUAAGGAUGCUAAAAGGCAUGCAAGCUCGAGUGGUCCAUUUAUGGACUGGUGCAAGCAUCUCCGAGUUGGAAUAAGUGUUUUGAUGGGUGAUCAAAGCUUUUGGUUUAUACAGAGUUUAUGAAGAAACUUGUAUUUACAAGAAAUUGAGUGGGAGCACUAUAGAAUUUUUGAUAAGUAUAUGUGGUUGACAUAUUGUUGAUCGAAAAUGAUGUAGAAUUUCUGGAAAGCAUAAAGGGUUGUUUCAAAAGAUCUUUUCAAAGAAAAACCUGGAUAAAGCUACUUCAAAUAUUGGGCAUCAAGAUCUAUAGAGAUAGAUCAGGACGCUUGAUAAAACUUUCAAUAAAAACAUACCUUGAAAAGAUUUUGAAGGAGUUCAAAAUGGAUCGGCCAAAGAAGGAGUUCUUGACUGUAUUGUAAGGUGUGAGUUUGAGUAAGACUCAAAGCCUUGCCACAGCAUAAGGAAAAGAAAGAACGAAGGUCGUCCCCUAUGACAUGUUGUGUACCGCACCUGAUAUGUGCCUUGCCAUGAGUUUAUCAGGUGGUACAAGAGUGAUCGAGGAGUGGAUCACUGGAAAACGGUCAAAAAUAUCCUUAGUUGCUAUAGGAAUAAGGAAAUGUUUCUUGAUUAUGGAAGUGAUAAAAGAGUUUGUCAUAAAGGGUUACGUUGAUGCAAGCUUUGACACCAAUCUGGGUGACUCUGAGUAGCAAACUGGAUUCAUAUAGUGGAUCAGUCAUUUGGAAUAGUUCCAAGUGGAGCGUGGUAGCAGCAUCUAUAGUAUGACAUGGAGAUUUGUAAAGUACACACAGAUCUGAAUGUUGCAGACUCGUUGACUAAAACCUCUCUCACAAGCAAAACAUGAUCAAACCCCAGAACUUAUUAGAUGUUAAUCACAUGGUGAUGUGAACUAGAUUACUGUCUCUAAUGCAAGUGGGAGACUGUUGGAAAUAUGACCUAGAGGCAAUAAUAAAUAAGUUAUUAUCAUAUUUCCUUGUUCAUGAUAAUUGUUUAUUAUCCAUGCUAUAAUUUUAUUAAUUGGAAACUUAAAUACAUGUGUGGAUACAUAGACAACACCGUGUCUCUAGUGAGCCUCUACUAGACUAGCUCGUUGAUCAAAGAUGGUAAAAAUUUCCUAACCAUAGACAUGAGUUGUCAUUUGAUAACGGUGUCACAUCAUUAGGAGAAUGAUGUGAUGGACAAGACCCAAUCGUAAGCAUAGCAUCUGAUCCUAUUAGUUUAUUGCUACUGCUUUAUCCAUGUCAAUGUAUCUUUUCCUAUAACCAUGAGAUCAUGCAACUCCGUGACACCGAAGGAAUGCCUUGUGUGUGUCAAACGUCACAACAUAACUAGGUGACUAUAAAGGUGCUCUACAGGUAUAUUCGAGGGUGUUUGUUGGGUUGGCAUGGGUCGAGACUGGGAUUUGUCACUCCGUGUGACGGAGAGGUAUCUCUGGGCCCACUCAGUAACAGAACAUCUCAAGAAGCUUGCAAGCAAUGUGACUAAGGAGAUACUCACGGGAUCUUGUAUUAUGAAACGAGUAAAGAGACUUGUCGGGAGCGAGAUUGAACUAGGUACGGAGAUACCGACGAUCGAAUCUCAGGCAAGUAACAUACUACUAGACAAAGGGAACUGCAUACAGUAUUGGCUGAAUCCUUGACAUCGUGGUUCGGCCGAUAAAGAUCUUCGAGGAAUAUGUAGGAACCAAUAUGGGCAUCGAUAUCCAUGUCCCGCUAUUGGUUAUUGAUCGAAGAGGUUUCUUGGUCAUGUCUACAUGAUUCUCGAGCCCGUAGGGUCCUCACACUUAAUGUCCGAUGAUGCUAGAAUAGUAAUGGGAUAUGUACAUUGGUGACCGAAUGUUGUUCGAAGUCCCGGAUGAGAUCUUGGACAUCAUGAUGAGCUCCAGAAUGGUUUGAAGGUAAAUAUUUAUAUAUGGGAAGUCAUAUUCAGGGUUGCGGAAAAUGUUCGGGAUUUUUCAGUAUUGUACCGAGAAGGUUCCAAAAGGUUUUGGAGUGGGGCCACCUGCAUGGGGACCCACAUGGAUGUGUGUAGUGGGGAAAGUCCCCACACCCCUGGUCUAGGCGCAUCAAUAUUCCCCCUUAAAAGGAAUAGGAUCAUAUCCCAAAAGGAUAAGGUCGAGAUCCCUAAAAGGGGGAUAGUGAUCGGUGGGGAAGGAAAGGAGGGAUUUCCUUCCUCACCCCUUGACCAACGACCCUAGGGGCUUGGAGGGCAAGCCACCAGCCCCUCCCACGCUUAUAUAAAUGAGGGGGGGCACAAGGGGGCAGUAGACUCUCCAACGGCCGUGGCCCCCCUCCCGUCUCUCCCAUUUCUUCCUUGUACGUAGUACCAGAGGUGCUUGGCGAAGCCCUACCGGCAGUACGACACCAGCAUCUCCACCAUGCCAUCAUGUUGGUUGAGAUCAAAUCUACUUAUCCUUCCUAUCUUGCUGGAUCAAGAAGGAGGAGAUGUCAACGAGCCGCACAUGUGUUGAACGUAGAGGUGUCAUCCGUUCGAUGGUGGAUCGGAUUGGAUCAACGCAUUGGAUCGUGAAGAGUACGAGUAUAUCAACCAUGUUAUAUACGCUUCCGCUUAGCAAUCUACAAGGGUAUGUAGAUACACCCCCCUUUGUAAGAUCUUGAUCUCCAUAGAUUGAUCUUGGUGAGCAUAGGAAAUUUUUUUGUUUCCCAUGCAACGCUCCCAAACAGUGGCAUCAGAGCCACGUCUAUGCGUAGAUAAUAUGCACGAGUAGAACACAAAAGAGUUUGUGGGUGGUGAUGUUUGGUACGUACAUUUUGCAUCAUGUUUUUCUACUGUUAUUUAUAGUAUUUUUAUGCAUUAUACCACUUUAUGGAAUAAUUCUAAUGCCUUAUCUCUCAUAAUAUGCUAGGUUUACACCAAGCGGGAGAAUGUCGGUAGAUGAAAUUCUGGACCAAAAAAAGCUAUGUCGGAGAUACCUAAUCUGCACAUCUCCAAAUGGGUUGAAACUCCACGGAGAAUUUUUUAUGGAAUAAAUAAAAAAUACUGGAAGAAAGAAGUACUAGAGGGGGGUGCCAUGAGGCGAGUAGACACGAGGGCACGCGAGCCCCCCUGGCGCGCCGUGGUGGAUAGUGGGCCACCCAACCCACUUCACCGACCAUCUUAUGGUAUAUAUUCACGUUUCACUUGGAAAAUCUAAGGAGAGUACUUUCAGGACGGAGCACCGUUGUCUCGAGGCGGAACUUGGGCAGGAGCACUUUUGCCCUCCGGAGGAGCGAUUCCGGUGGGGGAACUACCUUCGCGCAAGGGAAAAUUGAGGCCAUCGUCAUAACCAACAACCCUCUCAUCUUAGGGAGGCCAAUCUUCAUCAACAUCUUUAACAGCAUCAUCUCCUCUCACAACCCUAGUCCAUCUCUUGUGCUCAACCUUGUAUCGGAACCUCAGAUUGGUACCUAGGGGUGACUAGUAGUGUUGAUUACAUCUUGUAGUUGAUGCUUUGUAGUUUAUUUGGUUAAAGAUCAUAUGUUCAGUUCCAAUAUGCUAUUUAAUACCUCUCUGGUCAUGAGAAUUUUUAUCACUUGUGAGCAGUUACUUUUGUUCUUGAGGCCACGGGAGAAGUCAUGUUGCAAGUAGUCAUGUGAAGUUGAUAUUCGUUCGGUAUUUUGAUGAUAUGAAUGUUGUGAAUCCCUUAAUGGUGUUAUGUGAACAUCGACUACAUAACACUUCACCAUCUUUGGGACUAAGGGAGUUCAUUUUGUAGUAGUUAUUAGAUGAUGCGUUCGAGACUGACAGAAACUUAAACCCCAGUUUAUGUGCUAUUCCUUAAAGGGCUUAUUUGGAUCCCUAUGUUUAAUGCUAUGGUUAGAAUUUAUUCUUAAUACUUUUCUUGUAGUUGUGGAUGCUUCCAGCAGGGUUAAUCAUAAGUGGGAGUCUUGUUCAAGUGAGAACAACACAUCCAAGAACCGGCGCACCCACAUAUCAAAUUAUCAAAGUACCAGAUGCGAAUUAACCCGACAUGACGAAAAUGGCUAGAAGAAAUUCUAGUGUGCCCUUAAGAACACUUUGCCUAUUAUAAGAAACCAUUUCAUCCUGUCCUUUGCCAAAAAAGGGUUUGUCUACCUUGCUGCACAUAUUGUUACUAUUUCUACUCGUGAUUUGUUACAAUUAUCUUGCUAUCAAACAACUUGUUACCACUAUUUCAGUGCUUGCAGAAAUUACUUUGCUGAAAACCGCUUGUCAUUUCCUUUUGCUCCUCGUUGGGUUCGACGCUCUUACUUAUCGAAAGGACUAUGAUUGAUCCCCUAUACUUGUGGGUCAUCAAUUCUCUUUUCUGGUGCCAUUUCUGAGGAGUGAAGCGCCUUUGGUAAGCGGAAUUUAGUAAGGGAAAAUUUAUAUUACGUGCUAAAAUUUACUGUCCUUGUCACUAUGGAAAGUAAUCCUUUGAGGGGUUUCUUUGGGGUAUCUUCACCUCGACUGGAAACACCAAGAGUUGUCCCUCAACCUACUGAACCUACUGAAAAUGUUUGUUAUGAAAUUCCUUCGGGUAUGAUAGAGAAACUGCUAGUUGAUCCUUCUGCCGGAGAUGGAACAAAACACCCCGAUAUGCACCUAAUAUAUGUGGAUGAAGUUUGUGGAUUAGUUAAGCUUGCAGCUUUAUCCAGUGAUGAAUCCAAUAAGAAGGUUUUGCAGUUAUCUUUGGGGGGAAAUGAUUGACAUGGUAUAGGCUAUGGGACAGGAUCUUGGAACUAGAGUCGAUUGCAAUUGGAGUUUCACCAAAAACAUUAUCAUAUGCAUCUUGUUUAUCGUGCUCAUAAUUUGAUCUAUAAUUUUUGGCCUCGUGAAGGAGAGAGUAUCCACUAGCUUGGGGGAGUCUUAUGUCAAUUUUAUAUUCAUGCCCUAAUCAUGAGUUCUCGAGAGAAAUUAUUGUUCACAAUUUUCAUGCGCGGCUUUCUCGUAAUGAUCAAACCAUGCUUGAUACUUCUUGUUCUGGUUCUUUUAUAAAGAAGACUAUUGAAUUCAGGUGGGAUAUUUUGGAAAGAAUUAAAUGCAACUCUAAAGAUUGGGAACUCAACGAAUGUAAAGAGCCAGGUAUAAAACUUGAGUUUGAUUGUGUUAAAUCUUUUUAUGAAUAUGUAUGCCGUCAAUGAUUUUAGCACUAAAUAUGGACUUGACUCCGAGAUAGUAACCUUAUUUUGUGAAACCUUUGCUACUCAUGUUGAUCUCCCUAAACAGACAUGGUUUCAAUAUCAUCCACCUAUUAAAUAAAAAGUUGAAGUACCAAUUAAAGUUGAGGAUGAAACUAUCAGUUACAAUGCUGACACAGUUGUGCCUACUACUUAUAUUGAGAAACCACCUUUCCGUGUUAGGGUAAAGGAACAUGCUAAAGCUUCAACCAUGGUUAAAAAAGUUAUGUUAGAACGACCAAACCCCCUCAGCUAAUGAAGGUAGAACCUAGGAUUGUUAUGGUUAAAGAUCUCUUGGUAGAUAAUAUUGAUGGGCAUGUUAUUUAUUUUUGUGAUGAAGUUGCUAGAAUUGCCAAACCUGAUACUAAAGAUAAAAAUAGACCCGUUGUUGGCAUGCCUGUCAUCUCAGACAAAAUAGGAUAUCAUUGUUAUCAUGGUUUAUGUGAUAUGGGUGCUAGUGUUAGUGUUAUUCCUUUCACCUUAUAUCAAGAAAAUAUGCAUGAGAUAGACCCGCUGAAAUAGAAGACAUAGAUGUCACUAUCAAACUUGCUAAUAGAGACACCAUCACACCAAUUGGGAUUGUUAGAGAUGUUGAAGUCUUGUGUGCAAAAGUAAAAUACCCUACUGAUUUUCUAGUAGUUGGCUCACCACAAGAUAGUUUUUUCACAAAAUAUUCGGUAGACCCUUCUUGAACACUCUCAUUUCUCAAAUAAAUUGCAAAAAGGAAACUAUCAGUGUUAAUUUUGGUGGUAUGUCUCAUGUGUUUCAUUUCUCCAAGUUUGGUAAGCAAACCCAUGACAAAGAAUUGUCUAGUAAAUAUGAAGUAAUUGGUCUUGCUUCUAUUGCCAUUCCUCGUAUGGAUCCAUUAGAACAAUAUUUGCUAGACCAUGAAAAUGAUGCAUAUGCGUGAAAGAAAUGAACUAUAUAAUUUGUUCUUAGAGCAAAAGCCUAUCCUUAAACACAACUUGCGUGUUGAAACUCUAGGAGGUCCUCCUCCACACAAGUGUGAUCCUGUGUUUGAACUAAAGAAAUUACCUAACACUUUGAGAUAUGCUUAUCUUGAUGGAAGGAAGAUAUAUCAUGUUAUUAUGAGUGUUAACCUUAUAAAGCAUGAAGAAGAAAGAUUCUUAAAAACUUUAAGGAAGCCCUGAGCUGCUAUUGGAUAUACUCUUGAUGAUCUUAAGGGCAUUACUCCCACUCUCUAUGAGAACAAGACAAAUAUGGAACGAGAUGCUAAACCUGUUGUUGAUCACCAAUGAAAACUGAAUCCCAAAAUGAAAGAAGUGGUAAGAAUUGAAAUACUAAAGCUUGUGGAAGCAGGUAUAAUUUAUCUGAUAGCUGAUAGUAGAUGGGUAAGUCAUGUUCAUUGCGUUCCUAAGAAAGGAGGUAUUAUUGUUGUUCCUAAUGAUAAAAAUGAACUCAUUCCAUAAAGAAUUGUGGAUGGCUAUAGAAUGAUAAUUGAUUUUAGAAAAUUAAAUAAAUCUACUAGAAAAGAUCAUUAUCAUUUACCUUUCAUAGUCCAAAUGCUAGAAAGAUUAUCGAAGCAUGCAUAUUUUUGCUUUCUAGAUGGUUAUUUUGGUUUCUCUCAAAUACGUUUGUCACAACCUGAUCAAGAGAAAACCACCUUUACUUGUCCUUCUGGAAACUAUGCUUGUAGAGUAUGCCUUUUGGAUUAUGCAAUGCACCUGCUACCUUUCAAAGAUGUAUGACUGCUAUAUUCUCUAAUUUUUGUGAAAAGAUUGUUGAGGUAUUCAUGGAUGUUUUUUCUGUUUAUGGAACUUAUUUUGAUGGUUUCUUAAGCAACUAUGAUCGAGUUUUGCAGAUAUGUGAGCAAACUAACCGUGUCUUGAAUUGGGACAAGUGCCACUUUAUGGUAAAUGAAGGUAUUGUCUUGGGUCAUAAAGUUUUCGAACAAGGUAUUGAGGUGGAUAAGGCUAAAGUUGAUGCAAUUGAGAAGAUGCCAUGUCCUAAAGAUAUUAAAGGUAUCUGUAGUUUCCUUGGUCAUGCUUGUUUCUAUAGGAGGUUUAUUAAAGACUUCUCUAAAAUUUCUAGGCCUCUUACUAAUUUAUUACAAAAGAAUGUUCCUUUCAUUGUUGAUGAUUUGAUUGUGCAGAAUCCUUUGAAGCACUUAAGAAAGCCUUAACUUCUGCACCUAUUGUUCAACCGCUUGACAAGAACUUGCCUUUUGAAAUUACGUGUGAUGUUGGUGAUUAUGUUGUUGGUGUUGUUCUAGGACAAAGAGUUGAUAAGAAAUUAAAUGUUAUCCAUUACGCUAGUAAAACUCUAAAUAGUGCCAAGAGAAAUUAUGCUACCACUAAAAAAGAAUUCUUAGUUGUUGUAUUUGCUUGUGAUAAAUUCAGAUCUUACAUUGUUGAUUCUAAAGUAAUUUUUGAUAGUGAUCAUGGUGCCAUUAAAUAUCUUAUGGAAAAGAAAGAUGCUAAGCCUAGACUUACUACGUGGAUUCUUUUGCGACAAGAAUUUAAUUUGCAUAUCAUUGAUAAGAAAGGAUAUGGGAACCCCAUAGCUGAUAACUUGUCUAGGUUAGAAAAUGUUCUUGAUGACCCAUUACCUAUUGAUGAUAGCUUUCCUGAUGAACAACUAGAUGUGGUCAAUGUUUCUCAUAACACACGGUGGUUUGCUGAUUAUGUGAAUUACAUUGUUGCUAAAUACAUAACACCUAGUUUCACCUAUCACCAAAAGAAAAGGCUCUUCUUUGAUUUAAGACAUUACUUUUGGGAUGACCCGCAUCUUUAUAAAGAGGGAGUAGAUGGUAUUCUCAGACGUUGUAUACCUGAGCAUGAGCACGAACAAAUCCUUCGAAAGUGUCACUCCAAGGCUUAUGGAGUACAGCAUGCGGGAGAUAGAACCACACACAAGGUAUUACAGUGUGGAUUUUAUUGGCCUAUUCUUUUCCAAGAUGCUCGUAAGUUUGUCCUCUCUUCUGAUGAAUGUCUUAGAAUUGGUAAUAUUGGUAGACGUCAAGAAAUGCCUAUGAAUUAUUCACUUCUUAUUGAACCAUUUGAUGUUUGGGGAUUUGAUUAUAUGGGAGCUUUUCCUUCCUCUAAUGGGUAUACACAUAUUUUGGUUGCUCUUCAUUAUGUCACUGAGUGGGUAGAAGCUAUUCCAACAAGUAGUGUUGAUCAUAAUGCCUCUAUUAAAAGGCUUAAGGAAGUUAUUUUCCCACGUUUCAGAGUUCCUAGUGUCGGUGUCACAACCGACAUAUCUCGGGUAGGGGGUCCCGAACUAUGGAUCUCAGAUCGAUAGGUUGCAGGAGAGAGGGGAAGAUGAUGUUUACCCAGGUUCGGGCCCUCUUGAGGAGGUAAAACCCUACGUCGUGCUUGAUUAUAUUGACGAGGAAUGAUGGUUAUAGAUAUGAUCUACCUCAAGAUCGUACGAGCUAAACCCUAGAUGAGAUAACCUGCCUCGACACAUAAGAGCCCCUAAUUUAUAUGGACACCAUGGCCCCUAGGGUUACAUGUUACCGACAUACACCGGGGGUAGAUGGGCCGAAGUGGUCCUUCUGCCUUGGAGUGCACGCCUAGCCUUCGGAGCUUUCCAUCUUGGUUACGAAGUCAUCAGAUAAUCUGUUCUUCAAUGACGCGGCCCAUAUGAUCGGCCCAUAAGGGACAACCCGACUACCCGAGGACCCCUUAAUACAGAACUCCCUCAGUAGCCCCCGAACUAGCCUUCAACACCGAUGUGUAUGGUCUUCGACAGCUGAGCACAAAGACAAAUCGGCUUUCAUGACGAGUUACUGAUACGUCCAUUUUGCAUCAUGCUAUCAUGUUGAUAUUUAUCGCUUCUUGGGCUGUUAUUUCACUUCACGGUACAAUACUUAUGCCUUUUCUAUCUUAUUUUGCAAGGUUUACAUGAAGAGGGAGAAUGUCGGCAGCUGGAAUUCUGGCCUGAAAAAGGAGCAAGUUUGAGAUGCCUAUUCUGCGCAACUCCAAAAUCCGUGAAAAUCGACGUGGAUUUUUUUGGGAAUACAUAAAAAAUACUGGGCCGAAGAAGUGCCACAGGAGCGCAACCAGGGGCCCACAAGCCUAGUAGGCACGGCCACCCCCUGGUCACGCCUAGGGGGCUUGUGGGCUCCCUGCUGGCCCACUGGCCCCCCUCUUCUGCUAUAUGAAGGUUUCGUCUCAAAAAAAUCAGGAGGAGGCUUUUCGGAGGAUUCGCCGCUGCCACUAGGCGGAACUUGAGAAGAACCAAUCUAGAGCUCCGGCAGGACGAUCCUGCCGGGGAAACUUCCCUCCCGAAGGGGGAAUCGUCGCCAUCGUCAUCACCAACACUCCUCUCAUCGGAGAGGACUCGUCACCAUCAACAUCUUCAUCAGCACCAUCUCAUCUCCAAACCCUAGUUCAUCACUUGUAACCAAUCUCCGUCUCGCGACUCCGAUUGGUACUUGUAAGGUUGCUAGUAGUGUUAAUUACUCUUUGUAGUUGAUGCUAGUUGGAUUACUUGGUGGAAGAGUUUAUGUUCAGAUCCUUGAUGCUACUCAUUACCUCUCUGGUCAUGAAUAUGAUUCUGCUUUGUGAGUAGUUACUUUUAUUCCUGAGGACAUGGGAUAAGUCAUGCUAAUAGUAGUCAUGUGAAUUUGGUAUUCGUUCGGUAAUUUGAUGCGUUGUAUGUUGUUUUUCCUCUAGUGGUGUUAUGUGAACGUCAACUACAUAACACUUCACCAUUAUUUGGGCCUAGAGGAAGGCAUUGGGAAGUAGUAAGUAGAUGAUGGGUUGCUAGAGUGACAGAAGCUUAAACCCUAGUUUAUGUGUUGCUUCGUAAGGGGCUGAUUUGGAUCCACUAGUUUAAUGCUAUGGUUAGACUUUGUCUUAAUUCUUAUUUCGUAGUUGGGGAUGCUUGCGAGAGGGGUUAAUCAUAAGUGGGAUUCUUGUCCAAGUAAGGGCAGUACCCAAGCGCCGGUCCACCCACAUAUCAAACUAUCAAAGUAACGAACGCGAAUCAUAUGAACAUGAUGAAAACUAGCAUGACAGAAAUUCCCGUGUGUCCUCGGGAGCGUUUUUCCUCCUAUAAGACUUUGUCCAGGCUUGUCCCUUGCUACAAAAGGGAUUGGGCCACUUUUCCGCACCGUUUCUACUUUUUUUACUUGCUACUUGCUACGAAUAAUCUCACCACACAACUACUUUUUACCGAUAAUUUCAGUGCUUGCAGAUAUUACAUUGCUGAAAACCACUUGUCAGAUCCUUCUGCUCCUCGUUGGGUUCGACACUCUUACUUAUCAAAAGGACUAUGAUUGAUCCCCUAUACUUGUGGGUCAUCAAGACUCUUUUCAGGCGCCGUUGCCGGGGAGUGAAGCGCCUUUGGUAAGUGGAAAUUGGUAAGGAAACAUUCAUAUAGUGUGCUGAAAUUUAUUGUCACUUGUCACUAUGGAAACUAAUCCUUUAAGGGGCUUGUUCGGGGUAUCUUCACCUCGAACGGAAGCACAAAGAUUUGCUCCUCAACCUGCUGCACCUACUGAAAAUAUUUGCUUUGAAUUACCUUCGGGUAUGCUUGAGAAACUGCUGGCUAAUCCUUUUACAGGAGAUGGAACAUCACAUCGAGACUUGCAUCUAAUCUAUGUAGAUGAAGUUUGUGGUUUAUUUAAGCUUGCAGGUUUGCCCGAGGAUGAGGUCAAGAAGAAGGUAUUUCCUUUAUCUUUGAAGGAUAAGGCAUUAACAUGGUAUAGGCUAUGUGAUGAUACUGGAUCAUGGAACUACAAUCGGUUGAAAUUGGAAUUUCAUCAAAAGUUUUAUCCUAUGCAUUUAGUACAUCGUGAUCAGAAUUAUAUUUAUAAUUUUUGGCCUCGUGACAGAGAAAGCAUCGCUCAAGCUUGGGGGAGGAUUAAAUCAAUGUUAUAUUCAUGCCCCAACCAUAAGCUCUCGAGAGAAAUUAUCAUUCAGAACUUCUAUGCUCGGCUUUCUCAUGAUGAUCGCACCAUGCUUGACACUUCUUGUACCGGUUCUUUUAUGAAGAGAGAUAUUGACUUCAAAUGGAAUUUAUUGGAGAGAAUUAAACGCAACUCUGAAGAUUGGGAGCUUGAAGAAGGUAAGGUGUCAGGUAUGAAUUUCAAGUUUGAUUGCGUUAAAUCCUUUGUUGAAACAAAUACUUUUUGUGACUUUAGCGCUAAGUAUGGACUUGACUCUGAGAUACUAGCUUCAUUGUGUGAAUCAUUUUCUGCUCAUAUUGAUCUCCCCAAAGAGAAGUGGUUUAAAUAUCAUCCUCCUUUAGAAGUCAAUGUAGUUAAACCCAAUCCAGUUGAAGAGAAAGUCAUUGCCUAUAAUGAUCCCGUUGUUCCUAGUGCUUACAUUGAGAAACCACCUUUCCCUGUUAGGAUAAAGGAUCAUUCUAAAGCUUCAACUGUGAUACGUAAGGGCUACAUUAGAACACCUACACCCCCUGAGAAAAUUAGAGUUGAACCUAGCAUUGUUAUUAUCAAAGAUCUUCUGUCCGACGAUGUUGAGGGAAAUAAUAUUCACUUCUGUGAAGAUGCUGCUAGAAUUGCUAAACCUCACGCUAGAGACAAACAUAGGCAUGUUGUUUGCACGCCUGUUGUUUCUGUUAAGAUAGGAGAUCAUUGUUAUCAUGGUUUAUGUGACGUGGGUGCUAGUGUUAGUGCAAUACCUCAAUCCUUAUAUGAUGAAAUCAAAGACGAGAUUGCACCUAUUGAGAUAGAGCCUAUUGAUGUCACUAUUCAGCUUGCCAAUAGAGAUACUAUCUGCCGUGUGGGAAUUGUUAGGGAUGUUGAAGUUUUGUGUGGUAAAAUGAAGUAUCCUGCUGAUUUCCUCGUUCUUGCUACCACCCAAGAUAGCUUUUGUCCCAUCAUAUUUGGCAGACCUUUUCUCAAUACUGUCAAUGCUCAUAUUGAUUGUGAGAAGCUAACUGUCACUGUUGGCUUUGAAGGCGUGUCACAUGAGUUCAAUUUCUCCAAGUUUGGUAGACAACCUCAUGAAAAAGAGUUGCCUAGUAGGGAUGAAACUAUUGCCUUAGCUUCUAUUGCCGUACCUCCUACUGAUCCCUUAGAGCAAUACUUGCUUGAGCAUGAAAAUGAUAUGCAUAUGGAUGAAAGGGAUGAAAUAGAUAGAGUUGUCUUAGAACAAUAUCCUAUCCUUAAGAAUAAUUUGCCUGUUGAACUGCUUGGGGAUCCACCCCCACCAAAGGGUGAUCCUGUGUUCGAGCUUAAAAAGUUGCCUGAUACUCUUAAGUAUGCUUAUCUUGAUGAAAAAGAGAUAUAUCAUGUCAUAAUUAGUGCUAGCCUCUCAGAGCAUGAUGAAAAGAAGUUACUAAAAACUCUGAGGAAGCAUCGUGCUGCUAUUGGAUAUACUCUUGAUGAUCUUAAGGGCAUUAGUCCCACUCUAUGCCAGCACAAGAUUAAAACUGAUCCUGAUUCCAAACCAGUUGCUGAUCAUCAAAGGAGAUUAAAUCCUAAGAUGAAAGAGGUAGUAAGAAAAUAAAUACUAAAGCUCCUGGAAGUAGGUAUUAUCUAUCCUGUUGCUCAUAGUGAUUGGGUGAGUCCGGUGCAUUGCGUCCCUAAGAAGGGAGGCAUUACCGUUGUCCCUAAUGAUAAGGAUGAAUUGAUCCCACAGAGGAUUAUUACUGGCUAUAGGAUGGUGAUCGAUUUUAGGAAAUUGAAUAAAGCCACUAGGAAAGAUCAUUACCAUUUACCUUUUAUCGACCAAAUGCUAGAAAGACUGUCUAAACACACACACUUCCGCUUUCUAGACGGUUAUUCUGGUUUCUCUCACAUACCAGUUGCACAAGCUGAUCAGGAGAAAACCACUUUCACCUGCCCUUUCGGUACCUUUGCUUAUAGACGUAUGCCUUUUGGCUUAUGUAAUGCACCUGCCACCUUUCAAAGAUGUAUGAUGGCUAUAUUCUCUGACUUUUGUGAAAAGAUUGUUGAGGUGUUCAUGGAUGACUUCUCCGUUUAUGGGUCUUCUUUUGAUGAUUGCCUCUGCAACCUUGAUCGAGUCUUACAGAGAUGUAAAGACACCAAUCUUGUCUUGAAUUGGGAUAAUUGCCACUUUAUGGUUAAUGAAGGCAUCGUCUUGGGACAUAAAAUUUCUGAAAGAGGUAUUGAAGUCGAUAAGGCUAAGGUUGAUGCAAUCGAGAAAAUGCCAUAGACCACAGAUAUCAAAGGUAUAAGAAGUCUCCUUGGUCAUGAUGGUUUCUAUAGAAGGUUCAUUAAAGACUUCUCUAAGAUUUCUAGGCCUCUUACCAAUCUCUUGCAAAAGGAUAUUCCUUUUGUUUUUCACGAUGAUUGUGAGGAAGCCUUCGAAAUACUGAAGGCUUUGAUAACUGCACCUAUUGUUCAACCACCUAAUUGGAACUUACCUUUUGAAAUCAUGUGUGAUGCUAGUGAUUAUGAUGUUGGUGUUGUUCUAGGGAAAAGAGUUGAUAAGAAGUUGAAUGGUAUUCACUAUGCUAGUAAAACUCUAGACGGUGCCCAAAGAAACUAUGCUACUACGGAAAAGGAAUUUUUAGCACUCGUGUUUGCAUGUCAAAAGUUCAGGUCUUACAUAGUUGAUCCCAAAGUCACUAUUCACACUGAUCAUGCUGCUAUUAAGUACCUCAUGGAGAAGAAAGAUGCUAAACCUAGACUUAUCAGAUGGGUUCUCUUGCUACAAGAAUUUGAUCUGCACGUUGUCGUCAGGAAGGGUGCUGAUAACCCCGUAGCAGAUAACUUGUCUAGGUUGGAGAACGUUAUUGAUGACCCACAACCUAUUGAUGAUAGAUUUCCCGAUGAGCAAUUGAAUGUCAUCAGUGCUUCACGUAGUGCACCGUGGUAUGCUGAUUAUGCAAACUAUAUUGUUGCCAAAUAUAUACCACCUAGUUUCACAUACCGGCAAAAGAAGAAAUUCUUCUUUGACAUGAGACAUUACUUUUGGGAUGAUCCUCACCUUUAUAAGGAAGGAGCAUAUGGUGUUAUUAGACGUUGUGUACCUGAACAUGAACAGGGACAGAUCCUAUAGAAGUGUCACUCCGAGGCCUACGGAGGACACCAUGCGGGAGAUAGAACUGCACACAAGGUAUUGCAAUCAGGUUUCUAUUGGCCCACUCUCUUCAAGGAUGCCCGUAAGUUUGUCUUGUCUUGUGACGAAUGUCAAAGAAUAGGGGCUUUGAUGUUUGUAAUUGUCAGUAAAUGCCUAUGAACUAUUCACUUGUCAUUGAACCAUUUGAUGUUUGGGGCUUUGAUUAUAUGGGACCUUUUCCAAAAUCCAACGGGUAUACUCAUAUCCUAGUUGCUGUUGAUUACGUUGCUAAGUGGGUAGAAGCUAUCCCCACUAGUAGUGUUGAUCGCAACACUUCUAUCAGGAUGCUUAAAGAAGUUAUUUUCCCUAGAUUUGGAGUCCCUAGAUAUCUAAUGACCGACGGUGGUUCACAUUUCAUUCAUGGUGCUUUCCAUAAAACACGGUGAUUAUGUCUUGCUAUAUAAUUAUCUUUUAAGAUUUUUUGCAGGAAAGCUUCUCUCUAAAUGGGAAGGUCCCUAUAUUGUUGAGGAAGUAUAUAGUUCCGGUGCUAUCAAGAUCAACAACACGGAAGGUAAUUGUCCGAGAGUGGUAAAUGCGCAGAGAAUCAAGCCUUAUAUCUCAAGUACUCCCAUAAAUGUUGAAAGCAAUAUUAUCAAUACCAUAACUCCGGAGGAAUACCUAAGGGAUAUUUAUCAGCCUGUUUCAGACUCCGAAAACAAAGAGGUAUGUGAUUCGGUAAGAAAACAGACUCCGAAACUUUUCCAGUAGGAAUUUUUCUCUGUUUUGGAAUAUUUGAAAAAGUAGAAAAAUUGGAAAUAGUCCGGAAAGCGCGCGAGGAGGCGACAAGCCUGCCAGGCGCGGGCCCACCCCCUGGCCGCGCCUGGGAGCUUGUGGCCACCUUGUGUGCCUCCCGGACUCCGUUUUCGUGCGGAUUACUCCUUCUGGUCGAAAAAAAAUCAUUAUAUAUUCUCCCGAAAGGUCUGACCCUCGUAUCACGCAGAUUUCCUGUGUUUUCGUUUCGAGCCUGUUUCUGUUGCAGAUUUAGAUUGCUAUGACGUCCCCAAAAGCUCCGAAGGGUAAGAUCUUUGAGAAGGUCAUCAAUCCCUAUCUCACGGGAGUGCUGCAACACCCUCAAUCUAUUGAGAUGCGUGAGGGUAUGUUGCACAUCCGUGAUGUUGAGGGGCCCAAGAAGACCGGAAGCUUGGAGGCGAGGCUUGAAGCAAUGGAGCAACAAGUCUUCAAGUGCCAAGGGAUGGUGGUGUUGAGAAACGUCGCAUGGGAAACACAAAAAUUCCUACGCACACGCAAUUCCUAUCAUGGUGAUGUUCACCUAUGAGAGGAGAUUCAGAUCUACAUACCCUUGUAGAUCGCACAGCGGUAAGCGUUAAGAAACGCGGACGAUGUAGUGGAAUAGCUUGCGUGAUUCAAAUCACCGUAGUCAUACACUCCAUCCCACGACCUCAUCACGAUCCGUCCCGAGAACUUCAUCGCGAUCCGUCCCGCGAUCUCAUCAUGAUCCUUCCCGAUCUAGUGCCGAACGGACGGCACCUCCGCGUUCAGCACACGUACAGCGCGACGAUGAUCUCGGCCUUCUUCAUCCAGCAAGAGAGACGGAGAGGUAAAUGAGUUCUCCGGCAACGUCACGGCGCUCCAUAGGUAGGUGAUGAUCUAUACCAGCAGGGAUCGGCCCGAGCUCCGCAGAAAUACGAUCUAGAGGAAAAACCGUGGAGAUAUGUGGUCGGGCUGCCGUGGCAAAGUUGUCUCAAAUCAGCCCUAAUACCCCAGUAUAUAUAGGAGGGAGGGGGGACCUUGCCUUGAGGCUCAAGGGAGCCUCAAGGGUUCGGCCGGAGUCCCUCUUCAAUUCGGUUUGGAGGGGCAGGAGUCCUCCUCUUUUUUCCCACCUCCUCUCCUUUUUUUUCUUUUUUUUUCUCCCUUGUUGGUUUUUUUUCUUCUUCCUGCGCAAGGGCCCUCUUGGGCUUGCCCACCAGCCCACUAAGGGCUGGUCGUCCCCCCCCCCCACAAAGCCUUUGGGCUUCUUCCCGGGUGGGUGGGCCCCUCCCGGAAGAACUCCGGAACCCAUUCGUCAUUCCCGGUACAAUGUCGGAAAUGCCCGAAAACCUUCCCGUAACCAAAUGAGACAAACCUAUAUAUCAAUUUUCGUUUCUAUACCAUUCCGGAAACCCUCAUGACGUCUGUGAUCCCAUCCGGGACUCCGAACAACAUUUGGUAACCAACCAUAUAACUCAAAUACGCAUAAAACAUCGUCGAACCUUAAGUGUGCACACCCUGCGGAUUCGAGAACUAUGUAGACAUGACCCGAGAGACUCCUCGAUCAAUAUCCAAUAGCGGGACCUGGGUGCCCAUAUUGGAUCCUACAUAUUCUUCGAAGAUCUUAUCGGUUGAACCUCAACGCCAAGGAUUCAUAUAAUCCCGUAUGUCAUUCCCUUUGUCCUUCGGUAUGUUACUUGCCCGAGAUUCGAUCGUCAGUAUCCGCAUACCUAUUUCAAUCUCAUUUACCGGCAAGUCUCUUUACUCGUUCCGUAAUACAAGAUCCCGUGACUUACACUAAGUCACAUUGCUUGCAAGUCUUGUGUGUGAUGUUGUAUUACCGAGUGGGCCCCGAGAUACCUCUCCGUCACACGGAGUGACAAAUCCCAGUCUUGAUCCAUACUAACUCAACGGGUACCUUCGGAGAUACCUGUAGAGCAUCUUUAUAGUCACCCAGUUACGUUGUGAGGUUUGAUACACACAAGGCAUUCCUCCGGUGCCAGUGAGUUAGAUGAUCUCAUGGUCAUAGGAAUAAAUACUUGACACGGAGAAAACAGUAGCAAUAAAAUGACACGAUCAACAUGCUACAUUCAUUAUUUUGGGUCUAGUCCAUCACAUGAUUCUCCUAAUGAUGUGAUCCCUUUAUCAAGUAACAACACUUCCCUAUGGUCAGGAAACCUUGACCAUAUUUGAUCAACGAGCUAGUCAACUAGAGGAUUACUAGGGACAGUGUUUUGUCUAUGUAUCCACACAAGUAUUGUGUUUCCAAUCAAUACAAUUACAGCAUGGAUAAUAAACGAUUAUCAUGAACAAAGAAAUAUAAUAAUAACUAAUUUAUUAUUGCCUCUAGAGCAUAUUUACAAGAGUCUCCCACUUGCACUAGAGUCAAUAAUCUAGUCCACAUCACUAUGUGAUUCUAACGAAUCCAACACCCUUACAGUUCUGGGGUUUGAUCACGUCUUGCUUGUGAGAGAGGUUUUAGUCGACGGUUCUGAACCCUUUCAGAUCCGAGUGAGCUUUACAAAUCUUUAUGUCAUCUUAUAGAUGAUGUUACUAUGUGUUAUUCGAUAAUAUUCCUAAUAUAUACUCUACCAUACGAAUCCGUUUCACUACUCAUGGUUAUUCGGAUUAGUGUCAAAGCUUGCAUCGACAUAACCCUUUACGACGAACUCUUUAACCACCUCCAUAAUCAUGAAAAAAUUCCUUAGUCCAUUAGUUACUAAGGAUAACGUUGACCGCUGAUCAGUGAUUCAAUCCUGGAUCACUCUGUGUACCUCUUAACAGACUUGUAGCAAGGCACACAGGGUACUAGGGUGCAGUACUCAGAAUGACAUACUUUAGAGUCUACGGCUAAGGUAUAGAAGACGAUCUUUUCCUAUUCUCUUUAUUCUGCCGGGGUCGGGUUUUGAGUCUUACCAAAAUUCACACCUUACAACACAACCAAGAACUCCUUCUUUGCUGAUCUAUUUUGAACUCCUUCAAAAACUUGUCAAGGCAUGCAUCUUGUUGAAACUUCUAUUAAGCGUUUCGAUCUAUCUCCAUAGAUCUUGAUGCUCAACGUUCAAGUAGCGCAAUCCAGGUAUUCCUUUGAAAAAAAACUCCUUUUCAAACAACCUUUUAUGCUUUUCAGAAAUUCUACAUUACUUCUGAUCCAUAAUAUGUCAACCACAUAAACUUAUCAGAAAUUCUAUAGUGCUCCCACUCACUUCUUUGGAAAUACAAGUUUCUCAUAAACCUUGUAUAAACCCAAAAGCUUUGAUCAACUCAUCAAAGCAUAUAUUCCAACUCCGAGAUGCUUGCACCAGUCCAUAGAAGGAUCGCUGGAGCUUGCAUACUUCUUAGCACCCUUAGGAUCGACAAAACCUUCUGGUUUGUAUUACAUACAACCUUUCCUCAAGGAAACCAUCGAGGAAACAAUGUUUUGACAUCCUAUGUGCAAUAUUUCAUAAAUAAUGCAACAACUGCUAACUUAACUCCAACAAACUUUUAGCAUCGCAAUGAGUGAGAAAGUCCCAUCAUAGUCAACUCGUUGAAUUUUGUCGGAAACAUCUUUGCGACAAGUCGAGCUUUUCUUAAUGGUGACGUUUCACCAUCAUCGUAUGCCUUCCUUAUAAAGAUCCAUCUUUACUCAAUAGUCCUACGACAAUCAAGCAGUUCUUCCAAAGUCUAUACUUUGUUCUCACACAUGGAUUCUCUCUCCGAUUUCAUGGCCUCCAGCCAUUUGUCAGAAUCCGGGCCGACCAUUGCUUCUCCAUAACUCGUAGGUUCAUCGUUAUUUCAACAACAUGACCUCCAAGAUAGGGUUACCGUACCACUCUAUAGUAGUACGCGACCUUGUCGACCUACGAGGUUUGUAGUAACUUGAUCCAAUGCUUAAUAAUCACCAUCAUCAGCUUCCAGUUCAAUUGGUGUAGGCGCCACACGAACAACUUCCUGUGCCCUGCUACACACUGGUUGAAGUGAUGUUUCAAUAAUCUCAUUAAGUUCUACCACCCUCCCACUCAAUUCUUUCGAGAGAAACCUUUCCUCGAGAAAGGACCCGUUUUCUAGAAACAAACACUUUGCUUCCGGAUCUGAGAUAGGAGAUGCUCCCAACUGUUUUGGAUAUCCUAUGAAGAUGCAUUCAUCCGCUUUGGGUUCGAGCUUAUCAGACUGAAACUCUUUCAUAUAAGAGUCGCAACCCUAAACUUUCAAGAAACGACAACUUAGAUUUCUCUAAACCUCAGUCUAUACUGUGUCAUCUCAACGGAAUUACGCGGUGCCCUAUUUAAAGUGAAUGCGGUUGUCUCUAAUGCAUAACCCAUAAAUGAUAGUGGUAAUUCGAUAAGAGACAUCAUAGUAUGCACCAUAUCAAAUAGGUCGCGGCUAUGACACCAUCACACCAUGGUGUUCUUGGUGGCAUGAAUUGCGAAACAACUUCCACAUUGUCUUAACUGUGUACCAAAACUCGCAACUCAGAUAUUCAUCUCUAUGAUCAUAUCGUAGACAGUUUAUCCUCUUGUUACGACGAACUUCACUCUGAAAGAGAGUUGAACUUUUUCAAUAUUGCAGACUUGUGAUUCAUUAAGUAAAUACUCCUGUAUCUACUCAAAUCGUCAUUGAAGUAAGAACAUAAUGAUAUCCACUGCCUGCCUCAGCACCCAUUGGACUGCAUACAUCAAAAUGUAUUACUUCCAACAAGUUACUAUCUUGUUUCAUCUCAAUGAAAACAAGGCCUUGCUCAUGUGGUAUGAUUUGCAUGUCACAAGUGAUUCAAAAUCAAGUGAGUAUAAAGAUCCAUCGGCAUGGAUCCUCUUCAUGCAAUUUAUACCAACAUGACUCAAGCGGCAGUGCCAGAAGUAAGUGGUACUAUCAUCAUUACCUUGUGUCUUUUGGCACCAAUAUCAUGAACAUGUGUAACACUACAAUCGAGAUUCAAUAAACCAUUGAAGGUGAUUAUUCAAGCAAAUAGAGUAAUCAUUAUUCUAUUUAAAUGAAUAAUCGUAUUGGAAUAAACACGAUCCAAUCAUGUUCAUGCUUAACGCAAGCACCAAAUAUCAAUUAUUUAGGUUUAACACCAAUCCCGAUGGUAGAGGGAGCGUGCGACGUUUGAUCAUAUCAACCUUAGAAACACUUCCAACACGUAUCGUCACCUCGCCUUUAUCUAGUCUCCGUUUAUUUCGUAGCUUUCAUUUCGAGUUACUAUCACUUAGCAACCGAACCAGUAUCUAAUACCCUCGUGCUACUAGGAGUACUAGUAAAGUACACAUCAAUAUCAUGUAUAUCAAACAUACUUCAGUCGACUUAGCCAGCCUUCUUAUCUACCAAGCAUCUAGGGUAGCUCCGCCUCAGUGACCGUUCCCCUCAUAACACAAGCACUUAGUCUCGGGUUUGGGUUCAAUCUUGGGUUUCAUUAGAGCAGCAACUGGUUUGUCGUUUCAUGAAGUAACCCUUUUAGCCCUUGCCUUUCUUGAAACCUAGUGGUUUUACAAACCAUCAAUUAUUGAUGCUCCUUCUUGAUUUCUACUUUUGCAGUGUCAAACAUCACGAAUCGCUCAAGGAUCAUUGUAUUUAUACUUGAUAUGUUAUAGUUCAUCACGAAGCUCUCACAGCUUGGUGGCAGUGUCUUUGGAGAACCAUCACUAUCUCAUCUGGAAGAUUAACUCCCACUUGAUUCAAGCGAUUGUCGUACUCAGACAAUCUGAGCACACGCUCAACGAUUGAUCUUUUCCCCUUUACUUCAUGCACAAAGAAUCUUGUCAGAGGUCUCAUACCUCUUAACAAGGGCGCAAGCAUGAAAUCACUAUUUCAUCUCUUUAGAACAUCUCUUAUGUUCCGUGAUGUUUCAAAAUGUCUUCGGCGCCUUGCUUCUAAGCCAUUAAGUAUUUUGCACUGAACUAUCGCGUAGUCAUCAGAAACAUGUAUGUCGGGUGUUCACAACAUCCAUAGACGACGCUCGAGGUGUAGCACACUGAGUGGUGCAUUAAGGACAUAAGCCGUCUGCGUAGCAAUGAGGACAAUCCUCAGUCUUACAGACUCAGUCCGCAAAGUUGCUACUAUCAACUUUCAACUAAAUUUUCUCUAGGAACAUAUAAAAACUGAAGAGAUAUAGCGCAAGCCACAUCAUAAUUCGUAAAGAUCUUUUGACUAUGUCCAAGAUAACUAGAGUUUAACUAAUCAAAUUAAUUUUAAACUCCCACUCAAAAAGUACAUCUCUCUAGUCAUUUGAGUGGUACAUGAUCCAAAUCCACUAUCUCAAGUCCGAUCAUCACGUGAGUUGAGAUUAGCUUCAGUGCAAAGCAUCUCUAUGCUAAUCAUAUCAACUCUAUGAUUCAUGCUCGACCUUUCGAUCUUAUGUGUUCCGAGGCCAUGUAUGUACAUGCUAGGCUCGUCAAGUUUAACCCGAGUGUUCCCCGUGUACAACUGUUUUGCACCCGUUGUAUGUGAACGUUGAGUCUAUCCCACCCGAUCAUCACAUGGUGUCUCGAAACGACGAACUGUCGCAACGGUGCAUAGUCGGGGAGAAUACAAUUUGAGCUUGAAAUUUUAGUGAGAGAUCACCUCAUAAUACUACCGUCGUUCUAAGCAAGAUAAGGUGCAUAAAGGAUUAACAUCACAUGCAAUUCAUAAGUGACAUGAUAUGGCCAUCAUCAAGUGCUCCUUGAUCUCCAUCACCAAAGCACCGGUAUGAUCUUCUUGUCACCGGCGCCACACCAAGAUCCCCAUCAUCAUGAUCUCCAUCAUCGUGCCGCCAUCGAGGUUGUCGUGUAUGCUAUGCUAUUACUACUAAAGCUAUGUCCUAGCAAUAUAGUAAACGCAUCUACAAACACAAACGUUAGUCUAAAGACAACCCUAUGGCUCCUGUCGGUUGCCGUAGCAUCGACGUGCAAGUCGAUAUUAACUAUUACAACAUGAUAAUCUCAUACAUCCAAUAUAUCACAUCACGUCGUUGGCCAUAUCACAUCACAAGCAUACCCUGCAAAAACAAGUUAGACGUCCUCUAAUUGUUGUUGCAUGUUUUACGUGGUUGCCAUGGGUAUCUAGUAGGAUCGCAUCUUACUUACGCAAACACCACAACGGAGAUGUAUGAAUUUCUAUUUAACCUCUCUCCAAGGACCUCCUCGGUCAAAUCCGGUUCAACUAAAGUUGGAGAAACCGACACUCGCCAGUCAUCUUUGAGCAACGGGGUUGCUCGUAGCGAUGAAACCAGUCUCUCGUAAACGUACGAGUAAUGUCGGUCCGAGCUGCUUCGAUCCAACAAUACCGCGGAAUCAAGAAAAGACUAAGGAGGGUAGCAAAUCGCACAUCACCGCCCACAAAAACUUUUGUGUUCUACUCGAGAUAACAUCUACGCAUGAACCUAGCUCAUGAUGCACUGUUGAGGAACAUUGCAUGGGAAACAAAACAUUUCCUACGCACACGCAAUUCCUAUCAUGGUGAUGUUCAUCUACAAGAGGAGAUUCAGAUCUACAUACCCUUGUAGAUCGCACAGCGGUAAGCGUUAAGAAACACGGACGAUGUAGUGGAACAGCUUGCGUGAUUCAAAUCACUGUAGUCGUACACUCCAUCCCACGAUCUCAUCACGAUCCAUCCCGCGAACUUCAUCGCGAUCCGUCCCGCGAUCUCAUCAUGAUCCUUCCCGAUCUAGUGCCGAACGGAUGGCACCUCCGCGUUCAGCACACGUACAGCGUGAAGAUGAUCUCGGCCUUGUCGAUCCAGCAAGAGAGACGGAGAGGUAGAUGAGUUCUCCGGCAGCGUGACGGCGCUCCGGCGGUUGGUGAUGAUCUACUCCAGCAGGGCUCCGCCCGAGCUCCGCAGAAAUACGAUCUAGAGGAAAAACCGUGGAGAUAUGUGGUCGGGCUGCCGUGGCAAAGUUGUCUCAAAUCAGCCCUAAUAUCCUAGUAUAUAUAGGAGGGAGGGGAGGGACCUUGCCUUGAGGCUCAAGGGAGCCUCAAGGGUUCGGCCAAAGGGGGAGGAGGAGUCCCUCUCCAAUUCGGUUUAGAGGGGGAGGAGUCCUCUUUUGUCCCACCUCCUCUCCUUUUUUUCUUUUUUUCUCCCUUGUUGGUUUUUUUUCUUCUUCCUGCGCAAGGGCCCUCUUGGGCUUGCCCACCAGCUUACUAAGGGCUGGUGUGCCCCCAAAAAACCUUUGGGCUUCUUCCCAGGUGGGUGGGCCCCUCCCGGUAGAACUCCAGAACCCAUUCGUCAUUCCCGGUAUAAUGCCAGUAAUGCCCGAAAACCUUUCAGUAACCAAAUGAGACAAACCUAUAUAUCAAUUUUCGUUUCCGGGCCAUCCCGGAAACCCUCGUGACGUCUGUGAUCCCAUCCGGGACUCUGAACAACAUUCGGUAACCAACCAUAUAACUCAAAUACGCAUAAAACAUCGUCGAACCUUAAGUGUGCAGACCCUGCAGGUUCGAGAACUAUGUAGACAUGACCCAACAGACUCCUCGGUCAAUAUCCAAUAGUGGGACCUGGAUGCCCAUAUUGGAUCCUACAUAUUCUCUGAAGAUCUUAUCGGUUGAACCUCAGGGCCAAGGAUUCAUAUAAUCUCGUAUGUCAUUCCCUUUGUCCUUCGGUAUGUUACUUGCCCGAGAUUCGAUCAUCAAUAUCCGCAUACCUAUUUCAAUCUCGUUUACGGCAAGUCUCUUUACUCGUUCCGUAAUACAAGAUAACGAGACUUACACUAAGUCACAUUGCUUGCAAGGCUUGUGUGUGAUGUUGUAUUACCGAGUGGGCCCCGAGAUACCUCUCCGUUACACGGAGUGACAAAUCCCAGUCUUGAUCCAUACUAACUCAACGGACACCUUCGGAGAUACCUGUAGAGCAUCUUUAUAGUCACCCAGUUAUGUUGUGAGGUUUGAUACACACAAGGCAUUCCUCCGGUGCCAGUGAGUUAUAUGAUCUCAUGGUCAUAGGAAUAAAUACUUGACACGCAGAAAACAGUAGCAAUAAAAUGACACGAUCAACAUGCUACGUUCAUUAGUUUGGGUCUAGUCCAUCACAUGAUUCUCCUAAUGAUGUGAUCUCGUUAUCAAGUAAGAACACUUGCCUAUGGUCAGGAAACCUGGACCAUCUUUGAUCAACGAGCUAGUCAACUAGAGGCUUACUAGGGACAGUGUUUUGUCUAUGUAUCCACACAAGUAUUGUGUUUCCAAUCAAUACAAUUACAGCAUGGAUAAUAAACGAUUAUCAUGAACAAAUAAAUAUAAUAAUAACUAACUUAUUAUUGCCUCUAGGGCAUAUUUCCAACAGGUGGAGCGUGGACUCAACGCCAACCACAUGAUGAUCACGGAGUUCACCAACAAGCACAGGAUUGAUGCCAAUGACAUUGGGAAGCACCUCUCCAGGCUCUAUGACAGGAUUGAUCACCUCCAGUCCCAGAUCUAUGACCUGCAGAACCAAAACUAUGAGUAUGAGUAUGGAUUUAAAUCAAUACGGUUGGCUGCAGAUUUGAGGAUUCCGUAGACUCGUUCAUCUUUCCAUGAUGGAGCACCUACGCCUUGGAAGACGGAGGAUCAAACCCAUGUUGCAACAACUCCACCACCAUCACCUCCAAAGGAAGACAACUAAGCAUGGGUAUGGGUAAUCCCCUUUGCUUGUGCCAAGCUUGGGGGAGUUGCCCCGGUAUCGUAUCACCAUCACAUCUUUUGCCUUUACCUUUGUUUUAGUUUGUUCCUUUUCAGUUUUCUCUUUCUCUAGUAGAAUAAAAGUCUUAGUGUUUUAGACUUGAGUUUUGCUUUGUGUCACCCCCGAUGUCUUCGAGCUCGUGAGCCAUAUAAUAAAGACUGUCUUAGUUGAAGGGCUCUGCCUCUUGCCAUGAUCAAACGAAUGAGAAUAGAACGAAAGCAUGAAAGAUCAUUUAAUGAUCUUAUGGGAAGUGAUGGCUUCACAUAUAAAAAGAAUGAUGAUUGAAACUUGUUGAGGGUAGACAAACGUAGACCUUGGUCAUUUUUACAAUUAAUAGGAAGUGAUAAAGAAGGAGAGGUUCACAUAUAAAUAUAUCAUCUUUGACACCAUCUAUGAUUGUGAACACUCACUAAACUAUUACAUGCCUAGGAGUAGAUGUUGGACAAGGAAGACAACAUAAUGAAUUGUAUUUGCUUGGUUCCAAACAAUGUUAUAUGAUUAGAGAUCCCUCAGCAUGUGACGAUUGCUUCCACCUCAUAUUAGCCAAAACUCCCGCACCAAAUAGAGAUACUACUUGUGCAUCCAUAAACCUUCAACCCAGUUUUGCCAUGAGAGUCCACCAUACCUACCUAUGGAUUGAACAAGAUCCCUCAAGUAAGUUGCCAUCGGUGCAAGCAAUAAAAAUUGCUCCCUAAUGUGUAUGAUCUAUUAGUGUGUGGAAAAUAAGCUUUGUACGAACCUGUGAUGAGGAAGACAUAAAAGCGACAGACUGCAUAAUAAAGUUCUUUAUCACAGGAGGCAAUAUAAAGUGACGUUCCUCCGCACUAAGAGGACACGCAUCCAAACCUCAAAAGCGCAUGACAACCUCUGCUUCCCUCUGUGAAGGGCCGAUCUUGUACCUUUACUUUUUUCCCUUGAAAGAGUCAUGAUGAUCUUCACCAAUUCCUUAUUUCGCCUUUAUCUUGGCUAACGGCAUAUGCUUGGGAAAGAUAUAUAUUCAUAUGUCAACUUGGAAGUAAGUAUUCAUGAAUUAUUAUUGUUGACAUUACCCUUGAGGUAAGCAGUUGGGAGGCGAAACUAUAAGCCCCUAUCUUUCUCUGUGUCCAGCUGAAACUUUGAUCUCAUGAGUACCACAUGAGUUGUAGCAAUUGUAGAGAACGAAAAGAUGAUUGAGUAAGUGGAUUUGCUUUACAAGCUCUUAUUUGUCUCUUUCUGAUGUUGUGAUAAAUUGCAAUUGCUUCAAUGACUAAAGGCUAUCGGUUGUUACUUCUCGGUAAGGUUCUUGAUCCAUGCUUUACUUUGUGAAGGAAUUAUCACUUUAGCAUGAGAGAUUAUAUGUUGGUGUUGCUGUUCUAAUCAUGAUCAUGAUGCAUGCAUGUUCGUAUCUUGUUUUGUCGACACCUCUCUCCCUAAACAUGUGGACAUAUUUAUUGAGCUAGGCUUUUGGUGGAGGACAAGCGAGGUCUAAGCUAGGGGGAGUUGAUACGUCCAUUUUGCGUCAUGCUUUCAUGUUGAUAUUUAUCCCUUUUUGGGCUUUUAUUUCACUUCACGGUACAAUACUAAUGCCUUUUCUCUCUUAUUUUGCAAGGUUUACAUGAAGAGGGAGAAUGUCGGCAGCUCGAAUUCCGGCCUGAAAAAGGAGCAAGUUUGAGAUGACUAUUCUGUGCAACUCCAAAAUCCGUGAAAUCAAAAUGAAUUUUUUUGGGAAUAUAUUAAAAAUACUGGCCCGAAGAUGUGCGAGAGGAGCGCAACCAGGGGGCCACAAGCCUGGUAGGCGCGGCCACCCCCCUGGUCGCGCCUAGGGGGCUUGUGGGCUCCCUGCUGGCCCACUGGCCCCCCUCUUCUGCUAUAUGAAGGGUUUCGUCCCGAAAAAAAUCAGGAGGAGGAUUUUCGGAGGAUUCGCCGCCGCCACGAGGCGAAACUUGAGUAGAACCAAUCUAGAGCUCCGAUAGGACGAUCCUGCCGGGGAAACUUCCCUCCAGGAGGGGGAAAUCAUCGCCAUCGUCAUCACCAACGCUCCUCUCAUCGGAGGGGACUCGUCACCAUCAACAUCUUCAUGAGCACCAUCUCAUCUCCAAACCCUAGUUCAUCACUUGUAACCGAUCUCCAUCUCGCGACUCUGAUUGGUACUCGUAAGGUUGCUAGUAGUGUUAAUUACUCUUUAUAGUUGAUGCUAGUUGGAUUACUUGGUGGAAGAGUUUAUGUUCAGAUCCUUGAUGCUACUCAUUACCUCUCUGGUCAUGAAUAUGAUUAUGCUUCGUGAGUAGUUACUUUUGUUCCUGAGGACAUGGGAUAAGUCAUGCUAAUAGUAGUCAUGUGAAUUUGGUAUUCGUUCGGUAAUUUGAUGUGUCGUAUGUUGUUUUUCCUCUAGUGGUGUUAUGUGAACGUCGACUACAUAACACUUCAGCAUUAUUUGGGCCUAGAGGAAGGCAUUGGGAAGUAGUAAGUAGAUGAUGGGUUGCUAGAGUGACAGAAGCUUAAACCCUAGUUUAUGUGUUGCUUCGUAAGGGGCUGAUUUGGAUCCACUAGUUUAAUGCUAUGGUUAGACUUUGUCUUAAUUCUUCUUUCGUAGUUGCGGAUGCUUGUGAGAGGGGUUAAUCAUAAGUCGGAUGCUUGUCCAAGUACGGGCAGUACCCAAGCGCCGGUCCACCCACAUAUCAAACUAUCAAAGUAACGAACGUGAAUCAUAUGAACAUGAUGAAAACUAGCAUGACAGAAAUUCCCGUGUGUCCUCGGAGCGUUUUUCCUCCUAUAAAACUUUGUCUAGGCUUGUCCCUUUCUACAAAAGGGAUUGGGCCACUUUGCUGCACCGUUGCUACUUUUGUUACUUGCUACUUGCUACGAAUCAUCUCACCACACAACUACAUGUUACCGAUAAUUUCAGUGCUUGCAGAUAUUAUCUUGCUGAAAAACACUUGUCAGAUCCUUCUGCCCCUCGUUGGGUUCGACACUCUUACUUAUUGAAAGGACUACGAUUGAUCCCCUAUACUUGUGGGUCAUCAGUUCCCUUCAUAUUCGUGUGGUAUCAUUUAGUCGCUCCAAUGACGUAAUAUUCUCGAAAACAUGCAUCAUUAAAUCCAGAGGCUUUUAAAGGCCCGAAGGUGAAUAAUAAGCCAUCGGACAACUCUUCUGUCGGAAAGUCACGAUAACAAACAAUGAGUAAAACUCGAGUCGUGGCUCGAGGCCACUAUUCGUGGGGGCACGUUCUAUCAACAAGAGAGAUUGUGUUCCGUCUUGAAGGGGAUUUUGAAUUAAUGACCUGGGCCAACCUACGCACGUUCCAACGAUGCAGUUGUUUCGGGUAGUGGCAAAGCUAGUGGCGGAGUAAGAGGAAACCCUUGGUUUCGUGGCCUCACUUUGAAAGGGAAAAAAGAUCCAAAGCCCACCAUAGGCAUUCCAAACAAUUGCUCCUCCUUCUUCCAACCUCAAGUGCCCAGAUCCAUUUCGCCUCCCAUCUCUUCCAGUCGCCUUCCACCUCAAGCCCUGCAAUGGCCAGCUCGGGCGCUCAUGGCAAGCUAUCCAGGAGGUGAAUUGUUGUGGCUACAUCGCCACCGACAUCGUCCACCGAGCACCGGAAAAGGCCCAGGUGGUUCCUAUGCCAAGGCUCGGGGAGCGGGUGGUGUUCGUCCCCCACUUCCUCCGGGACUGGGCUUACCGCUUCACCCCUUCGUCAGGGGUCUGAUGUUGUACUAUGGGGUAGAUUUUCAUGACCUACCCCCAAAUUCCACCAUGCACAUCUCUGUCUUCAUCACUGAUACGUCUAAAACGUAUCUAUAAUUUUUGAUGGUUUCCUGCUGUUAUCUUGUCAACUUUGGAUGUUUUAUAUACCUUUUAUAUCUUUUUUGGGACUAACUUAUUAAUUCAGUGCCAAGUGCCAGUUCCUGUUUUUCCUGUGUUUUUGACUCUUUUCAGAUCUGAUUUUAUAACAGAGUCCAAAUAGAGUAAAAUCCCCGAAAUAAUUUUUUCCAGAACAGAAGAAGAUCGGGGGACUUGAGGGCCAAGGCAGGAGGCCCACAGGGAGCCCACAAGCCCUGUGGCCGCGACUAGGGGAGGCCCACGGCCACGAGGCUUGUGGCCUCCCUGGCGCUCCCCUGCCCUAGCUCUUUGGCCUAUAUAUUCCUUAAAGUCCCAGAAAAAAUCAGGGCAUCCACGAAACCACUUUUCCGCCGCCGCAAGCUUCCGUUUCCUCGAGAUCUCAUCUGGAGACCCUUCCCGAUGCCUGUCGGAGGGGACUUUGGAGCUGGAGGGCUUCUACAUCAACAUCAUUGCCUCUCCAAUGACUUGUGAGUAGUCCACUUCAGACCUACGGGUCCGUAGUUAGUAGCUAGAUGGCUUCUUCUCUCUCUUCGAUCUUCAAUACAAAGUUCUCCAUGAUCUUCAUGGAGAUCUAUUCGAUGUAAUCCUCUUGGCGGUGUGUUUGUCGAGAUUCGAUGAAUUGUGGAUUUGUGAUCAGAUUAUCUAUGAAUUAUAUUUGAGUCUUUGCUGAUUUCUUAUAUGCAUGAUUUGAUAUCCUUGUAAGUCUCUCCGAGUCUUGGGUUUUGUUUGGCCAACUAGAUCUAUGAUUCUUGCAAUGGGAGAAGUGCUUGGUUUUGAGUUCAUACCGUGCGGUGACCUUUCCCAGUGACAGAAGGGGCAGCAAGGCACGCAUAAUGUUGUUGCCAUCAAGGGUAACAAGAUGGGCUUUCAUCAUAGAUUUGAGAUUGUCCAUCUACAUCAUGUCAUCUUGUUUAAGGCGUUACUCUGUUCUUAUGAACUCAAUACACUAGAUGCAUAAUGGAUAGCGGUCGACGAGUGGAGUAAUAGUAGUAGAUGCAGAAAGUAUCGGUCUACUGGUUUUGGACGUGAUUCCUAUAGAUAUGAUCAUUGCCAUAUAUAACGUAAUGACUUUGCGUGGUUCUAUCAAUUGCUCGACAGUAAUUCGUUCACCCACCGUCUAUUUGCUUUCAUGAGAGAAUCCACUAGUGAACACUACGUGCCCCGGGUCUAUUCACAACUAUCAUCUCAGCUUUCACUUUUACUUUGCUUUGUUUAUUUUUUGCUUUCAUUUCUCACUUUGCAAACAAUCUAUAAGGGAUUGACAACCCCUUCAUAGCGUUGGGUGCAAGCUCUUUGUGUUUGUGCAGGUACUUGUGACUUGACGCGAUCCUCCUACUGGAUUGAUACCUUGGUUCUCAAAUUGAGGGAAAUACUUAUUGUCGCAGUGCUACAUCACCCUUUCCUCUUCAAGGGAACACCAACGCAAGGCUCCAAGGACACGGGGGAAUCCUUUGCAUAUUUGCCAAGGAAAUCCCUGUAGGCGAAGCCAGCAGGAGAAGGAUUCCUGGCGCCGUUGCCGGGGAAGGUCUUUUGUUGCCAUAGCAGAAGGAUUUCUGGUGCCGUUGCCGAGGAGGAUCGCUUGUCGAGGAGUAUCAAGACAAGAAUAAUCUCCCGUCAACAUGCCAAUUUUUGGCGCCAUUGCCGGGGAGAUAUCAAGUCAAGAUCUAUCCAAGUAAGUGUCACAAACUCAUCUCUUGCAUUUACCUUUUUUGCCAGUUCCUCUCAUUUUCCUCUCCCCCACUUCACAUUUGUCGUUUUCAUAUGCCUUUCUCUUUUUCCGUUUUCCUUUGCCAGACUUCUUGCUUGCUUGUGUUCUUGUUUGUUUGUUAAAGUCAUCAUGGCUGAAAACACCAAACUUUGCAACUUCUCGAAUACUAAUAGUAAUGAUUUUAUAAGUACUCCGAUUGCUCCUGCCACUAGUGCGGAAUCAUAUGAAAUCAACGCUGCCUUGCUGAAUCUUGUUAUGAAAGAGCAAUUUUCUGGCCUUCCUAGUGAAGAUGCCGCAUCCCAUCUCAAUACUUUCAUUGACCUUUGUGAUAUGCAAAAGAAGAAAGAUGUGGAUAAUGACGUUGUUAAUUUGAAGCUUUUUCCGUUCUCUUUGUGAGAUAGUGCCAAAACUUGGUUUUCUUCUUUGCCUAAAAAUAGUAUCAUUCUUGAAAUAAGUGCAAAGAUGCUUACAUAUCCAAGUAUUUUCCGCCGGCUAAGAUUAUCUCUCUCCGUAAUGAUAUCAUGAAUUUCAAGCAACUUGAUCAUGAACACGUUGCACAAUCUUGGGAGAGGAUGAAGUUAAUGAUUAGAAAUUGUCCCGCUCAUGGCUUGAGUUCAUGGAUGAUUAUACAAAUCUUUUACGAUAGUUUGAAUUUUGCUUCUCGAAAUAUCUUGGACUCCGCCUCAGGUGGAACGUUCAUGGAAAUCACGUUAGGAGAAGCUACAAAACUUCUAGACAAUAUCAUGACCAACUACUCUCAGUGGCACACUAAAAGGUCACCUGCUAGCAAAAGGGUACACGUUAUAGAAGAAAUUAACUCGCUUAGUGCUAAGAUGGACGAGUUGAUGAAUUUGGUUGCUAGUAGAAAUGCUCCUUUAGAUCCUAAUGACAUGCCACUAUCUUCCUUGAUUGAGAGUAGCAACGCUAGUUUGGACGUUAAUUUUGUUGGUAGGAAUAUUUUUGGCAACAACAAUGCUUUUAGAGGAAAUUAUGUUCCUAGGGCUUUUCCUAGUAACUCCUCUAACAAUUAUGGCAAUUCCUACAACAACACUUACGGAAAUCACAACAAAUUACCCUCUGAUUUAGAGAGUAAUAUCAAAGAGUUCAUCAACUCUCAAAAGAUUUUCAGUGCGUCCAUAGAGGAAAAACUACUCAAAAUAGACGAUUUGGCUAAGAGAGUUGAUAGGAUGUGAUAUUGAUGCUUUGAGAGUUAGAUGUGCUCCUCCCAAGGUUAACUUGGAUGAAACUUUAAAAGCUAUGUGUGUCUCCAUGAAUGAGAGCAAAGAAAUAACCGCCCAAAUUCAUGUUAAGCAUGAAUGGUUUAAAAGGGUGCGUUCUAGUGAUGCAAAUCACAAAGAUCUUAAAGUGCUUGGUGUGACUCCUCUUGAAUCUUUGUUUUCGUGUGUCAAACCUAUUGAUGAAGGGGCUGGAUAUGAAUCCACUUUGGUUGAAAAACGCCCCAAUGAUUCAGAGUCCACCUAUAUUGAUGAUAAAGGUGUGGAGAGUGGAGUAGAAGAAAUCAAAAUAUUGGGUAGUAAUGAAAAUCCCACUUUGGAUUUCAAGGAAUUCAAUUAUGAUAGUUGCUCCUUGUUUGAAUGCAUUUCCUUGAUGCAAUCCAUUGCAAACUCUCCACAUGCUUAUAGCCAAAGCAAAGCCUUUACCGCACAUAUCGUAGAUGCUAUGAUGAAAUCUCUUGAAGAGAAACUCGAAUUAGAAGUCUCUAUACCUAGAAAACUUCAUGAUGAGCGGGAACCUACUAUCAAAAUCAAAAUCAAAAACUAUGAAUGCAAGGCUUUGUGUGAUUUGGGUGCUAGUGUUUCCGCGAUUCCAAAGUCUUUAUGUGAUAUUCUUGGUUUUCAUGAGAUUGAAGAGUGUUCUCUUAAUUUGCAUCUUGCGGAUUCUACUAUCAAGAAACCCAUGGGAAGGAUCAAUGAUGUUCUUAUUGUUGUAAAUAAGAACUAUGUACCCGUGGAUUUUAUUGUACUUGACACAGAUUGCAAUCCUUCAUGUCCCAUUAUUCUUGCUAGACCUUUCCUAAGGACUAUUGGUGCUAUCAUCAAUAUGAAGGAAGGGAAUAUUAGAUUUCAAUUUCCUCUAAAUAAGGGCAUGGAGCAUUUUCCUAAAAACAAAAUAAGAUUGCCAUAUGAAUCUAUGAUGAGGGCUACUUAUGGUUUGAGCACCAAAGAUGACUAUACGUGAUUCCAUAACCUUAUGCCUAGCUAAGGGCGUUAAACAAUAGCGCUUGUUCGGAGGCAACCCAAGGAAUCUAUCCUUUUUCUUUCUGUUUUGUGUUUCCAACACUUUCAUAAUUCUGUUAUGAUUGUGUUUUUUGUGUUUCUUUUGCAUUUGUGCCAAGUGAAACCGUUAUGAUUAGUCUUGGGGAUGAUCGUUUGAUCAUGCUGGAAAAGACAGAAACUUUCUGCUCACGAAAAGAAUUUUCAUUUUUAUUCUGUGAGAGACUUUGAGUUGAUUCUUUUUUCUGAUGAUUUCUACGGAACUUCUUCAGACUGUCGUAAUGUUUCAGAAUUGUUUAGGUAACAGAAGUAUACAAAGUAUACAUAUUGCUACAGACUGGUCUGCUGUUAACACACUCUGUUUUUGUUGAGUUGGUUGCUUAUUUUGAUGAAACUAUGGAUAGUAUCGGGGGUAUUAGCCAUGGAAGAUUGAAAAUACAGUAACCCAACAUCAACAUAAGUAGAAUUUAAUCUUACUACAGUACCUAAGGAAGUGGUGAUUUGCUUUCUUAUACUAAUGAUAUCACGAGUUUCUGUUUAAGUUUCAUGUUGUGAAGUUUUCAAGUUUUGGGUGAAGUUCUUAUGGACAAAGAGAUAAAGAGUGGCAAGAUCUCAAGCUUGGGGAUGCCCAAGGCACCCCAAGUUGAUUCAAGGAUGCCGAAAAAGUCUAAUCUUGGGGAUGCCCCGGGAAGGCAUCCCCUCUUUCGUCUUCAAUCCAUCGGUAACGUUACUUGGGGCUAUAUUUUUAUUCACCACAUGUUAUGUGUUUUGCUUGGAGCAUCUUGUAUCGUAGGAGUCUUUUAUUUUUGUUGUGUCACAAUCUUCCUUGCUGCACACCUAGAGAGAGAGACAUGCACUCACCAUGAUUUUGUCGAGCUUCACUUAUAUCCUUUGGUUAGGCAAUUCAGCUCACAUGUGUUUCACUUAUAUCUUUUGAGCUAGUUGAUUUUGCUCUAUGUGUUUCACUUCUAUCUUUUAGAGCACAAUGGUUCAUGGCUUGGUAGUUGUCUUAUGCUAUGAAAGUAGUCUCAAAGGGGGUAGUUAUCCAAAGGGAUAUGAAAACUUCCACCUUCAUGUGCAUUGAAUCGUUAGAGAAGUUUGAUUCAUCUGAAUUAGUUUUGAGUUGUGGUUGUGGUAAUAUUGAAGUUAUAUUAGUAAGGUGUUGUGGAUCUAGAAAUACUUGUGUUGAAGUUAGUGAUUCCCAUAGCAUGCACGUAUGGUGAACCGCUAUGUGAUGAAGUAUAAGCAUGAUUAGUUUAUUGAUUGUCAUCCUUUGUAUGGCGGUCGGGAUCGCGCGAUGGUUUAUACCUACCAACCCUUCCCCUAGGAGUAUGCGUUGAAUGCUUUGUCUCGAUUACUACUAAAACUUUUGCAACAAGUAUAUGAAUUCUUCAUGACUAAUAUUGAGUCCAUGGUUUAUAUGCACUUUCACCUUCCACUAUCACUAUCUUCUUUAGUGCCGUGCAACUUUCGUCGGUGCGUAAAACCCACCAUUAGCCUCCCUCAAAACAGCCACCAUAUAUACCUACCUACUAUGGCAUUUUGAAAGCCAUUCCGAGAUAUAUUGCCAUGCAACUACCACCAUGACAUGUGCCACCACUUCUACAUUGCCAUUGCAUGAUCAUAAGAUAGCUAGCAUGAUGUUUCCAUUGAUGUCUAUGCCAUGCUAGAUCAUUGUCACGGUAAACUAUCGAAGGCAUUCCUUAUAGAGUCAUCAUUGCUCUAAGUUUUGAGUUGUAAGUGUGAUGAACAUCAUUGAUGGAGCAUUGUCCCAUGUGAGGAAAUAAAAGAGGCCAGAGAAGCCCAUUUACAAAAAGAGGCCAAAGAUGCCCACAAAAAUAAAAUAUAUAUAUAUAAAAAAGAGGCCAAAGAGACCACCCAAAAAAAUGAGAGAAAAAGAGAGAAGGGACAGUGCUACUAUCUUUCCAAACUUGUGCUUAUUAAGCACCAUGAUCUUCAUGAUUGGGAGUCUCUCGUUUUGUCACCACCAUAUAGCUAGUGGGAAAUUUUAAUUAUAUAACUUGGCUUGUAUAUUCUAGUGAUAGGCUUCCUCAAAAUUGCCUUAGGUCUUCGUGAGCAAGCAAGUUGGAUGCACACCCACUAGUUUUCUUUAAGAGCUUUCACAUACUCUUAGCUCUAGUGCAUCAUUUGGAUGGCAAUCCCUACUCAUUCACGUUGAUAUCUAUUGAUGAGCAUCUCCAUAGAUCGUUGAUAUGCCUAGUCAAUGUGACCAUCUUCUCCUUGUUUGCCUUGCAACCUCCACCACACUCCAUUCCACUUAUAGUGCUAAAACCAUGGCUCACACUCAUGUAUUGCGUGAGAGUUGAAAAGGUUUGAGAAAGUAAAGGUGUGAAAACAAUUACUUGGCCAAUACCGAGGUUGUGCAUGAUUUAAAUUUGUUGUGCAAGGAUGAUAGAGCAUAGCCAGACUAUAUGAUUUUGUAGGGAUAACUUUCUUUUGGCCUUGUUAUUUUGAAAGUUCAUGAUUACCUUGCUAGUUUCCUUGAAGUAUUAUUGUCUCCACGUCAAUAGCAAACUAUUGUUUUGAAUCUAACGGAUCUGAACAUUCAUGUCACAUAAGAGGAGUUACAAAGGACAUCUAUGCUAGGUAGCAUGAAAGCAUCAAAAAUUAAUUCUUUAUCACUUCCCUACUAGAGGACGAGCAGGAGUUAAGCUUGGGGAUGCUUGAUACGUCUCAAACGUAUCUAUAAUUUUUGAUGGUUUCCUGCUGUUAUCUUGUCAACUUUGGAUGUUUUAUAUACCUUCUAUAUCUUUUUUUGGGACUAACUUAUUAAUUCAGUGCCAAGUGACAGUUCCUGUUUUUUCUAUGUUUUUGACUCUUUUCAGAUCUGAUUUUGGAACGGAGUCCAAAACGGAAUAAAAUCCCUGAAAUAAAUUUUUCCACAACAGAAGAAGAUCGGGGGACUUGAGGGCCAAGGCAGGAGGCCCACAGGGAGCCCACAAGCCGUGUGGCCGCGGCCAGGGGGGCCCGCGGCCACUAGACUUGUGGCCUCCCUGGCGCUCCCCUGCCCUAGCUCUUUGACCUAUAUAUUCCCUAAAAUCCCAGAAAAAAUCAGGGCGUCCACCAAACCACUUUUCUGCCGCCGCAAGCUUCCGUUUCCGCGAGAUCUCAUCUGGAGACCCUUCCCGGUGCCCUGCCGGAGGGGACUUUGGAGCUGGAGGGCUUCUACAUCAAUAUCAUUGCAUCUCCAAUGACUCGUGAGUAGUCCACUUCAGACCUACGGGUCCGUAGUUAGUAACUAGAUGGCUUCUUCUCUCUCUUGGACCUUCAAUACAAAGUUAUCCAUGAUCUUCAUGGAGAUCUAUCCGAUGUAAUCCUCUUGGCGGUGUGUUUGUCGAGAUCCGAUGAAUUGUGGAUUUGUGAUCAGAUUAUCUAUGAAUUAUAUUUGAGUCUUUGCUGAUUUCUUAUAUGCAUGAUUUGAUAUCCUUGUAAGUCUCUCCGAGUCUUGGGUUUUGUUUCGCCAACUAGAUCUAUGAUUCUUGCAAUGGGAGAAGUGCUUGGUUUUGGGUUCAUACCGUGCGGUGACCUUUCCCAGUGACAGAGGGGGCAGCAAGGCACGCAUCGUGUUGUUGCCAUCAAGGGUAACAAGAUGGGCUUUCAUCAUAGAUUUGAGAUUGUCCAUCUACAUCAUGUCAUCUUGCUUAAGGCGUUACUCUGUUCUUAUGAACUCAAUACACUAGAUGCAUGCUGGAUAGCAGUCGACGUGUGGAGUAAUAGUAGUAGAUGCAGAAAGUAUCGGUCUACUUGUUUUGGACGUGAUGCCUAUAGAUAUGAUCAUUGCCAUAGAUAACAUCAUGACUUUGUGCGGUUCUAUCAAUUGCUCGAUAGUAAUUCGUUCACCCACCGUCUACUUGCUUUCAUGAGAGAAGCCACUAGUGAACACUACGGCCCCCGGGUCUAUUCACAACUAUCAUCUCAGCUUUCACUUUUACUUUGCUUUGUUUACUUUUUGCUUUCAUUUCUCACUUUGCAAACAAUCUAUAAGGGAUUGACAACCCCUUCAUAGCGUUGGGUGCAAGCUCUUUGUGUUUGUGCAGGUACUUGUGACUUGACGCGAUCCUCCUACUGGAUUGAUACCUUGGUUCUGAAACUGAGGGAAAUACUUAUUACCAGUGCUACAUCACCCUUUCCUCUUCAAGGGAACACCAACGCAAGGCUCCAAGUCCGCGGGGGAAUCCUUUGCAUAUUUGCCAAGGAAAUCCAUGUAGGCGUAGCCAGCAGCAGAAGGAUUCCUGGCGCCAUUGCCGGGGAAGGUCUUUUGUUGCCGUAGCAAUCACCGUGUGCGAAGCUUUCCUGCGGGUUCAUCCGCAUUUUGGUCUCUGGCUCAAGGUCUUCGAUGUCAAGCCAAAGUCAGUUAGCAGCCAACAUGUCAACUACAACGGGGCCGUGAUAAGCAAGAUAUGCCAUGUGCCAUGGCCAGAGGGCACACUGAUCGACGCCAUCAAGAAGUGGCAGAAGGAGUGGUUCUAUAUCUCGGAACCACGAGAAGAAAACUGGGCGAUGCCCACCGAGUUCAGAUCUGGUCCCCGAGUGAGACUGGCCUCAUGGGUCGGGAAGGGCCUGGACUAGGGCUCGUCUUCAGAUGUGCAGCAGGUGCAAAAUCGCAUCAAGCAAAUGAUGGAGUCCAAUAUCCGGCUGGCCGAUGUAGUAUAGGUCAAGCUCUGCCGCCAUAUCCUUCCAUGCCAGCAUCGGGACAAUCCGAUGUGGUCUCACAAGGUCGGUGAGCCCUGGACGGUGCUCUAUUUCUACCACACCACCCAUGAAGAUCCGUGACGGGUACUGCUUCAACCGCAAUAGGAGUUGCCGACCAAGGACGAAGAUACCGGCUUGGACGACAAUACUCCCCCGACAGAGGUAUGUCUGAGCUCUUAUAUCCACUCGGAGUUUUGUUUUUAUCAAAGGUCUUACUAUCCUUUUUCUUUCGCAUGAGUGGUUGGAACUGGCCAAGAACAUAGAAGGCCGAGCUCCCCUGCUCGAGGAACCCUCGACUCUUCUGUUGGCGCUGAUAUUAGUAGACUUGCCAUACGUGGCGUCCAACAACAACAAGAAGGAGACCAGCGGGGGUCUUCGUUCGAGGCGUCCUCCGAAUACAAAAUCCGAGGAUACCCAUGCCUCCUCCACCCACGAGGGGGAGGAGGUAGAUGAGGAGGAGGAGAAAGAUUCUCUUCAGGAGAGGAAGAGGAAGGCGCCGGAGGGGGGCGAGGAAGAACUACCUCCUCGGGCUCUGAAGAAACUUUGCAGGCACAAGGUAGCCCUUCUCGGUGCACACCCGAACCCCGACAAAGAGGUCGGGGCCUACGAAGCAGCUCCUUGCCGAACACUUAGGGUCAAACCCCCGGCCUGAAGGUAUGGACUAUAUUCCCUAAUUUAAUAGAGUUAUACCAAUUUUUAUCAACAAUGAGAACCGAGCUUUUUCCUAUCACACCCCCGUCCGAGAUCUUCCGACAAAUCGAGUAUCGGAGGGGGAUUUGCUGCCCGCUUAGCUGGCCGAGAGUGGGAACGCUUCCCACAACACCCCUCCCCGGACCUCGGACGAUCUAGCCGAGGUGACGUCACAUCUAGCCCUUGCGACCACUACCAAGGCGGUGAUCAUUGAGGCGGAUACAUCGGGCACCAAGGAUUGGGAGGCCCCGGCCGAAGAAGAGGCACCAGCCUCCGAGGACCGAGAGGUUCGAGCUCGUGUUAAUACACCAGUCGUCGAGGACCAGAAGAUUUUGACUGAGGUACAUACCUCGGUCAUUCAGACUCAGGGGGCAGGUUCCUUCUCCGUAGGCUGGGAAAGGAACUCAAUUCCCUCUGAGCAUUACCCGGAGACAACCUCCGGGGGACCUGAUGUUCCGGCCUCUUCCGGGCCGCCCCCGGUGCCGCCCACACAAAAGAAGUUAUGGAUGGGUGGCCGACCAUAAUGGAGGUGUCACACCCUGUUUUCACUACCACUUUUUCUGUAAUUCAAAAAUCUGAGUUUAUUAAAACUUUUUCAAACUAAUGUUGUGAGUGCCAUGAUUGUCAUUGUAUGCUUGUAUGCUUGAUCAUGUGAUGAUAAAAAACACAUUUCUCAAGAUCAAAUUAUUUUCAAAACCCUUUUCUUAUUUCUGGUUAAAGUAAAAACCCUGCUUUGAGUUGCACUACAUGCCCUUGAUGGCAAGGAGUGUUCUCACCCGAAGUUGAUGAUCUGAAUCUAGCACCAUUUUAGCGCACCAAAACCACAAAAUAAUUAUUUUGUGAAUUAUUUUUCUAAUUUAUUUGCAUGUCCAUUUCUUAGGCUAGAAAUGGUAUUCCUAUAUGGGAAAAUACUUUUCUACCUUAGAAAAAUCUGAUUAAAUUUGGAGAUGAUCAAAAGGACAUAUAUUUUCCAUACAUAAGAUUUUUAACCCCUAUUUAUAUUAAUAUUAUUUGAGUAAAACGUUGAAACCCAUAUCUGUCUGUUUGGACCUUUUGAAAUAUUUCCAAAGGAAAUAUUCUCAAUAAAAUCCUAGAAAAUUCCAGUGGUAUCCCUAAGCCAUAUUUGGUGUCCACAUAAAGUUUCACCUUGAUCCAACGUGAUUAAGGACACCAAAUAACAGCAAAACCCCUUUUGUCCAGAUUGGAGUUAGAGCAACUCUACAUAGCAAAGUUUGUCCAAUGGAGUUGAAACUUUGCAGGAGUGCCUAAUACCUCAAAUGAGGGUUCCAUACCAAAAAUGGGAUUUGUGGGACUUAAUUUGCCCACACUCUCUUUGGAAGGAACAGAUCUGGUCAAAUGGUGAAGUUUUCAAGUGUACAUAGCUAAACAUGUCCAAUGGAGCUCAAACUUGGUGAAACCCCAUGUUUUAGCACCAAACCCAAUCAUGUUAAGUUGCAGAACCACUGGUGUGGUGCAACCACCCCAAACCACUGUCGAGCACCUUCUGACAGAUGGGUAAAAGCCCCUCUAACCUUAGCUAAACCCCAACCCUUUUUCCCAAACUCUCAGAUUAGGUGGCCAAUAUUAAUGCCCAGCCCCAAUCAACUGGCCCCUCUCUCGUUCAAAGUAGAAAUGACAAAAUCCCCAUUCUAAGCUUCAGCUCAAGGCUGACAGCACCUGUUUCUCUUGUCUCCCUUGACCAGCCGAAGCUCACACGGGACUUCAAUGGCUAGCCACAUCCCAACUAGUGCCCAGGACAUGCUAGACACGUCCAAAGCACCCCAGAGCGCACCAGCGUGUCAUGGCAUGCCAAAACUGCGCUCUAGGCGUGCUACAGAGAACACUAAGGUGGGGGUGACGCUCUCGAUCAGUUCCAGCCUCCCCCGAGGUGUCUGAUACGUCUCCAACGUAUCUAUAAUUUUUGAUGGCUUCAUGCUAUUAUCUUGUCAAACUUUGGAUGUUUUGCAUGCCUUUUAUAUAUUUUUUGGGACUAACUUAUUAACUCAGUGCCAAGUGUCAAUUCCAGUUUUUCCGUGUUUUUGACCCCUUUCAGAGGAGGUUUAAUGAAACGGAGUCCAAACAGAAGACAAUCCUCGAAAAGAUUUUUUCUGGAACGGAAGAAGAUCGGGAAGCUUGGGAGCCAAGGCAGGGGAGCCUCAGGGGCCCCACAAGCCCCCACCUCGUGGCCAGGGGGGAGGUCGCGCCAUCCAGGCUUGUCGCCCCCAUGAGUGCACCCUGACCUAGGGGUUGCGCCUAUAAAUUCCCUAAAAAUCCCAAAAAAAUGAGGAGAUCAUCGAAAGUACUUUUCCGCCGCCGCAAGCUUCUGUCUCCGCAAGAUCCCAUCUGGGGCACGUCCUGGUGCCCAGCCGGAGGGGGGAUUCGGACACGGAGGGCUUCUUCAUCAACACCAUGACCUCUCCGAUGAUGCGUGAGUAGUUCACCAUAGACCUAAGGGUCAAUAGCUAGUAACUAGAUGGCUUCUUCUCUCUCUUGGAUGUUCAAUACAAAGUUCUCCAUGAUCUUCAUGGAGAUCUAUCCGAUAUAAUCUUCUUUGCGGUGUGAUUGUCGAGAUCCGAUGAAUUGUGGAUUUAUGAUCAGAUUAUCUAUGAAUCUUAUUUGAGUUUCUUCUGAUCUCUCUUAUGCAUGAUUUCAUAUCCUUGUAAUUCUCUUCGAGUUGUGGGUUUUGUUUGGCCAACUAGAUCUAUGAUUCUUGCAAUGGGAGAAGUGCUUGGUUUUGGGUUAAUACCGUGCGGUGACCUCACCCAGUGACAGAAGGGGUAGCGAGGCACGCAUCGUGUUGUUGCCAUCAAGGGUAAAAAGAUGGGGUUUUCAUCAUUGGUUUGAGAUUAUCCCUCUACAUCAUGUCAUCUUGCUUAAGGCGUUACUCUGUUCGUCAUGAACUCAAUACACUAGAUGUAUGCUGGAUAGCAGACGAUGUGUGGAGUAAUAGUAGUAGAUGCAGAAAGUAUCGGUCUACUUGUCUCAGACGUGAUGCCUAUAUGUAUGACCAUUGCCUUAGAUAUUGUCAUGACUUUGCGCGGUUCUAUCAAUUUCUCGACAGUAAUUUGUUCACCCACCGUGAUAUUUGCUAUUAUGAGAGAAGCCUCUAGUGAACACUAUGGCCCCCAGGGUCUACUCCAAACCAUAUUUUCAGCCUUGCACUUUUUACUUCGUUGCACUUUCCGCCUUCAGAUCUCACUUUGCAAACAAUCUUGAAGGGAUUGACAACCCCUUUGAAGCGUUGGGUGCAAGCUUGUUUGUGUUUGUGCAGGUACUCUGGACUUGACGAGGCCCUCCUUCUGGAUUGAUACCUUGGUUCUCAAACUGAGGGAAAUACUUACAGCUCCUGUGCUGCAUCACCCUUUCCUCUUCAAGGGAAAAACCGACGCAAACCAAAGAAGUAACAAGAAGAAUUCCUAAGCGCCAAGGAAGGACUUUUGUUGCCGCAGCAGAAGAAUUUCUGGCUCCGUUGCCGGGAAGGAAGAUCAAGUCAAGAACUCAUCCAAGUAGGUGUCGCAAACUCAUCUCUUGCAUUUACUUUGUUUGCCAGUUGCCUCUCGUUUUCCUCUCCCCCACUUCACCAAUUUGCCUUUUUUGUUUGUCUUUUUCGUUCGCCUUUUUUCUCGCCUCCUCUUUGUUUGCUUGUGUGCUUGCUUGCUUUCUGAAGUUACCAUGAAUGAAAACACCAAACUUUGUGACUUCUCGAAUACAAAUAAUAAUGAUUUUGUUAGUACUCCGAUUGCUCCCGCCACUCGUGCGGAGUUAUACGAAAUCAAUAUCGCUUUGCUGAAUCUUGUUAUGAAAGAGCAAUUCUCUGGCCUUCCUAGUGAAGAUGUCGCAUCCCAUCUCAAUACCUUCAUUGAGCUUUGUGAUAUGCAAAAGAAAAAAUAUGUGGAUAAUGACGUGAUUAAAUUGAAGCUUUUUCCUUUCUCGUUGCGAGAUCGCGCAAAAACUUGGUUUUCUUCUUUCCCCAAACAUAGUAUCGAUUCUUGGGAUAAGUGCAAAGAUGCUUAUAUAUCCAAGUAUUUUACGCCGCCUAAGAUCAUCUCUCUCCGUAAUGAUAUCAUGAAUUUCAAGCAACUUGAUCAUGAACAUGUUGCACAAUCUUGGUAGAGAAUGAAAUUAAUGAUUAGAAAUUGUCCCGCUCAUGGCUUGAGUCUUUGGAUGAUUAUUCAAAUCUUUUACGCUGGCUUGAAUUUCGCUUCUAGAAAUAUCUUGGAACGUUCAUGGAAACCACGUUAGGUGAAGCCACAAAGCUCUUUGACAACAUCAUGACAAACUACUCUCAAUGGCACACUGAAAUGUCACCUACUAGUAAGAAGGUACACGCUAUAGAAUAAAGUAGCUCGUUGAGUGCUAAGAUGGAUGAGUUAAUGAAUUUGGUUGCUAGUAGAAGUGCUCCUUUGGAUCCUAAUGAUAUUCCAUUGUCUUCUUUGAUUGAGAGUAGCAACGCUAGCUUGGACGUUAAUUUUGUUGGUCGGAAUAACUUUGGCAACAACAAUGCUUUUAGAGGAAACUAUGUUCCUAGGCAUUUUCCUAGUAACUCCUCUAAUAACUUUGGCAACUCCUACAACAAUACUUAUGGAAAUUAUAAUAUAUUACCCUCUGAUCUAGAGAGUAAUAUCAAAGAGUUCAUCAACUGUCAAAAGAUUUUCAAUGCAUCCAUAGAGGAAAAGCUACUCAAAAUGGACGAUUUGGCUAAGAGCGUUGAUAGAAUGUCCUGUGAUGUUGAUGCUUUGAAAGUUAGAUGUGCUCCUCCCAAAAUCAACAUGGAUAAAACUUUGAAAGCUAUGCAUGUUUCCAUGAUUGAGAGCCAAGAAAGAACCGCCCAAAUUUGUGCUAGACAUGAAUGGCUUAAAAAGGCAUGUUCUCCUAAUGAGAAUCACGAAGAUCUUAAAGUGCUUGGUGUGACUCCCAUUGAAUCUUUGUUUUCUUGUGUCAAACCUAAUGAUUAUUGGGCUGGAUAUGAAUCCACUUUGGUUGAAAAGUGCCCCAAUGAUUCGGAAUCCAUCUAUCUUGAUGUUAAAAGCAUUAAACAUGGAGUAGAAGAUGUUAAAACUUUGAGUAGUAAUGAAAUUACUACCGUGGAUUUCAAGGAAUUCAAUUAUGAUAGUUGCUCCUUGAUUGAAUGCAUUUCUUUGAUGCAAUCCAUGUUGAACUCUCCACACGCUUAUAGCCAAAACAAGGCUUUACCGAUCAUAUCAUCGAAGCUAUGAUAAAAUCUCUUGAAGAUAAACUUGAAUUGGAAGUCUCUAUCCCUAUAAAGCUUCAUGAUGAGUGGGAACCUACCAUCAAAAUCAAAAUCAAAAAUUAUGAGUGCAAUGCUUUGUGUGAUUUGGGUUCUAGUGUUUCUGCGAUUCCAAAGUCUUUAUGUGAUGUUCUGGGUUUUAAUGAGAUUGAAGAGUGUUCUCUUAAUUUGCAUCUUGCUGAUUCUACUGUCAAGAAACCCAUGGGAAGGAUCAGUGAUGUUCUUAUUAUUGCAAAUAGGAACUAUGUACCCGUGGAUUUCAUUGUGCUUGACAUUGAUUGCAAUCCUACAUGCCCCAUUAUUCUUGGUAGACCUUUCAUUAGGACUAUCGGUGCUAUCAUCGAUAUGAAGGAAGGGAAUAUUAGAUUUCAAUUUCCUUUAAGGAAGGGCAUGGAACACUUUCCUAGAAAUAAAAUAAGAUUGCCUUAUGAAUCCAUGAUGAGGGCCACUUAUGGUUUGAGCACCAAAGACGACGAUACGUGAUUCUAUCGCUUCUAUGCCUAGCUAAGGGCGUUAAACAAUAGCGCUUGUUGGGAGGCAACCCAAUGAAUUUAUGUUUUUCUUUUUGUUUUGUUGCGUCCACACUUUCAUAAUUAUGGUGUGAUUGUGUUUUUUGUGUUUAUUUUUGUGUUUGACCCAAGCAAAGCCUUUAUGACUAUUAUUGGUAAUGGUUGUUCGAUCCUGCUAGAAAAAGACAGAAACUUUUCGCUCACGAGAUGAUUUUUCAUUUUUAUUCAGAAAGAGAUUUUGAGUUGAUUCGUUUUCCUGCUGAUUGAUAUGCUUUUUUCCCAUGCCGUCGUAAUGUUUCAGAUUUUUUUAGGUACCAGAAGUAUACGAAGUAUACAGAUUGCUACAGACUGAUCUGUUUUUGACAUUCUGUUUUUGUUGAGUUGGUUGCUUGUUUUGAUGAAACUAUGGUUCGUAUCGGGGGGUACUAGCAAUGGAAAAGUGAGAAUACAUUAUCCCAUAAUCAAUAUAGAUAUAAUUCAAGUUUUCUACAGUACCAAAAGAAGUGGUAGUUUAUUUUCUUGUACUAAUGUUAUCACAAGUUUCUGUUUAAGUUUUGUGUUGUGAAGUUUUCAAGUUUUGGGUGAUGUUCUCAUGGACAAAGAGAUAAGGAGUGGAAAGAGCUCAAGCUUGGGGAUGCCCAAGGCAUCCCAAGACAAAUUCAAGGACACCAAAAAGCCUAAGCUUGGGGAUGCCCAAGGCAUCCCAAGCCAAAUUCAAGGACACCAAAAACCCUAAGCUUGGGGAUGCCCCGGGAAGGCAUCCCCUCUUUCGUCUUCAAUCCAUCGGUAACAUUACUUGGUGCUAUAUUUUUAUUCACCACAUGAUAUUUGUUUUUUGCUUUGGACAUCUUGUAUCGUAGGAGUCUUUUCCUUUUGUUGUGUCACAAUCAUCCUUGCUGCACACCUUUUUGAGAGAGAGAGAGACAUGCACUCAUCGUGAUUUUUGCUAGAAUGCUCAUAGUGCUUCACUUAUAUCUUUUGAGCUAGAUACUUUUGCUCAUAGUGCUUCACUUAUAUAUUUUGAGCUAGAUACUUUUGCUCUACGUGCUUCACUUAUAUCUUUUAGAGCACGGCGGUGCGUGAUUUGGUAGUUGGCUUAUGCUAUGAAAGUAGUCCCAAAAGUGAUAGAUACCCAAAGAGGAUGCAAAAACCUCCAUCUUCAUGUGCAUUGAGUAGAAAGAGAAGUUUUGAUUCCUCUCAAAUAGUUUUGAGACAUGGGUUUGGUAAUAUUAAGAGUUAUGUUAGUAGGGUGUUGUGAAUCUAGAAAUACUUGUGUUGAAGUUGAUUCCCGUAGCAUGCACAUAUGGUGAACCGCUAUGUUAGGAAGUCGGAGCAUAAUUGAUCUAUUGAUUGUCAUCCUUUGUGUUGAGGUCGGGAUCGCGCGAUGGUUUACACCUACCAACCCUUCCCCUCGGAGUAUGCUUUCGCACUUUGUUUCGAUUACUAAUAAAAACUUAUGCAACAAGUAUGUGAGUUCUUCAUGACUAAUGUGAGCCCAUGGUAUAGAUGCACCUUCACCUUCCACCAUUGCUAGCCUCUCUAGUGCCGCGCAAUUCUUGCCGGUGCACAAACCCACCAAAUUCCUUCCUCAAAACAGCCACCAUAUCUACCUACUAUGGCAUUUUCAUAGCCAUUCCAAGAUAUAUUGCCAUGCAACUCCCACCGUUCCGUCUCGUGACUUGUGCAGUCACUCUCAUAUUGCCAUUGCAUGAUCGCAAGAUAGCUAGCGAGAUGUUUCAACGUCAUAUGCCAUGCUAGAUCGUUGCACAUCCCGGUACACUACCGGAGGCAUUUCCUAUGGAGUCAUCAUCAUUGUGAUCUUUGAGCUGUGAGUAAAUAAAAGUGUUAUGAUCAUCAUUAUUAGAGCAUUGUCCCAUGUGAGGAAAUAAAAAAAUAAAAAAAGAGGCCAAAGAGCCCAAAAAUAAAAAUAAUAAAGAGAAAAGAAAAGAAAAGAAAAAAAGAGGCCUAAGAGCCCAAAUGAAAAAAAAAGGGAACAAUGCUACUAUCUUUUUCCACAGUUGUGCUUCAUGAUAGCACCAUGUUCUUCAUGAUUGAGAGCUUCUUGCUUGGUCACUACCAUAUGCUAGUGGGAAUCUUCAUUAAAUAACUUGGCUUGUAUAUUCCAAUGAUGGGCUUCCUCAAAAUUGCCCUAGGUCUUCGUGAGCAAGCAAGUUGGAUGCACAACCACUAGUUUUCCUUUUGAGCUUUCACAUACUUAUAGCUCUAGUGAAUCCUUUGUAUGGCAAUCCCUACUCAUUCACAUUGAUAUUUAUUAAUGGGCAUCUCCAUAGCCUAUUGAUACACCGAGUCAAUGUGACCACCUCCUCCUUUUUGUCUCACAACCACCACCACACUCUAUUCCACCUAUAGUGCUAUAUCCAUGGCUCGCGCACAUGUAUUGUGUGAUAGUUAUAAAAAGUUUGAGAAAGUAAGAGUGUGAAAACAAUUACUUGGCCAAUAUCGGGGUUGUGCAUGAUUUACAUUAGUUGUGUGAGGAUGAUGGAGCAUAGCGAGACUAUAUGAUUUUGUAGGGAUAACUUUCUUUGCCCUUGUUAUUUUGAAAGUUCAUGAUUACUUUGCUAGUUUGCUUGAAGUAUUACUGUUUCCAUGUCAAUAGAAAACUAUUGUUUUGAAUCUUACGGAUCUGAACAUUCAUGCCACGUGAAAGAAGUUGCAAAGGAAAACUAUGCUAGGUAGCAUUCCACGUCAAAAAUUCAUUCUUUAUCACUUCCCUACUCGAGGACGAGCAGGAGUUAAGCUUGGGGAUGCUUGAUACGUCUCCAACGUAUCUACAAUUUUUUAUGGUUUCAUGCUAUUAUCUUGUCAAACUUUGGAUGUUUUGCAUGCCUUUUAUAUAUUUUUUGGGACUAACUUAUUAACUCAGUGCCAAGUGCCAGUUCCUAUUUUUCCAUGUUUUUUACCCCUUUCAGAGGAGAUUUUCAAAGGAGUCCAAACGGAAGAAAAUCCCCGAAAAAAAAAAAUCUAGAACAGAAGAAGAUCGGGAAGCUUGGGAGCCAAGGUAGGGGAGCCUCAGGGGCCCCACAAGCCCCCACCCCGCGGCCAGGGGGAGGCCGCGCCAUCCAGGCUUGUGGGCCCCCUGAGCGCCCCCUGACCUAGGGGUUGCGCCUAUAAAUUCCCUAAAAAUCCCAAAAAAAUCAGGAGAUCAUCGAAAGUACUUAUCCGCCGCCGCAGGCGUAUGUCUCCGCAAGAUCCCAUCUGGGGCACGUCCUGGUGCCCUGUCGGAGGGGGGAUUUGGACACGGAGGGCUUCUUCAUAAACACCAUGACUUCUCCGAUGAUGCAUGAGUAGUUCACCAUAGACCUACGGGUCCAUAGCUAGUAACUAGAUGGCUUCUUCUCUCUCUUGGAUCUUCAAUACAAAGUUCUCCAUGAUAUUCAUGGAGAUCUAUCCCAUGUAAUCUUCUUUUGCGGUGUGUUUGUCGAGAUCCGAUGAAUUGUGGAUUUAUGAUCAGAUUAUCUAUGAAUCUUAUUUGAGUUUCUUCGGAUCUCUCUUAUGCAUGAUUUCACAUCCUUGUAAUUCUCUUCGAGUUGUGGGUUCUGUUUGGCCAACUAGAUCUAUGAUUCUUGCAAUGGGAGAAGUGCUUGGUUUUGGGUUCAUACCGUGCGGUGACCUCACCCAGUGACAGAAGGGGUAGCGAGGCACGCAUCGUGUUGUUGCCAUCAAUGGUAAAAAUAUGGGGUUUUCAUCAUUGGUUUGAGAUUAUCCCUCUACAUCAUGUCAUCUUGCUUAAGGCGUUACUCUGUUCGUCAUGAACUCAAUACACUAGAUGCAUGCUGGAUAGCGGACGAUGUGUGGAGUAAUAGUAGUAGAUGUAGAAAGUAUCGGUCUACUUGUCUCGGACGUGAUGCCUAUAUGUAUGAUCAUUGCCUUAGAUAUCGUCAUGACUUUUUGCGGUUCUAUCAAUUGCUAGUAAUUUGUUCACCCACCAUGAUAUUUUCUAUUAUGAGAGAAGCCUCUAGUGAACACUAUGGGCCCGAGGGUCUACUCCACACCAUGUUUUGAGCCUUACACUUUUUACUUCAUUGCACUUUCCGCCUUCAGAUCUCACUUUGCAAACAAUCUUGAAGGGAUUGACAACCCCUUUGAAGCAUUGGGUGCAAGCUUGUUUGUGUUUGCGCACGUACUCUCGACUUGACGAGGCCCUCCUUCUGGAUCGAUACCUUGGUUCUCAAACUGAGGGAAAUACUUACUGCUCCUGUGCUGCAUCACCCUUUCCACUUCAAGGGAAAAACCGACGCAAACCAGAGAAGUAACAAGAAGAAUUCCUAAGCGCCAAGGAAGGACUUUUGUUGCCGCAGCAGUGUCCAAAACCACGUCCUACGACCGUGGUUUCGACCUCACCUCCACUCUGCACCCCCAUGCGCGCCACGGUGAGUCACCGGCGCUCCCGAAUCGGCUCACUAUCGCGGGCCUAUAUAUAGCCCUCCCCCUCGCUCGUGCACCCCUCAGAUAGCAUCGCAACAACCUCUAGCACCUCCCUAGCCACCCGAGCAAGCCAGCUGAGCCCCGGUGCUUGAGAUCGACCGAGGCCCCUCCGCCUCGGAGCUCCGGUCGAUCUCCGGCUACACGUCGGCUCUUGCCCCCUCUGCCCACCAAACCACUCCCCGUGACACCAGGGAUCUUUCCCCCAUCUUUCCCAAGCUAAUCCGUGACCCUAGCUACCACCUCCACCUUCACCCAAAACUCCUCCAUCGCGGCUUCCUCGUCGCCGGUGAACCUGAGCCUCUCUGCCGUUGUCUCGACCACCAUCACGUAGGCGACCACGAGCCGGACACAUUUCCGUCUUUGUUGGGGCCCGAGGGCGUCGGUAGCCACGCCGACGUGCUCCUCCUCUCUGGCCAGAGGUAGGAGACAACCCCGACAGGUGUGCCCCACCUGUUGGUGGCCCAUCUCUCUCUCCCUCGCUGCCCGCAGUCGCUGACAGCAGGGCCCACGCGUCAUGUCGAAACGUGACGGCGCGCGCGCCUGGGCAGGCUAGCUGGCUGGCCUUUGGGCCGGCCCAGUCCCAGGCCAAGCUAGGCCAGGGUAUGUAGCCCUUUUUCUUUUAUUAUAAAACUUGAUUUUUCAAAGAUUUUCAUAAAAAGAUUUAACCGGUGUAAAAAUAUGAUUUUUCCACUAUUAUUCUUCUAAAAUGUGUAGUAUUUAAUAGAAUCAUUGGAUGAAUUUUUGCAGCAACUAUUCUAUUUUAUAAUAAUAAAAAGUAUUAAUUUGGAAUAGUUUUCUUCUGUUCGGUUGAUUUUAAAAAUAUUCCUUCAUUAUAAAUAGAAGCAAACAUUUUUUAAAUAACAACCUAGAUUUAUCGAAAAUAACCAACAUUUUUAGAAUGACUUUGUGAUUUGUUUGAGAGUGAGCUACUUAUUAUUUUAUCUUUAUACGACGAUAGAAAACCCGUGUGACGAAGGAAUCAGAGCGGAAGACCUCGAAGACCCCGGAUACCUAGCUGACCAAGGCAAGCAGCCCUUUGACCAUGACUGAGCAUAUGUUAUAUUGCAUGCUAGUGUAGCAAAUAUUUUCGUUGCAUAUGACCAUAAGUGUAGGUAAAAUCAUUGAAGUGAUGUUACCGAUGUGAAAAGGACGUGGAUGUCGCCUAGAGGGGGGGUGAAUAGGCACUUUAAAAUAGUUAAGGUUUAGGCUAGAACAAAUGCGAAAUAAAACUAACGUUUAAUAUGUCAAGCACAAAACCUACAAACAACUAGGCUCACCUAUGUGCACCAACAACUUAUGCUAAGCAAGAUAAACAACUAAGUGAUAGCAAGAUAUAUUACAAUAAACAAUAUGUCUAUCACAAAGUAAAGUGCAUAAGUAAAGGGUUCGGGUAAGAGAUAACCGAGGCACGGGGAGACGAUGAUGUAUCCCGAAGUUCACACCCUUGCGGAUGCUAAUCUCCGUUAGAGCGGUGUGGAGGCACAAUGCUCCCCAAGAUGCCACUAAGGCCACCGUAAUCUCCUCACGCCCUCGCACAAUGCAAGAUGCCGUGAUUCCACUAACGGACCCUUGAGGGCGGUCACCGAACCCGUACAAAUGGCAACCCUUGGGGGCGGUCACCGAACCCGUACACGUGGCAACCCUUGCGGGCGGUUACCGGUACCCGUACAAAUUGCUCGGGGCAAUCUCCACAACCUAAUUGGAGACCCCGACGCUUCCCGGAGCUUCACACCACAAUCAUUGAGCUCUGAGACACCACCAAGAUUCUAGGACGCCAAAGCAUCCACGAAGAACAAUAUCAAGGGUACUAAGUACCAAAGGUAGUAAGCUUCUCAACUUCUCACUUCCACGUAUCACCGUGGAGAACUCAAACCGAUGCAACUAAUGCAAUGGCAAGAACACACGAAGUGGUCAAGUCCCUCACACUCAAAUCCCUCCACAACAACAAAAGCUAUGGAGAAAUACGAGAGGAAGAACAAGGAGCUCACAAAGAACUCCAAGAUCAAGAUCCAAGGGGUUCCCCUCACAUAGAGGAGAAAGUGAUUGGUGGAGAUGUGGAUCUAGAUCUCCUCUCUCUUUUCCCUCAAGAACAAGCAAGAAUCAUUGGAGGGAUUGAGAGUAAUCAAGCUCUAAGAAUGUCAACAAUGGAGGUAGAACAAGAGCUCAACAGAUGGAUAAGACCAAGGGGGAAGAAGACCCCCUUUAUAUAGUGGGGGAAAGAAUCAGACCGUUACCCCCACUCUCUGCCCGAGCUCCAGCGGUACUACCGUUGGCUGCGGCGGUACUACCGCUGGCACUCCAGCGGUACUACCGCUGUCACUCCAGCGGUACUACCGCUGGCCCCAGCGAUACUACCGUUGGGCCCCUGGUACUGCAAAGGCACUACCACCGCCAAGAAAGUCUUCGCAAAAAGGUCCGUCCACGCACAACCGCUAGGCAGGCGGUACUAAGCUCCUGGAGCGGUACUACCAAAGAUAUGAAUAUGCCAAAGAUAUAGAGAUGUGAGAUCUCUAUGAAUGAAGAACCGGCAAAAACUCCAACAUCGAAAACAUCAUAGUAGAUGCAUAUGGACUCCGUUUUCGAUGAACUCGAGCUUGUCACGAAGAUGACCAUAAGCUCUAAAACUCACAAAGAGAAACACCAAACAAGAACCAAGAAGUAUGAUGCAAGGAUGCAAAUGGUUUGACUCUCAACGAACGAUACGAUCAAGCUACUCACUUGAGAGCCCCCCUUGAUAGAACAGCAAUCUAUCCUAACCAGAAAACCUAUCAAGGGAAAACCUAUACCUUGCACCUCGUCCUCUUGAGCUAGAUGAUGAUGAUCUUGGCUUCCUCAAGAUGGACCACCUUUCUUGAUUGUGUUGGCUUGAUGAAGACUAGUUGAUUGCUCCCCCAUACUCACUAUGGGUGAGCCACUCUUCAGCAUAUCUUCACAAGUCCAUUGCCACCACAAUGGACGGCAAGCUUCAAGCAUGCUAUCUUCGUGCUGAUCCACUUGAACUUGCACAUCGCAAUCUUGAUGACGAUCACAACUUGACGUCAUACUCCAUGGGUUGUAUGAGAUCUUCCCUUUGACGCAAGCCCAUGGAAACACACCUAACCCCCACAUAGAACUCUCACAAAGACCAUGGGUUAGUACACAAACACGUAAUGGACAAUGCUUACCAUACCAUGGGAUCACUUGAUCCCUCUCGGUACAUCUUGUAUGCUUUGUGUGUUGAUCAUCUUGAUUUACUCUUUGUCUGAGAUCUUGAUCAACCAUUGAUGAUGAUCACAACUUGAUGUCAUACUCCAUGGGUUGUAUGAGAUCUUCCCUUUGACGCAAGCCCAUGUAAACACACCUAACCCCCACAUAGAACUCUCACGAAGACGAUGGGUUAGUACACAAACACGUAAUGGACAAUGCUUACCAUACCAUGGGAUCACUUGAUCCCUCUCGGUACAUCUUGUACGCUUUGUGUGUUGAUCAUCUUGAUUUACUCUUUGUCUGAGAUCUCGAUCAACCAUGUGUCUCUAUGACCAUUCUUUGGAUAAUACCUUGAAUACCAUCUUGGUCAUCAUAUAAACUCCUUGAACCCAACAGAUGGACUUCAAGAAGUGCCUAUGGACAAAUCCAUACCAUGGGAUCACUUGAUCCCUCUCGGUACAUCUUGUACGCUUUGUGUGUUGAUCAUCUUGAUUUACUCUUUGUCUGAGAUCUUGAUCAACCAUGUGUCUCUAUGACCAUUCUUCGGAUAAUACCUUGAAUACCAUCUUGGUCAUCAUAUAAACUCCUUGAACCCAACAGAUGGACUUCAAGAAGUGCCUAUGGACAAAUCCUAUAAAUGUAACUUAAGGCAACCAUUAGUCCAUAGGAAUUGUCAUCAAGUACCAAAACCACAUAUGGAGAUAUAUGCUCCAACACGAUGGCUCCUACGGAGUACAUGCAUUGAGCUUGAUCCUACCACCUAUGAGGGUCAUGCUAGUAUCAUGUUGACAAGUAAAGUUAGAGUAGUAUUAGCAUGAGCAUGUUGAUGGUAUAAAUCAAAGGUUUAUGAAAACCCCGUCGGGUGCCACUAAUGCCCGAGGGUGAUGAUGAGUUAGGUGGCCACUUGUGGUGAAGUGGUGCACCGGGUAUUUGUGUGAGUAUGGUUUUGGAAAUGGAAAUAGAUUUAUGAUGUGUCGACCGUCCCAACCUUACAUGUACGACCACGUUACCCCUUUAUGGGAUGGGGUUGUGUUGAUUACUCUGGCCGGUGCUAGCAAAGAGCCACAUUACUAGUGGCGGGAGUGAUGUGUGGUCACUCUCGUGAUGGGGUCGUGCCAGGUAGGGCGACUAUGCCGUUUUUACGUGUUCCAGGCACACCGUUGGUCCCCGCAUGGUUGAUACUGUCCAAAGUCGGUGCUCGUAAGACGUACAACAUGUGGGCUGGGUACCAAUCGAGUGGACCUCUUUGUCUAGUAUCGUCAGGGGAAAGGCAUUAAUCGGGUACUUACCUCGGGUAUGUUAUAUACCACAAGUCGUGGAUGACACGGAAGUUUCCCGGAUCUCGUGGGUCCAACGUACUACCCCUGCAGAGUGUAAAACUAUUCGAAUGGCCGUGUCCACAGUCAAGGACAAUUGGGUAAUCCUGCUUAAACUACGUCCAGUCGUUUCCGCAUAAACCAAGUGUGUGUGCAUAUUUGUUAAAUGGUGUUUAUAUGAAAGAGUUGAUAUGACCAAGUUUGGUGACUUGGCAUAUAGGGUGAACCCAGAUGGUUCAGCCCGUGGUAGAUAUAUUGAUAUCUGUAACCUGUUCUUCAAAAGUAGUUUACUUAUGAUGCAUAUCUAUGAUCAUUUUAUUUACCACCAAGAGAUAUCCACCAAAUAAGCAUGUUAUUGUUAUCCUUCCCUUGCAUUGUUCAUAUCAUGGGCUGUUUGCGAAUACAUUCAAAAGUACUCAUUGGCUUGCCACUGGUUAUAUUAUUGACUAGACAUGGAAGGACCGGAGUUUGGAGAUGAGUACGCCUUCGGAGAUGCCCCUUCGAACUAGGACGCUUCCUAGUCAGAAUGCCUGUUGGUGUAGGCUGAUGGCAUGGGCACCCGCUUAGCCCUAAGAUUUCUGCUACUAGUUGUAUCAGUGUGAUUUGGCCUUAUAGGCCCUACCUUGUGAACUUGACCAUUCGGUCACGUGAUGUAAUAAUUCGGUACUUGGAUGAAAGACUCUUAAUAUUCAGUAUUUGUGUGUUCAGUGAUCUCUGGGAUCACUGAGCACGUUCAUUCGGCAAUCUCGACUCAUAAGUCGGGGUCCCCACAGGAGGAUGCCUUGACCGGCUCCUCUAUAGCCGAAGAACAUUGCACCCUUAUGGAUGUGGUCUUAAAAAGUAUUCAGUUUGUCAACAAGAGACUGAACGAAGCCUUCAACGGCUCGCUGACGAGCUUUAAGGUAAGCCAUGUAACAUUUCAGGUUUUAUUUUGCAAAGUUAUAUAUAUGCUUUUAUCGGUAUAACAGCCCACGGGCCAUGGGUUAUUUGGAAAGAAAAACUCACACGUGGCUCAAAACCAAUUUGUGGGACAAAUGAAAAAUAGCCCAGAGACUUGUUUAAACUGUUUGUUUGAGAAUUUUGUCUGAGCAAUGUCCGCCUUGAUAAUUCGGAACCGGACUAACAUGUUGUAUUUACCUUGCAGGUUUCGGCCUCGACUGUCAAUACGAGUGCAUUGGAGAUAGCCGAGUUGAACCGGAAACUCAAAGUUUCCGAUGAAGAGCUUGACCGCAUAAAUGAUCGGCUCAACGAGAAGCAGAGUAAGCUGGGUCAAGAGAUUCAUACCGUCCUUGAGAAAUUUUAAGGAGUGUCCUCACCGUGUUAGUUGACUCUUUAUAUUCUAACUUUGUUAGCAGCCCAAGACCAAGAGCUUGAGAAGCUCGGAGCCGAGGUGGAGAAAGCCAAACGAGAGGUUGUUGUCCACAAGGUGGCAGCCAAACAAUCGGGUGUAGAGUUGGACGCCAUCAAGGUCGUCAGCAGCAAACAUGAGGCCAGGGUGACGGAGAACCAACAUGAGCUGCAAGAGGCGAGCUUGAAGUGUGAGGCCUUGGAGCAGAAAGCUCAAGAGUAUGUGCCCGAUCACACCAAACUGUCUGCCGAGGUUAAAUCAGAGCGGGUGGAGCGGAGAUCCUAUGAAGAAGAAGUGCGCCAAGCCAAGCUUAUGACAACGGGUAAGUCGUACUUACUGCAAUGUGCCUUCGGUGGAAACAAGUAUGCCUUUCUUACAUGGAUAUGGUGUUCCACGGGCGCCUUCAUGAACCUCCCGCGGAGUGCGGCGGAUGCGGACAAGCAUUUUGUGACCCGCGAUGGGGAUGCCGAACAACGGCUAUUUUGGGCUCCGUUUGAUCCUCCCGCGCUCAACCCCAGUCUAAGCUAUCAAAUGAAGCAGCUGAUGGACCUGCAUAGGAUGGCGGAGUCGACCAUGAAGGAUCAUUGUGUUCGGCUAUGGCCUGACGAGCCCUUGUCGAGCAGUUACUUUGGAUUAGUGGAGAAGUUGGUCGACGCCCCGCCCCGGAUUGAAGUCGUGCAACACUCUGCUUGUAUGGAAGGGGCUCGGAUGGCCUUUGCACAGACGAUGGUGCACUUGCUGGGGGUAAAGCCUCUUAAGAUGGCUAUUGAUCCACCGCCUGCCUGAAAGGAGCAUAGGCGCCUCGAGCUGUAUUUCUCCUCCGUUAUGGAAGGGCUCGGGCGAUCAAGUCCCCAUGCUCAAAAGAUGUAAUAUUAGAAUGAAUAUUUGUUAGUGUAUUUCAGAACAAUCUAUCAGAUAAGAUGCAUGCCCAAAGUGGAGUACACUUUGAGUUAUUUUGAUUCCUAUUUUGGUCGUUUAAUCUGAAAGUUACCGGUUGUCGGCUUUAGCCCCCAUGUAGAGACUACUUGGGGUGUUUCAACGUCCGCACUGUAACCCUUAGCCGGUGUAUUGGUGCCCGAGGACGGUAGUGCAUGAGGGAAACAAGGCGAUUGGACUAUGUGGCUUUAUCGCUUUCAUUAAGACUUAGGAACUUUUUAUGCGGGGGCUAGUGACAAGCCCCCGGUAUUUUGCGGUAAUUGGAAAAAACCUGAAAUUGAAAUAAUUACUGUGAGGUUUGAACAAGUGCAAACUCAUCCACAUGACGCGGAGUAGCCUCUAUCGACUUUGUAAAUGAACUCGGGUUGUAGUCCAGUUCUCGCUUAUUAUGACGGUCAGUUUUCAGCUUUAUCCGCUGAGGUAUUUCGAACCAGGCCAGCUGGGAAUACAAUCGUGGUGGUUCUCCCUUUACCCCUUUAGCCGAACUAGCGAAACGUAAGGGGGUAAGCAUAGGAGCAGGGCAAUCCAACUGUAGACCCAAGACAGAAUUCGAAACCGAUGCAUAUAAGGCAAAAUCCUGAGAAACUGAACACUUAGGAGAAGGAGCAGUGACGGUGUAGUGAUCGGGUGGUGUUACCAUCCAAGCCCCCGGGCUAUGAUCGAUAGCACUUUAGCGUGUGCAAAAAGUAAUUUUGACCUGUCAGCGCUGAUUAUGUAUAUGAAAGUACUCGAAAUAAUGUGUGCGAUGAAUUUUUAUAACCCGGAGCACAAAGGCAGCUGUUACAGGUAACUAUCAAUACAAGUAUUUUGAAGCAACUUUUUCAAGCGACCUUACAUGGGUGACUUGACGUCCGCCCUGUGUUUGGCCGUACUAUAUCUAUUGCUCUAAUUAGGGGUGGGGUAUUAUCCUUUAUAGGAAUUUCCUAUCAGCAAGCGGACCUUGAGUAGGCGGUCUUGAGAAGUUGCUGAAUAAUGGAGAAGCUUGACGCUUUGGCUCUUCGUGAUGCCCUCUUUUUAUUUUAUAGGAGUGUGUUGGGCCAUAGUUCGGUUGGCCCGAUUACAUAGUCCCUGGUGGGUUGUGUUACCCAUUUAAUUUUAAGGAUGAAAUUGUGUUGUCGAGGGACAUAUCUUUAUUGUGUUCGGUCUGCGUCGUGGGAGCCAUGUCCCUAUGUACUCUCAGCCAUAGAAGUAGCCGGCUAGUUUGAUUGAGCUCGGGCUCGUUUGCCUCCCAUGUGCGCCUUUGUUGUCGGCGUGUGGCUUGAAGUGUGGACGUCAUGUCAACAUUCAGCUGCUAGUGCGACUGUGUGCUCCUCUGUCCAGAGAGAACACUAUGUGUUUCCGUUUACCGUGAUUACCCCUUGGGUCCGGGCAUUUUGAGCUUCAUGUAGGCGUAGUGGGGUACGGUGUUAAAGUGGGAGAAAGCUAUGCGGCCGAGCAGUGCAUGGUAUCCACUACAAAAGGGGACGAUGUCGAAGAUCAAGUCCUCGCCACGGAAGUUGUCGGGAGAACCGAACACGACUUCCACUGUUAUCGUGCCCGAGCAGCGGGCUUCCACGCAUGGAAUCACUCCUUUAAAGGUAGUGCGGCUUGGCUUGAUGUGUGAUGGGUCUAUGCCCAUCUUUUUUACCGUAUCCGAAUAGAUCAGAUUAAGGUUACUUCCUCCGUCCAUGAGGAAACCAUUGAUGAUGUGGUCGAGGACUAGGGCGACCGACCCUCCAUGACGGAUACUAGUCGGAUGAUCCAUAUGGUCGAAAGUGAUCGAGCAAGCCGACCACGAGUUGUAUUUAGGUGCUACGGGCUCUACGGCGUAUACCUCCCGUGGUUCUCAUUUCCUCUCCUUUUUGGUAUAUGAGUCACAUGGGUCAUGUUCACGGUCUUGACCUCAGGAGGGAACUACUUUUGUCCUCCAUUGUUUGGGCCACGGGGCUCCUCAUCAUCUUUACUUCGUGGGCCCCUAUUUUGCUCAUCGUUCGCAAGCUUGGCUGCGUGUUUGAACACCCAACAAUUACGGUUGGUGUGGGUGGCACGCUUGUCUUGGGUGCCAUGAAUCUGGCAGGGCCAUUCCAUGAUUUUAUCACAUGGAGUUGGUCCAUCCUUGUUCCCUUUGAAGGGUUUCUUCUGCUGACCAUGUUUUGUACUGUACAAUCCAGCAUUGGUUGUUGUAUCGUUGGUAUCACCAUUAUAGUGGCGGCGUUUGUUCUUAGUUUUACUCAGAUUGUUGUUUCCAUCCCGAACUUCGGAGGUUCCGGGGUCGUCCGUGUUAUGGCUACGUCGAGCUAGCCAAUUAUCCUCACCUACGCAAAAGCGGGUCAUGAGGAAGGUAAGGGCGGAUAUAGUUCUCGGCCUGUCGUGGCCGAGUUGUCUGGCCAGCCAUUUAUCUUGGAUGUUGUGCUGAAAAGAAGCUAUUUCUUCGGCAUCUGGACAGUCUACGAUUUGACUUUUCUUGGUGAGGAACCGGUUCCAGAAUUCUCUAGCUGAUUCCCCCGUCCUGUGGACGACGUUGCUAAGAUCAGAUGAAUCCAGUGGCCGAACAUAUGUUCCGUGAAAGUUGGAUAGGAAAGCUUCUUCGAGGUCUUCCUAGCAUAUAAUGGAAUCUUCACGUAUGUUGUUUAGACAAUGUCGUGCCGGUCCUUUGAGUUUUAGUGGUAAAUAUUUUAUGGCAUGGAGAUCAUCUCCUCUAGCCAUAUGAAUGUGGAGAAGGAAAUCAUCUAUCCACACGGCGGGGUAUUUUGUCCCGUCGUACUGUUUGAUGAUUAUGAGUUUAAACCCUACCGGAAACUGGUGUUGCAUGACCUCAUCCUUGAAACACAGUGGGUGAGCAGAGCCUCUGAUCCGGGCUAUGUUGUGUCGUAGAUCGGCUCCGGGUCGAGCCCGAUACGUUUCUCGGCCUCUGCUCUUGUAAGCGACCCGAGGUGGUUCAUCAUCCCAUCGAGUGGGAGAGUACCUCCUGGAUUCGUAGAUGGACCUGUUGUGACCCGAUUUGACGUAUCGUGGGUCGGGUCUGUCCCCAUGGUGCAUAUUCUCUUUAACUUUUUGGUGCAGAGGUUCGGGUCUAUACCCGUUCUCUCCUGUUGUUCUGUCACGCUCUCUGGGUGGGUGAUCAGGCUGGUCGUAGUUGGUGCAUCGAGGGGACACCUGUUCUCGGGCCUCGUCGUUGAACUGUGGGAGCAGACGUUGGCGCGGGUAUGUUUUCUUCUGGUCCGUCCAUUCUGUGUUGUAUCCUUCUUCGUCCGCUAGGAUUUUGGUCCACCUAUUAUAUUGAUGGUAUCAUGUUCGUCAUGGAGUUGUUGUUGCUUUGCUUUUAAGCUUUGUGCGGUAGCUAUAAGUCGUUGCCGAAAUUGCUCCUCGCAUUCACAGUCUUCGGGAAAUACGAACUCUUUGGCUUCGAGGUUGUUGAGGUCGUCGAUGGGAGGGAGGUAAUCGUCGUCGUUGUCCAAAUUGUUGUGGCCGUCAGGAUCGUCAUUUGCUGGUUCCUCUGGUUGGUGCUCGGGAGCCUCGAGGUUGUCGUGGCCCUAAGGGGUAGCGUUUUCCCGUGUGGCUUGUGUGGAUCCCCUUCCAUUGUUUGCCUUGGAGCACUUAGCGUUUUGAGGGAUCUUCUGUGGGCUUAUCGCCGUUCUGCUUGGGGUGACAUUAUCUCCAUUGGGAGGCGUGUCUACCAUGUAAACAUCGUAAGUAGAUGUUGUGGUCCACUUCCCAGUGUUUAUGAGGGUGGGGUAGUAGGCCUCAUCAUCUAGAUCCUCAAGCUCUUCGGAGGCGUAGUCCAGUGCGUCGGUUAGAUGUUCGAUGGUGGCAAUUAAGUGGGUGGUGGGUGGGUCGUAAACGUCCCCAUCAUCCACCUUGGAGCCGAUAUUUGAACAAGUCGGACUUCGAGUAAGCGAGAUUUGAAGCGACUGGAUAUGGUCGAGCGUCUCGUUUAACAUCGAGAGGCUGACCUGACCAAUCCUUUGUGGGUUUUGGGAGUUAACCCGUGCGACUUCCAGAGAGGAAGCCAAUUCGGCAAUGGUCGUUUCCUGUUGUCCGAGCACUGUGGUCGGUUCUGAGCUCAAAGCCUCCUCUCCGGAGGAGAGGGGACCAAGACCAUGAUCGGACAGCAGACCAAGAGACAAGGCUUCGGGGUUUUGCACUUCAUCAGACGAGGCCGUGAGGUUAGGGGGAACAUAUUUCCUCGUGAAUCAGUGGAGACUUCAAAUUCUCCGGACCUUAUGAGGUGACCGGGACAGAACCGCCAAUUUGGUGAGGAUGGCCGGUUAGGUCCGUGCUCAGCGUGAAGCUGUCGAGCAUGGAGAUGUGUUUGAGGGUGAAGAUGCCCUCGUCGCGGACUCGAUCGUUGAUGAUCAAGCGAGCCAUCGAUCCUCUCGAUGAUCCAAUAGCGGAACUCUCAAUGAAAGCACCAGCCAAAACCGACAGAUCUUGGGUAGGGGUCCCGAACUAUGGAGCUUAAAUCAAUGGGUUGCAGGAGAGAGGGGAAGAGGAUGUUUACCCAAGUCCGGGCCCUCUUGAGGACGUAAACCCUACGUCUUGCUUGAUUAUAUUGAUGGGGAACAAUGGUUACACAGUUGGUCUACCUCAUAAGAGCCCCUGGUUUAUAUAGACACGAGGGCCCCUAGGUAGGGGUCCCGAACUAUGGAGAUAACCUACCUUUACGCAUAAGAGCCCCUGGUUUAUAUAGACACGAGGGCCCCUAGGGUUACAUGUUAUCGACAUAGAUCAGGGGUAGAUGGGCCGAACUGGUCCUCGUGCCUUGGAGUGCAUGCCUAGUCUUCGGAGCUUUCCGUCUUCAUUACGUAGUCGUCAGAUAAUCCGGUCUUCAAUGGCGUGGCCCGUAUGAUCGACCCAUAAGGCACAACACGAGUGCCCGAGGACCCCUUAAUCCGGAACUCCCUCACCUAGAUACUUAAUGACUGAUGGUGGUUCAUAUUUUAUUCAUGUUGCUUUUUGUAAGUUGCUUGUUAGAUAUGAUAUUAACCACAGAAUUGCAUCUCCCUACCAUCUUCAAUCUAGUGGUCAAGUAGAAUUAACCAAUAGAGAAAUAAAUUAAUAUUGCAAAAGACUGACAAUACGUCUCGAAAGAAUUGGUUUAAGAAAUUAGAUGAUGCAUUGUGGGCCUACAUAACAGCUUCCAAAAUCCUAUGGGUAUGUCUCCUUAUAAAAUGGUUUAUGGAAAAGCAUGUCAUUUACCUCCCGAGUUAGAACAUAAAGCUUAUUGUGCAAUUAAAGAACUCAACUAAGAUUUCAAACUUGUUGGUGAAAAGAUGUUAUUUGAUAUUAGCUCACUAUAUGAAUGGAGAACCCAAGCUUAUGAAAAUGCUAAACUAUUCAAAGAAAAAGUUAAAAGAUGGCAUGACAAAAGGAUCCAAAAGCGAGAAUUCAAAGUUGGUGAAUAUGUUCUAUUGUACAAUUCUCGCCUUAGAUUUUUUGCAUGAAAACUUCUCUCCAAAUGGGAAGGACCAUAUAUCAUCGAAGAAGUUUAUCGGUCUGGAGCUAUUAAGAUCAAUAACCCCGAUGGCACUAAUCCGAAGGUGGUCAAUGGACAAAGAAUAUAGCACUAUAUUUUAGGUACACCAAUUAAUGUCGAAACAAAUAUUAUACAAACCAUGACACCGGAGGAGCACAUUAGGGAGACCUUCCAGAACACUUGAGAACCCUUAAAAGGAAGAGGUAUGUGAUACUGUAAGUAAGCGAACUCCAAAAAAUCCGCAAAACUAUUUUUUGUUAAAAAAAUAGGAAAUUGAUAAACACACGGGAAGGCAACCCAUGUGCCCACUAGGCAUGAGGGCACACCAGCCCCACCUGGCACACCCUAGUGGGUAGUGGGGCCCUCACGCACCUUCCUCGCUCCGUUUUCUUGUAUGACAAGUAUUUCCUUGUAUAAAAAAUCUUUAUAUAUAUAUCCCAAUGAUUUGACCAUGUUCUUGUUUCGUAUUGUUUUUCCGGGCAGAUCUGAAAAUAUGUAGUCUCAAGAUUCAGAGGGAGAGAGCUAUGUCGCUGAUUACAUCGCAAACUGUAAGGUCUACGUAGAGGUAGAUCAUUAUGGCUGGACUAGGAGGAGGAGGAAGACAAAGAUAUGAAGGAAGCAAAGGAGGAUAGCUUCGAGGAAGAGGAAGAUCCACAACCUCAACCCGGAGAUAUGCACGUGGAAUUCAAAAGGUCAAUCAUCAACAAGUACAAACCUAAGGUCCAAUUUAUCCUUUCCAAUUUUCUAUAGGAAAGCAAAGCGACAUUAUGUGAAAAUAUAUUAAAACUGAAAUUGAAGAAUUAGGAUCUCAGGGAGGAUAAUUUUAGCCUCAAACGCAAGUUGGAGAAGAAAAUGCACCACCACCUUCAUCUUCCUCACCAAAGAAGGAGACUUGAGUGCACGGGUAUGGGCACUCCCCUUGGCUUGUGCCAAGCUUGGGGGAGGUGCCCCGAUAUCGUAUCACCAUCGCUCUUAUUAUCUUUAUUCACGUUAGUUCGAUCUUCAGUUAUUUUGUGAUUUACUCAAAUAAAAGUUUAGUUCGGUCCAUCUUUUUGAGUGCUAGUUUUGUGAUCUAUCUAUCUAUGUAAUCGAGUGAUAAUUAUAUAAUAAAGUUUAGUUAGAGUUGUUGCUUCUUUACUUUCUUGUUGCAAUGAAAAUAAAGGAAAAUAAUGAAAAGUAUCAUAUGCUAAUCUUAUAGUAAGUAGUGACAUUACAUAAGGAAAAGUAUAAGUGGUAAAAUUUGUUGAAGGUUGAAAAACAUAGCAUUGGUAAAUGAUGUAACACAUGAAACAAUUAAUAAGGGAAGAGAGGAUUUACAUGUAGAUACACUAUCCUUGACUUCUUUUAUGAUUGUGAGCCCCCAUUAAUUAUAGUAUGCCAAAACUGUUGGCAUUGGACAAGGAAGACAACGUAAUGAUUUAUGUUUGUUCACAUUCACAUAGAAGUUAUAUUGUUAUAGUUCCUCUAACAUGUGGUGCUUGCCCAAUAUCAUUGCUAGCCAAAACUCCGCACUGAGUAGAGAUACUACUUGUGCAUCCAAAAACUUAAACCCAAAUCCAUGUUUUAAGAGUCCACCAUACCUGCAUAUGGAUUGAGAAGAUCCUUCAAGUAUGUUGUCAUUGGUGCACAAGGCAAUACAAAUUGCUUCUAAACGUGUUAUAUCAUUUAUUGUAAGGUAAAUUAAGUGUUGUACGAACUUGUGAUGGUUAUAAUAAAAGCGAUAAACCGCAUAAUAAAGGAUGGCAUCAUAAAGGGCAAUAUAAUGUAACAUUCCUUUGCACAAAUGGAUUUGGCAUACAACCAAAAAGCGCAUGACAACCUAUGCUUCCCUCUACGAAGGUCCUAUAUUUUACUUUUAUGUAUUUACUUUUAUGCAAGAGUCAAAGUAUUCUUUUCUACUCCUUUUUAUCUUCUCUUUUGCAAGCACCAUGUGGUGGGGAAAGUUCUAGGCAUAUAUAUCCGGUUGAAUGUGGGUGGUCAUGAAUUAUUACUGUUGACAUCACCCUUGAGGUGAAUAUAUUGGGAGGUGACACCUUAAGCCCCUAUCUUUCUAUAUGUUCGAUUGAAACAUUUUGCUCAUAUGUAUGCGGUGAGUGUUAGCAAUCAUAGAAGACUAAAUGAUGGUUGAGUAUGUAGACUUGCUUAAAAGCUCCAACAUGUGACCCUUCCUGUAAAUGUGAUGAAUUAUGUUGCAAAGUUGACUAAAAACAUGGUUUGUUAGUUUUAAAUAGAGUUUAUGCUUCAUACUCCACACAUCAAGAGGGAGAAUGCGGGCAUAUGGAAUUCCCGACCUAAAAAUGCUACAUCAGAGAUACCUAUUCUGCACAUCUUCAAAGGGACUGAAACUCCACACAUAAUAUUAUGGAAGAAAUAAAAAAUACUAGAAGAAAGAAGUACCAGAGGGGGGCUGCGAGGUGGCCACUAGGCACCAGGGCGCGCUAGCCCCCCUAGCGCACCCUGGAGGGUAGUGGGCCACCCAGCCCACUUGUGGCGACCAUCUUUUGUUAUAUAUUCAUGUUUGACCUGGAAAAAAUAAGGAGAGGACAUUCGAGACGGAGCACCGCCGUCUCGAGGCGGAACUUGGGCAGGAGCCUUUUGCCCUCCAAUGGAGCAAUUCCAUCGGAGGAACUUCCCUUCGAGAGGGGGAAAUUGAGGCCAUCGUCAUAACCUACAACCCUCUCAUCUUGGAGAGGCCAUUCUUCAUUAACAUCUUCAAUAACACCAUCUCCUCUCGAAACCCUAGUUCAUCUCUUGUGCUCAAUCUUGUAUCGGAACCUCAGAUUGGUACCUGGGGGUGAUUAGUAGUGUUGAUUACAUAUUGUAGUUGAUGCUUUGUGGUUUAUUUGGUGGAAGAUUAUAUGUUCAGAUCAAAUAUGAUAUUUAAUACCUCUCUGAUCAUGAUCAUGUUUAUCACUUAUGAGUAGUUACUUUUGUUCUUGAAGCCAUGGGAGAAGUCAUGUUGCAGGUAAUCAUGUGAAGUUCAUAUUCGUUCGAUAUUUAUUCUUAAUAUUAUGGUUAAUGCUAUGGUUAGAAUUUAUUAUUAAUACUUUUCUUGUAGUUGCAGAUGUUUACGGGAGGGUUAAUCAUAAGUGGAGGCAUGUUCAAGUAAGAACAACACCCAAGCACCGGUCCAUCCACAUAUCAAAUCAUCAAAGUACUGAACACGAAUUAAUCCGACAUGACGAAAGUGACUAGAUGAAAUUCCCCACUCAUAUGUAUGCGGUGUGCCCUCAACAACACUUUUCCUAUUAUAAGAAACCGUUUCGGCCUCUCCUUUGCCACAUAAGUAUUGGGCUACCUUUAUGCACUUAUUGUUACUAUAGCUACCCAUUACUUGUUACAAAUAUCUUGCUAUCAAACAACUUGUUACCGCUAUUUCUGUGCUUGCAGAAAUUACCUUGCUGAAAACCGCUUGUCAUUUCCUUCUGCUCCUCUUUGGGUUUGACAUUCUUACUUAUCGAAAGGAUUACUAUUGAUCCCCUAUAGUUGUGGGUCAUCAAUGUUCAGAUUGCUUCCUUCCUUAGUAUUAUUUUGAUUCGACAGUAUUGUGGGAUGAAGCGGCCCGGACCAACCUUACUCGUCCACGUACGAGAGACCGGUUCCAUCGACUGACAUGCACCUUGUUGCAUAAAGUUGGCUCGCGGGUGUCUGUCUCUCCCACUUUAGUUGAAUCGGAUUUGAUAGAGGCGAUCCUUGUAGAAGGUUAAAUAGCAACUUGAAUAUCACCGUGUGGCUUUGUGUAGGUGAGAACAUGUGCUGAACUUGUUGCAUAGAGAUGGUUGGCGGGUGUCUGUCUCUCCCUCUUGAGCUUCCGAUUCACCUCUCCCAGCUCCACGACAUUGGUGGUUGCUACCAAAGAAGAGGCCUGCAUAACAGCUCAUGCGUGCCUGACUCCCGAGUUUUAGGUUUUUCGAUCCCCUACCAGGUUUUCUUCAAUCCUACCAGAGCCUCGGGGGCUAAGGUUCACUUUUACUAUUAUUAGCUUUUGUUGACCUAUUUGACCCCCACUUGAGUUUUUCAAACUCAUCCAUAGCUCGGGGUCUACUAUAUAUGAGGACUGUCUAACCCUAUAAAAUAAAUUCUUUUUGUAAAAGGGUGUUACAUGAUUUACCUUGAAGCCUGUUAAGAGGCCGUCGAAAACCUCCUUUGGUCUGCUAUCAACAGAUUGAAUGCUUUCUAAAAUGGCACUAAGGAGAGUGCGAUGUUCUUCGGUGAUGGAGGGGCCAUUAAUCCUCCUGUAUCACGGUCGUUUAGCCAUUUUUGGCUCGCUCUGCUACGGGUGGCACUGGUGGCGGUACCUCGGCUCCCCUUUGGUGGAUGCCGGAAUGGACAACUCUCGGAGCUCGGGGGCUUUGAGACCAUAUUCGGAGAGAGCUCGGACUGACCAGGAUCCACUGCUUUGUUCGCCAAAAGGGAUUCUCCCUCGUGGUCUUCACUGACCGAGGUGUUAACCAGGGCCGUGACUUCAUUACCCUUGCCCCCCAUGUUCAGCCCAGGAUGGUCUUUCACGGUAGCACCUUCUCGAUCUCCUCGACAACCAGAGGAGGUGUAGUGCAUGAUGCAGUCCUGCUCUCUGCUAGUUCGGCAAGCGGAGAAUCCCCUCUAAAGCCUGAUUGGUGGGGAUGUCACGCGGUGAGCUACAACAUGAAAGGCAUGCAUAUGGUUAGUAACGAAUAUCAAUAUGGAUGUACGAUAGAGUCUUUGAAUUCACACCUUUGGGCCAGGGGCUUGGCCUCGGGGUUCCUUUAAGGAACCAAUUCGAAAGCCUUAGACUACUCUGAAGAGUUCUGAUUGUCAUCGUACAGGGCCGCCUUGGCCCUGCAUUGUCUUAUCAGGGCAGUAGGAGGUAGACCCCCCUCAGCGUCAUGAGACGUUAUCCUCUUCCUUAUUCGAGAGGAUUCGCUCUCCUCCCCAUCCUCUCCCUUCUCUCCCUCAUGAGCAGAAGGGUCUUUGGUGUCCCCGAACUUGGUGUCCAGGGGACCUCUUGGUCGUAGGACUUCUCAGGCCUUCCUCUUCUCGCCCUUCUUCUUCUCUUUCUUCUCCGGUGCCUUGUACGGUGCCUCGACCAGCAUUUCCGUUAGCAAGGCCGUCUUGGCGAACUCGGGCUGUGGUGCCGGCCUACUGAUCCGCACAAGUUUCUCUAGCCAGCUCUACGAACAUGGGGGAGAAAGGGUCAAGUUCCUUGUUAAAAUGUAGUACCCGAACAUAAGAGUAAAACUUUAUCGUACCUCCCGAGGAGAGUGUGCGUCGUCAAGGACGAUGUCUUCCGCCUUGACCGGCCAGUCCUUUUGGGGCUUGAACAACACGUUCCACAACUUGGCGUGGGUGGUGUGAUAAAAGCGGAGCACGGUGGCAGGAUCUUCCGGCUUGUAGGACCACAUUGGAGCGUCCCGAUGUUGGCAAGGUAGGAGGCGGCGAUGAAGCAUGAUGUGAACCACAUUGGUCAGCUCAAGCUUCUUCUUUAUCAACUGGGACAUGCACUUCUGCAGUGACUCCACCUCCGUGGAUGACCCCCCAGUCGAGCCCCUACAUGAUCCACGACACCAACCUCGUGGGAGGUCCGGAUCUGAAUUCGGAGGGUGCGGACCAUUCCGCGCCGCGUGGUUCGGUGAUAUAAACAAAUCUUUUUGUCCAGAUUUUGUCGGUAUCUAUAAAGGCACUUUCCGACCACUCAACCCGACGGGAGCUUGCUAAUCCACCCCCCCCACCCACACACACACACAAUCCGCCUGCUGGCUAUCGACUAUCUUCAGCUUAACAUUGAAGACCUUUAGCCACAAGCCAAAGUGUGUCUGGACCCGCACAAAGGCCUCACAUAUAAUAAUGAAGGCCGAAAUAUGCAAGAAGGAGUUUGGGGCAAGAUCGUGAAAAUCCAACCUGUAGAAGAAUAUCAAACCACUUACAAAGGGGUGGAGUGGGAAGCCAAGUCCUCGGAUGAAAUGGGGGAUGAACACCACUCUAUCUCCUUGCCUCGGUGUGGGGAUGACCUGGCCCUCCUCUGGAGCGCGGUGGACUACAUUUAUCGAAAGAUAGCCAGCGCGCUUCAGCUCCUGGAUAUCAUUUUCGGUGACGCUGGAGGCCUCCCCCUUGCCCUUGGAACCAGAACCGACCAUGGACGAUCUGGGGGAGUGGCCUCAGGAGAUUUGAGGGAGGGAUGGAUCUCGGUGCUUAGAGAUCAAGAGAUUGGGAAGGCGGCAACAAUGAGGUAUCUGAUAAGCGUAUGGAGGCUUUGGUGACUGUUUCCCUUCUAUAAGUUGUCAUAAUACCAAGAGCCCAUCUACUGCGUCCCAGACCUCGCCACUUCCUGAUAUAAUCACGUCGUUAUGCGUGCAUGGGAUAGCCCAAAUCAUUGAUCAUAUCCCUUAAAAAACGGGACACAAUCUCUAUAUUGAUGGGAUGUGCCAAUGGAAGAACUAUCUUGAGUCAUGAAUCCAGCUUUCAUAACUGGUCAGUGGUCGUGAUCGACCGUGACCUUUCACUAAAAGUUGUCAGACUAAGGCAUUGUUCACACUUGAGCAGUUGGCCUUCGAGGCUAAGUAACACAUACUGUUCAAAAAUUGGGAACUCAUCAGUGGCCGAACUAGUACCUGCCAAACAUAGAAGGGGAGAAGAACUCGCCCCGCAAGCCGGAGACUUUGGGCGCGUGAACCUGCUAGGGACCUAGACCCCGGCAUUGGAGGCUAGUUCAGGGGCUACUGAGGGAGUCCGGGACUAAUAGUUCCUCGGCCGCUGGUCUAUCUCUUAUGGGCUGGAUAGGUGUGUCGCUUUGUGACUAUUACUGGAAGGCCGAGCUAUAAGGCGACUACAUGUUCAUGAAGAAAACCUCUGGUGCCUUGGUGUGUCCUCCAAGUCAAGAUGGUAGAAUUGGUAUGUUUAUUCCCUGAUGGCAACCGGUCAUGUGUAACCCUAGGUACCCCUAGUGUCUAUAUAAACUGGAGGGUUUAGUUUGUAGAGGAGGGAGAACCAUUGUCCUACUCAUCUAGGGUUUAGUUCAUCUGAUCUCGUGGUAGAUCGACUCUGUAAUUGUCAUACACACAUCAAUAUGAUCAAGCAGGAUGUAGGGUUUUACCCUCUUCGACAAGGCCCGGACGUGGGUAAAUACUAACCAUGUAUUUCAUGUUCCCCAUUAAUCCAAGAUCCGCAGCUCAGGACCCCGUACCCGAGAUCCACCGGUUUUGCCAUGGACACGGGGUAGUUCCUCAUCGAGUUGAUGGUGGAAUUUCUAUCCUUCAAUAUGCCGACGAAACAAUAAUCUUUAUGCAGCAUGACAUCGAAAAAGCAAGAAAUAUUAAAUUAAUCUUAUGAGCCUUCCAGGAAAUUUUGGGUCUUAAGAUAAACUUCCACAAGAGUGAUUUUUUUUUGGAGAGGCUCACAAUGAGGUCCAACAAUAUACUGAACUCUUAGACUAUGGGCAUGGUCGGUUUCUAGUUAGCCAUCUAGGUAUUCUGAUACAUUAUCACAGACUUACAAAUGCUGAAUGGAAACAUGCCGAGGAGAGACUGCAAAAACGUUUAAGUAGUUGGAAGGGAAAAUUGCUAUCUCUGGGCGGUAGAUUGGUACUCAUAAAUUCGGUACUCAGUAAUAUGGUAUUGUAUAUGAUAUCAUUCUUCCUGUUGCCCAAAGGGGUCUUACAAUAGUUGGAUUAUUUUCGAUCAAGAUUCCUUUGGCAAGGAGAUAGUGAGAAGAAGAAAUACCGGCUGGCUAAAUGGAGUGUGGUUUGUCGUCCCAAAGAUAUGGGUGGGCUAGGUAUUCCUCACCUUGAGGUCAAAAAUGCUACCCUCCUAGUUAAAUGGAUUUUUAAUUUACUUACCAAAAAUGGUAUAUGGCAAACCCUCCUAAAAACAAAAUAUGUAGGCUCAAAUGCGUUAUCCCAAGUUAGCUGGAAGCGUGGGGACUCACACUUUUGGGCUGGUCUAAUGGCUACAAAGAAGCACUUCUUCCAUUUUGGAUCAUUUUCUAUUAAGGAUGGCUCAGUAAUUCAUUUCUCGGAGGACAAGUGGCUGGCUAAUGCUACUCUCCGGGAACAAUAUCCAGCUUCAUAUAACAUCGUGCAUCACAAGGGUGAUACUAUUGCCACGGUGUUGGAAUCUUUCCCACCAAGCGUGACAUCCAGGAGAGAUUUAAUCAGCUCAAGACUUGCAUCGUGGAAUGCUUUAUUGCAACGUUUGACAACAAUACAAUUGUCACAGGGUGGUGAUUAGUUUCGUUGGAACUUACAUGAAAGUGGGAAAUUCUCUAUGGAUUCCAUGUAUAAAGCGUUAGUCAAUCCGAUUGUGCCAGUAGAUAGUAACAAGAAGAUGUGAAAGAUGAAGAUACCACUCAAAAAUAAAAUAUUUGCAUGGUAACUUCAUCGAGGAGUCAUUCUUACAAAAGAUAACCUUGUUAAGAAGAAUUGAUAAGGAAGCAAGAUAUGUAUUUUUUUGUCAUGAGGAUGAGACAAUUAAACAUUUGUUCUUUGAAUGCAAAUUCGCUUGGUUUAUAUGGUCAGCUAUUCAAGUAGCUUCUCGCUUGUAUCCUUCACGUAGCGUUGCUAAUAUAUUUGACAAUUGUACAUGAAAUGGACCACGGGUUUAUGAUUCAAAUUAGGAUGGGAGCGCUAGCCAUUAUUUUUUCGUUUUAGCUAUGUAGAAAUGACCAGCUACACGUGCACAUGUACUCUCCAUUUAUGGUCAUCUCUAUAUUGUGUGGAGUUUCGCGACCUCUUUAUGAAGGUCUCUAUACGCUUGGAGCAUACGAUGAAGGAUAUUUGUAUUCAAUAUGGAUGACAACAUGAUCUACGAAUUGGACAUCCAUCUACUACGUCAUACAGUUUCUUCAAGAUUAUUUGUAUUGCGUUUUCUUUCUUGUUUUGUUUAAACUUAUUACGGCUUUAUGCAUUCCACAUAUGCAGAGGUCGAGUGGAAUGCUUAAACCUUUUAUAAAUAAUAAAGCGUUCGUUAUCGAAAAAACAGACCCUAAUUCCUCUGGAUCGCUACAUUAUGCCGAUUCUUUUUGUUUAGAGGCAAAUGGACACGCGCGAAUUAUGUCAGCGCCUUUGAGUUGUUCUAAAAGAAACUCCAAUGGUGCAUCCCAUUUUGUUCGCCGCCAUCUGUUUGGGGCCAUGCGGACAAAAUGGAUGGCCCAACGUGCCGAUCCAUUGCCAAAAGGUGUCCGCUUCGCGUCCGUGUCGAUCCAUUUUCGGCCCAAAUUUGGGACUGAAAUGCGCCGGCGCGGACGUGCGUGCCCUCUUGGUGUCCGCCUGUUCGCCCCAACCACCCACGAUCAACAUAAUUUAUGACGGUCGUUGUCCUCGGGCCCACACAUCAGCGGCCGCGCUCGACCUUUUUUAAUCCGCCCGUGCGGUGGGUUCCACCUCAUCUACUUCUAGAACCCACCCGUCCCCAUCUUGCUACCUCGUCGGCGACCAAACCCUAGCACCGCGUGCCAUGGCCGGCUCCUUCCAAAACAAGGGCAAGGCCCUCUCUACCCCUACGCCAUCUCCCCGUCGGCGUCUUCCCGUCGGCCUCACCAACGUGUCAGCGUCCCGGUGCACCAAGCGCGGUGGCACUGGGAGCAUCGUGUGCCGCUGCCUUACCCCGAUGUCACCCUCCCGCACCAUUGGCAUCUGAAUCCGGAGAGGAUACUGGUGCCGACCGUGACGCGGUCGGCGCGGUUGCACGCGAAGGAGAUGAGUUGUCGUCAGCGUCUGCUGAUGCCGGAGCAGCGACUCAACCGUGCCUACGCGCCCGAAUCCCCCCACUCGAAGCUCUGGUUCGCGGUCGAGCACGAGGAGCAGCGCCGGCAUGGCGUGCACGAUGUGCAUCCAGGACGCCCUCCACUGCCCCUGCCCUUCGGCUGAUUCCGCCUACCAGGCAGCACUGGCAGCUGUUAUCCGCGAGAGCGAGGAGGAAGAGCGGCGCGAGGCUGGCGAGGAGGAUGCAGCAUACAAGCAACGGCUCGCGGAGGCCAUCGCGCUGUCGGCCGCCGACGUCUGCGUCGUGCCACCUCCAUCGAAGACCGAGCCCACGGAGACGUAGGAGGUCUACUAGUGCACUAGUUGCGUCUGUGAGUGGGUCAAUCAGCCGCCCAUCUGGCUGGUCGCGACAUCGAAGCAGGAGGAAGCCUACCUCCUGCACUGGAAGUCGGAGCACCUGCGGGCGGAGCACGCUGAAGGACGUCGGCAGAUGGAGCUGGAGAAGGAGGCGGAGGAGGAACGACGGGAGAUGGAGGAGGAGGAGCGCGCUCGUGCUGCACUGCCACCGCCACCAGCACGGCUCGUGCCGGCGGGACACACGACGGAGGCGCAGGCGGCUGUGCUCUAGAACACGGCGUUCCCCUGGACAGUCCGUGUGCCUAUGUUGGUCGACUUCAACGGCCCGUCGUCGCCGCCUAGGUCUACCUCCUAGUCUAGUUUUUUUAAUGUUUAAUUAAUAUAAUGGGGACGCGUGGACUCUCGCUGGUCUUCGUGGCCGGCUUUUAAUGUUUAAUUAUGCUUGUUUAUUAUUUUUGCAAAUGCUUUAUAUUUUUUCCAGACAAAAAUAGAUCGGGGCAGCGUUGGACGCAUGCGUCGAUCCUAAUACCAAAGCAAAUGGUGUCCGCUCAGCCUACCAAACCAGAAAAAAGACUGGUUGGAUUUGCUCGAGAUAAUUGCAGGGCACUACCACACUUGGGCACCAUGUGACGGAUAGGUACCAAUAGUCAUUUUUUUUGCGUGUCAGUACCAUUUCAUAGCCUAAUUGUUGCAAUACGAUCUGACGGCUGUAUAACUCGUAUUGACGCUAUAUCAGACGUACCGGGCACGCAUGUCAGUUGGCACGAACCGGUUCGAUCGGUCUUUGUGUCUGGCUCGGACCAAGUCGACCGAGCCAGUCGCCUCCUUCCCCCCUUCUUCUCUCCUCGGACUCGGUCGCUCUGCCCCUCUCAUCGCCGAACCUCGUCGGCCGCCACCACCUCUGUCGCGCCAUGGUUUAUGAGGAUGAGAGUAGCAACGACCUGUCGAGCCUGGACAUCAGCUCUUCCUCCGACAGCAUGAUGUACCGGGUAAGUUGUAGAGCUAGGGUUAGGGUUAGGGUUUUUGUUUCUUGACAUUGGGGAUUUUCUCUGUUUUUUGGUUGUUUCUUUAGAUCCCUACUAGCAUCGACGACGAAGACUACAUGGGCAUCGAGAAUUCUGCCCUGGAUGUUUGCUCGGAGCAUGGGCUACUGCUUGAGCGUCGAGUAGCAUUUGAAGGAUUUGAGACAAGCAGGAGGUUUUUAGUGUGUGCUCAGCCUGUAAGAUGCAACUUAGUUAGAUGCAGCUUAGUUAGAUUAGCUAAUUGUUGAUGUAACCAAUAUAGAAUCUUGAAAAUGCAGCUUAGCUAAUUGUUUUUGGUUGGUUCUUUAGAUCCCUGUUAGCUUAGUUAAACAAUGUGCCUUCGACAGUCCUGUCUUUAGAUGCAGGCUAAAAUGUGCCUUGGACACUUAUGUUGCGGACUAUCAUUGUUCCUGAUCCCACCACUCUCAUUGUUUAUUCCAAAUGGGCAAGUGCUCUCAGAUUGUUUACUACUAAAGAUGGAGCUUAGCCAAUACUGAAGAUUCAGGCUUAGUCAUUGUUAAAGUGCUCUCAGAUUGUUUAGUACUCCUUGGUCAUUACUAAUGGGCAUCAAUCAUUGUUUAGUUCCAGCUUAGUUACAAGUGCUGGUAUUUUUUUAUUGAUGUACUGCUAAAGAUGCAACUUAGUUACAAUUGCUGAUAUUUUCUUACAAGUAGUGAAAGUAGUGGUGACUACUUCUGCUUAUUUUUUUAUUUAUGUAGGUGUUGACAUUUUAACUAAGUGAAUCAUUACUACUGAUUAGUAUUAAUGAAUAAGUAUUAGUUCUUAUAUAUGUAGGUGGUGACAUUUUAAUUGGUGUUCAUUAUGGAGUAAUAUAAUAUGUGUUUUUUGUAUUGCAACUACCUCAAAAAUGUGGUUUUGUUGGGUGGGUAGACCAAGAGUGGCCUCCCACAAUGCAAAAUGCAUUGUUGAAACUUUGGGAAAUGUUGGAAGACAGCAAGAGUGCUAGUAGGGAUGAUAAUUUGGAGAAUUCACUGAAAAUUCACCACCUGACAGAAGAGAAAAGAAAUCUUGAUGCAAACUAUGACAAACUAGUAGAAGAUGUGAAUCAACUGCUCAAUGCCCAGGAGGAGAGGGUCAUGGAUUUGAGGUAUUUGAAGGUCAAUGCCCAGGGUGCAGAGAGAUCUAGUGCUGUUGUGGUUGUCAUGAAGUCUGAGAUUGAGAAGAAAGAGGCAGAGAUAAUGGAAGUUAAAGGGAAGUAUUCAGUGCUUAUGAACCUUGCAGAAGCUCAAGGCAGGGUCAUUAGGACCCAGAAGGCUAAUCAUUUGAAGGAGAAGGAGAAGCUAAGUGAAGAGAACUACAAUUUAAAGGUUUGGGUUGAUAAACUGACCAAUUCUGAGGAAAAACUUAAUGAUGACAUUAUGGUGCUCAACCGUCACAUUGAUGGUGUGAAGAAAGGAAUUGAGAAUCUCAUUAAACGCAUGGAUGAGCUGAAGCUCCAUAUUGCUGAUCAGUUGAAGGCAGUGGAGAAGAACCAAGAGAAGUUGAAGAUGACCAGGGACAUUUUGGAUGGAUGAGCUGAUCAGAUGAAGAUGAACUCCACUAUGCUAUGGUUGAUUUGCUACCCUUUUGUUAAUUGUUGUUCUUGAAUGCAUGUUGAACUCCACUAUGUUAUGGUUGUAACUUAAUAACUGAGUAGGUUUGUACCAAUGUUGUAAUGUAAGAAUCUCUGAAUUAUGUAUGUUUAAGUGACUUCAUCUGUGUGCAACCCAAGUAUGUUGUAUUAUGUGAAAUAUCUUAUUAUUUGUUGCAUUGAUAGAUGGGUAUGUGUUUAAGUGACUUGAUGUGUUUUUAAUGACUUGGUUUAAAGAAAUUCAUUGCUCUAAUAAUCACCAUUUUAGCUUGUCAUUCUUGUCUUGUUUGUAGCAGACCACAAAUCUGCUAGCUCUUAAUUUCCUAACUAAAGAGAGCAGAUAUAACACACAUCAGAUUCAUGAGCAUGAAGCACGUCAAGCAUUCUUAUUUUUGAACCCAAAACACAUAAACAGAUGAUGAACACAUAACAUACAUCAGAACCAUGACCAUCAAGCACCUGAGGCAUUCUUAUUUUUGAACCCAAACACAUUAACACAUGAUGAACCAGAAAAUUAGUACACAUCAUCUUAUUACUGAUCACUUAGCACACAUCACUUAGUACUAAUCAUACAACCACAAAAUUCACUAAGUACUAAUCACGUAGUACACAAUAAGUCAUUUAAUACACAUCAUAGAACUUAGUACUCAUCACUUAGUACACAUCAUCAUUAGUCAUGGUUACCACUGGCAGUAAAAAAUGCCAUCCAGCCAGAAUGGUUUCUUGGUGCAGGAGCAGCUGAUGAACCUACAGGAGCUGAUGAUGAACCUCCAGCCGCAAAUCUUGGGGCAGGAGCAGAUGAUGAAUCUACAUCAACAGAUGAUGAAGCUCCACCAGCAAAUCUUGGGGUAGUUAAAGGCCUAUGAACACUGGCACUACUUGUUGAUCUUCUCGUAGAUCUUGCAGGGGGAGGAUGUGAUCUUGCUUCCCUCCUUGGUCUUGCAGUUGGAGGUUGUGAUCUUGCUUCACUCCUUUGUCUUGCAGCUGGAGGUUGUGAUCUUGCAGUUGGAGGUUGUGAUGUUCCAGUUGUAGGCUGUAAACACAAAUGGAUUUAACACAUGAACAUAAUAGUUGGAAAGCACAUAACGAGAAAAUGGUUUACCACAUGCUUGUUUUUCCUUAGAGCCAACUCGGCUCUCAACUAUUGUUCGAAGUUGGUAUAUAUGUGGCCUUGGAUCCCACAGUUGUUGCAUGUUAUAGUGGCCAUUCUUGAAUUGUCCUUUGGUUUUGGAACCUCAAAUUUUCCCUUUAUUCUCUUCUCUUUCUUUCUUCCACUCUUCACAUGAAAUGUGGGUGGCUCUAUGUCUGGUCCACUUGUCCUUGUCCAAUUAUGUUCACUGUGUUGGUAGGGCAAGUGUGCCACAGCCUCAUUUUCUUAAUAGCAAAGGUCUUCUCCCCUUUGAUAACUGCAGCAACAAUGCUCCAGCCUCAUUUUAUUAAUAACAAAGGUCUUCUCCCCUUUGAUAACUGCAGCAACAAUGCAAAACUGGCAAUGAUCUUGCUUACAACAAGCAAUGAUCCUUUGGUCUGAGUUUCUGUGAUACCUAAAGUCUCUGGCCUAUGUGAUGUGCAAGCUCAACAAAGCUUCUCUGAAUUGAUGUUGAUCCUUAAAGCACAUGUACAGACAUAAUUGCUGAUGUGGUUGCUCAAGUUUGUCAUUGUACCAGAUCCUUGGUUUCCUUUUCUUGGCCCUACUCUUCCUCCCUUUAGGUAGCACAAAUGAGGGUGGCUCAUGUCCAUCAUCUUCAUCCUCAAACAACAACCAAUCAUCUUCUUCAUCUGCUGAAGGAAUGAAAUCAGGUAUCACCUCCUCUAACACACUACAAUGUGACCUGGUAGUGGGGCCUUUCCUAAAUUCAAGUUUCUUCCUCAUUUUUGCAGAUUUUUGCAUUGGAGGCUCUUCUCUUGCAAAAACAUUGACAUCCUCAUCUUCCUGCUCAAACAAAUCCUCAACAUCAGUGUCACCCUCAUAAUGUAAUUGUUCCUCAUCUAAAUCUUCAGAUUUGAUCUACAUCUUCUUCCUCUCCUAAUUGUGAGUUGUUAUCUGAAUUGUUGUCACUGUCAUAUGCAUCCUCAGUUUCAUCACUACUAUUAUGUGACUGUUCAAACAAUGACUCUUCCUCCAUUAUAACAUUCAGAUUGUCCUUUAUGAAGUUUAUGCUCUCUUGGGUGCAAAAGCCCGUAGGUUGACUAGGGUUGCUAUAGAAAACAACAACUUCUGGAUCAAUAGCAAGAACUGCAGGCGCACUAAGAUCAUACAGAAUAGGUGGUUCAUAAACUAUUGCUGCUAAUUUAUCCUCUCUAUGACCGAGAGACAUCAUAUUACUUAAGUUUGUUCUCUCUUCAGCUGCUGCACUUGCUGCUAAAUAAGUUGUUGUUGCCCUCACUAGCAAAUUGAGAACUAAACUCUGCUUCUAUUCCUAUUUAGUUCCUGCAGUUUGAUGUUUGUGUCAAUUAAUUCUAAGCCUGGUCUCUCUCCUCUCCUAUUCCUAAAUUUCUCAUGUGGUAUAACUCACCAGAAAAAUAAAAACCUUGUGUUUGCAACACUUCAUAUAGGUUUAGAAAUGUAACAUCUGAGCUACAUAGCUUCAUAUCAAUAUUUGGCUGAGAAUCAAAGUGAAUUUGAAGUUCCCAAACAUCAUCAUUCAAACUACAGUUCAGACAUAUAAAUUCAGAUAAGCAGAUAAGCAUAUAAAUUCAGAUAAGCAAACUCAUCAGUCAAACUAUAAUAUUACUUGUUGUCUUCAUCAAUCAAACUACCAUAACUCUUAUCAACAACACAACACCAAAGCCUCUACUAUGAAUUCUGAAUUGCACACGAGCAACACACAACCUCUAAUUGACAAGUAUGACAUUGCAGAAUUACAGUAACAAGAUUGAAGACUCUAAUAUGAACAUAAUCCUAAUAAUAUCGGCAACCCAAAAGAAAGAACCAACUAGCCUCUACCAUUGAUACAACAAAACGAAAAGGCUAGGGUUCUUCAGUGACUUACAUCAAGCCGCCACCAGCACCACUUGUCUAGUGAUGGCUACUGCUAGGGUUAGCGACCCAGAUCUCUGCCAUCUUCACCCUGUCCUCCACGGACAGCACCGCCUCCUCCUCCAAAUUCGCAUCCUCCAAACCAGCGCUGGAGGAGUGGUUUGAACUGGAGCCACCAUCGUCCAUAGCCAGACCUACGUGGUCAUCUACCCUGAGGCCGGGGAGGUCUCUGUAGCCGCCCGCAAUGUCACCGCCGCCGAGAGUCACCACCGCCAUUGUCGGAGAGACGCGCAGAGAGGGAGAGGGGAGAGCAAGGCUAGGGUUCGAGCGAGACCAAGUGACCAAGAGAGGGUUGGUCCGGUUCGACCAGGUUCGAGCGAGACCAAGUGACCGAUCUAGUACGUGUACGCCACCGUGCCGACUGACAUGCGGGCCUGGCACGUCAGAUACAUCGUCAAUACAAGUUAUACGGCUGUCAGAUCAUAUUGCAACAAAUAGGUUAUGAAAUGGUGAUGACCCACAAGUAUAGGGGAUCAAUCGUAGUCCUUUCGAUAAGUAAGAGUGUCGAACCCAACGAGGAGCAGAAGGAUCUGACAAGUGGUUUUCAGCAAGGAAAAAUCUGCAGGCACUGAAAUUGUCGGUAACAAGUGAUUGUGUGGUGAGAUGAUUCGUAGCAAGCAACAAGUAACAAAAGUAGCAACGGUGCAGCAAAGUGGCCCAAUCCCUUUUGUAGGAAGGGACAAGCCUGGACAAAGUCUUAUAGGAGGAAAAACACUCCCGAGGACACACGGGAAUAUCUGUCAUGCUAGUUUCAUCAUGUUCAUAUGAUUCGCGUUCGUUACUUUGAUAGUUUGAUAUGUGGGUGGACCAGCGCUUGGGAAAUGCCCUUACUUGGACAAGCAUCACACUUAUGACUAACCCCUCUCGCAAGCAUCCGCAACUACGAAAGAAGAAUUAAGACAAAGUCUAACCAUAGCAUUAAACUAGUGGAUCCAAAUCAGCCCCUUACAAAGUAAUGCAUAAACUAGGGUUUAAGCUUCUGUCACUCUAGCAACCCAUCGUCUACUUACUACUUCCCAAUGCCUUCCUCUAGGCCCAAAUAAUGGUGAAGGUUUAUGUAGUCGACGUUCACAUAACACCACUAGAGGAAAAACAGCAUACAACAUAUCGAAAUACCGAACGAAUACCAAAUUCACAUGACUACUAUUAGCAUGAUUUAUCCCAUGUCCUCAGGAACAAAAGCAACUACUCACAAAGCAUAAUCAUAUUCAUGACCAGAGAGGUAAUGAGUAGCAUCAAGGAUCUGAACAUAAACUCUUCCACCAAGUAGUCCAACUAGCAUCAACUACAAAGAGUAAUCAACACUACUUGCAACCUUACAAGUACCAUUCGAAGUCGCGAGACGGAGAUUGGUUACAAGUGAUGAACUAGAGUUUGGAGAUGAGAUGGUGCUGAUGAAGAUGUUGAUGGUGACGAGUCCCCUUCAAUGAGAGGAGUGUUGGUGAUGACGAUGGCGAUGAUUUCCCCCUCCGGGAGGGAAGUUUCCCGGCAGGAUCGUCCUGCCGGAGCUCUAGAUUGGUUCUGCUCAAGUUCCGCCUCAUGGCGGCGACGAAACCACGAAAAAGCUCCUCCUUGAUUUUCUUUUCCUAGAAGAAACCCUCCAUAUAGCAAAAGAGGGGGGCCACUGGGCCAGUGGGCUGCCCACAAGCCCCCAUGGCGCGGCCGGGGGGGUGGCCCCGCCGUGCAGGCUUGUGGGCACCCCCUGGUGCCCCUUGAUACGUCCAUUUUCCAUCAUGCUUUCAUGUUGAUAUUUUUUGCUUUUUGGACUGUUAUUAUACUUUGUGGUACCAUAUUUAUGCCUUUUCUCUCUUAUUUUGCAAGGUUUAUUUGAAGAGGGAGAAUACCGGCAGCUGGAAUUCUGGACUUGAAAAGGAGCAAGUCUGAGACCUCUAUUCUGCGCAACUCCAAAUGCCCUGAAAAUCAACGUGGAAUUUUUUGGGAAUGUAUAAAAAUACUGGGCGAAGGAAGUGCCAAAGGGGAACUUCGAGGGGGCCACAAGCCUGGUAGCCGCGGCCUGCCCCCCUGGCCACGGCUACAGGGCUUGUGGGCACCCUGGUGGCCCAUUGGCCCCCCUCUUCUGUAUAUGAAGGGUUUCAUCCGGAAAAAAAUCAGGGCGGAGCUUUUUCGUGGAUUUUCCGCCGCCACGAGGCAGAAGUUGAGCAGAACCAAUCUAGAGCUCCGGCAGGACGAUCCUACCGGGGAAACUUCCCUCCCGGAGGGGGAAAUCGUCGCCAUCAUCACCACCAACACUCCUCUCAUCGGAGGGGACUCGUCUCCAUCAACAUCUUCAUCAGCACCAUCUCAUCUCCAAACCCUAGUUCAUCACUUGUAACCAAUCUCCGUCUCGUGACUCCGAUUGGUACUUGUAAGGUUGCUACUAGUGUUGAUUACUCUUUGUAGUUGAUGCUAGUUGGAUUACUUAGUGGAAGAGUUUAUGUUCAGAUCCUUGAUGCUACUCAUUACACCUCUGAUCAUGAUUAUGAUUAUGCUUUGUGAGUAGUUACUUUUGUUCCUGAGGACAUGGGAUAAGUCAUGUGAAUUUGGUAUUCGUUCGGUAUUUUGAUAUGUUGUAUGCUGUUUUUCCUCUAGUGGUGUUAUGUGAACGUCGACUACAUAACACUUCACCAUUAUUUGGGCCUAGAGGAAGGCAUUGGGGAGUAGUAAGUAGAUGAUAGGUUGCUAGAGUGACAGAAGCUUAAACCCCAGUCUAUGUGUUGCUUCGUAAGGGGCUGAUUUGGAUCCACUAGUUUAAUGUUAUGGUUAGACGUUGUCUUAAUUCUUAUUUCGUAGUUGCGGAUGCUUGCGAGAGGGGUUAAUCAUAAGUGGGAUGCUUGUACAAGUAAGGGCAGUACCCAAGCGCUGGUCCACCCACAUAUCAAACUAUCAAAGUAACAAACGCGAAUCAUAUGAACAUGAUGAAACUAGCAUGACAGAAAUUCCCGUGUGUCCUCGGGAGCGUUUUUCCUCCUAUAAGACUUUGUUCAGGCUUGUCCCUUGCUACAAAAUGGAUUGUGCCACUUUGCUACACCGUUGCUACCGCUUCUUACUUGUUACUUUUCACCUGCUACGUUUCACCUCACUACACCAUCACUUGUUACCGCUACUUUCAGUGCUUGCAGUUAUUACCUUGCUGGAAACCGUUUAUCAGAGCCUUCUACUCCUCGUUGGGUUCGACAUUCUUACUUAUCAAAAGGACUAUGAUUGAUCCCCUAUACUUGUGGGUCACCAAGACUCUUUUCAGGCGCCGUUGCCGGGGAGUGAAGCGCCUUUGGUAAGUGGAAUUUCGUAAGGAAACAUUUAUAUACUGUGCUGAAAUUUAUUGUCACUUGUCACUAUGGAAACUGUUCCUUUGAGGAAUUUGUUCGGGGUAUCUUCACCGCGAAUAGAAGCACGAGGAGUUGCUCCUCAACCUAAGGUUCCUACUGAAAAUAUCUUUUAUGAAAUUCCUUCGGGUAUGCUUGAGAAACUGUUGGAUAAUCCUUUUACAAGAGAUGGAUCUUCAGAUCCAGACUUGCAUCUAAUCUAUGGAGAUGAAGUUUGUGGUUUAUUUAAGCUUGUAGGUUUGCCCGGGGAUGAGGCAAAGAAGAAAGUAUUUCCUUUAUCUUUGAAGGAUAAGGCGUUGACAUGGUAUAGGCUAUGUGAUGAUACUGGAUCAUGGGACUACAAUCGGUUGAAAUUGGAAUUUCAUCAAAAGUUUUAUCCUAUGCAUUUAGUACAUCGUGAUCGGAAUUAUAUUUAUAACUUUUGGCCUCGUGAUAGGGAAAUCAUAGCUCAAGCUUGGGGGAGGCUCAAAUCAAUGCUAUAUUCAUGCCCCAAUCAUGAGCUCUCGAGAGAAAUUAUCACUCAAAACUUCUAUGCUCGACUUUCUCAUGAAGAUCGUACCAUGCUUGACACUUCUUGUACCGGUUCUUUUAUGAAGAAGGAUAUUGACCACAAGUGGAAUUUAUUGGAAAGAAUCAAACGUAACUCUGAAGAUUGGGAGCUUGAAGAAGGUAAGGAGUCAGGUAUGAAUUUCCAGUUUGAUUACGUUAAAUCUUUUGUUGAAACAAACACUUCUAGAGAUUUUAGCGCUAAGUAUGGACUUGACUCUGAGAUAGUAGCUUCUCUAUGUGAAUCUUUUGCUGCUCAUAUUGCUCUUCCCAAAGAGAAGUGGUUUAAGUAUCAUCCUCCUGUAAAAGUCAACAUAGUUAAACCCAAUCUAGUUGAAGAGAAAGUCAUUGCCUAUAAUGAUCCUAUUGUUCCUUGUGCCUACACUGAGAAACCACCUUACCCUGCUAGGAAAAAGGAUUAUUCUAAAGCUCCAACUGUGAUACGUAGGGGUUCCAUUAGACCACUUGCACCCCCUGAGGAAAUUAGAGUUGAACCUAGUGUUGCUAUUAUUAAAGAUCUCUUAGCCGAAGACAUAGACGGGCAUGUUAUCAAAUUCUGUGAGGACUCCGCUAGAAUUGCUAAACCUCACGCGGAAGACAAAUACGGACCUGUAGUUGGCCUGCUCGUUGUUUUUGUCAAGAUAGGAGAUCACUGUUAUCAUGGUUUAUGUGAUAUGGGUGCUAGUGUUAGUGCAAUACCCCGGUCCCUGUAUGAUGAAAUCAAAGAUGAGAUUGCACCUGCUGAGUUAGAACCCAUUGAUGUCACUAUUGCGCUAGCUAAUAGAGACACUAUCUACCAUGUGGGAAUUGUGAGAGACGUAGAAGUCUUGUGUGGUAAGACGAAGUAUCCUACUGAUUUCCUUGUCCUUGCUACCGCACAAGAUAGCUUUUGUCCCAUCAUAUUUGGUAGACCCUUUCUCAACACUGUCAAUGCUCAUAUUGAUUGCGUUAAACAGACUGUCACUGUUAGUUUAGAGGGUGUGUCUCAUGAAUUUAACUUAUCCAUGUUUGGAAGACAACCCCAUGAAAAAGAGUCGUCUGGUAGGGAUGAAAUCAUUGCUCUUGCCUCUAUUGUCGUGCCUCCUAUGGAUCCUUUAGAGCAAUAUCUGCUUGAGCAUGAAAAUGAUAUGCAUAUGGAUGAAAGAGAUGAGAUAGAUAAAAUUGUUUUAGAACAAUAUCCUAUUCUUAAGAAUAAUCUGCCUGUUGAAUUGCUUGGGGAUCCUCCCCCACCAAAGGGUGAUCCUGUGUUCGAGCUAAAACAGUUACCAGAUACACUUAAGUAUGCCUAUCUUGAUGAGAAGGAGAUAUACCCUGUUAUAAUUAGUGCUCACCUCUUGAAUGAGAGGAAGUUAUUAAAAACUUUGAGGAAGCACCGUGCUGCUCUUGGAUAUACUCUUUAUGAUCUUAAGGGUAUUAGUCCCACUCUAUGUCAGCACAAGAUUAAAACCGAUCCUGAUUCUAAGCCAGUCGCUGAUCAUCAACGGAGGUUAAAUCCUAGGAUGAAAGAGGUCGUGACAAAAGAAAUAUUAAAGCUUCUGGAAGCAGGAAUCAUUUAUCCUGUUGCUCAUAGUGAUUGGGUAAGUCCAGUACAUUGCAUACCUAAGAAGGGAGGUAUCACCGUUGUUCUUAAUGAUAAGAAUGAACUAAUCCCACAGAGGAUUAUUACUGGCUAUAGGAUGGUGAUAGACUUCCGGAAAUAGAACAAGGCAACCAGGAAAGACCAUUAUCCUUUGUCGUUUAUCGACCAAAUGCUAGAAAGGCUAUCUAAACACACACACUUCUGCUUUCUAGACGGUUAUUCAGGUUUCUCGCAAAUACCUGUUGCACAAUCUAAUCAGGAGAAAACCACUUUCACCUGCCCCUUCGGUACCUUUGCUUAUAGACGUAUGCCUUUUGGCUUAUGCAAUGCACCUGCCACCUUUCAAAGAUGUAUGAUGGCUAUAUUCUCCGACUUUUGUGAAAAGAUUGUUGAGGUUUUCAUGGAUGAUUUCUCCGUUUACGGUUCUUCCUUUGACGAUUGCCUCAGCAACCUUGAUCGAGUCUUACAGAGAUGCAAAGAUACAAACCUCGUCUUGAACUGGGAGAAGUGCCACUUCAUGGUUAAUGAAGGCAUCGUCUUAGGACACAAAAUCUCUAAGAAAGGCAUUGAAGUUGAUAAGGCUAACGUUGAUGCAAUUGAGAAAAUGCCUUGCCCCACACAUAUCAUAGGUAUACGAAGUUUCCUAGGUCAUGAUGGUUUCUAUAGAAGGUUCAUUAAAGACUUCUCUAAGAUUUCUAGGCCUCUUACCAACCUCUUGCAGAAGGAUGUUCCUUUUGUUUUUGAUGAGGAUUGUGAGAAAGCUUUCGAAAUACUUAAGAAGGCCUGGAUAACGGCACCUAUUGUUCAACCACCUAAUUGGAACUUGUCCUUUGAAAUCAUGUGCGAUGCUAGUGAUUAUGCUGUUGGUGUGUUCUAGGAAAAAGAGUUGACAAGAAGUUGAAUGUCAUUCACUACGCUAGUAAAACUCUAAACAGUGCCCAAAGAAACUAUGCCACUAUGGAGAAGGAAUUUUUAGCAGUCGUGUUUGCAUGUGAAAAGUUCAGAUCUUAUAUAGUUGAGUCCAAAGUCAUUAUUCACUCUGAUCAUGCUGCUAUUAAGUACCUUAUGGAGAAGAAGGACGCUAAGCCUAGGCUAAUCAGAUGGGUUCUCCUGCUACAGGAAUUUGAUUUGCACGUUGUUGACUGAAAGGGUGUUGAUAACCCUGUAGCAGAUAACUUGUCCAGGAUAGAGAAUGUCCUUGAUAACCCACGACCUAUUGAUGACAGCUUUCCUGAUGAGCAAUUGAAUGUCAUCCGCACUUCACAUAGUGCACCAUGGUAAGCUGAUUACGCAAACUAUAUCGUAGCCAAAUACAUACCACCCAGUUUCUAUUGAAAAUAUGCCCUAGAGGCAAUAAUAAAUUAGUUAUUAUUAUAUUUCUUUGUUCAUGAUAAUCGUUUAUUAUCCAUGCUAUAAUUGUAAUGAUUGGAAACACAGUGCAUGUGUGGAUACAUAGACAAAACAUUGUCCCUAGUAAGCCUCUAGUUGACUAGCUCGUCGAUCAAAGAUGGUCAAGGUUUCCUGACCAUAGGCAAGUGUUGUCACUUGAUAACGGGAUCACAUCAUUAGGAGAAUCAUGUGAUGGACUAGACCCAAGCUAAUAGACAUAGCAUGUUGAUCGUGUCAUUUUGUUGCUACUGUUUUCUGCGUGUCAAGUAUUUGUUCCUAUGACCAUGAGAUCAUAUAACUCACUGACACCGGAGGAAUGCUUUAUGUGUAUCAAACGUCGCAACAUAACUGGGUGACUAUAAAGAUGCUCUACAGGUAUCUCCGAAGGUGUUCGUUGAGUUAGUAUGGAUCGAGACUGGGAUUUGUCACUCCGCGUGACGGAGAGGUAUCUCGGGGCCCACUCGGUAAUACAACAUCACACACAAGCCUUGCAAUCAAUGUGACUUAGUGUAAGUUGCGGGAUCUUGUAUUACGGAAUGACUAAUGAGACUUGCCGGUAAACGAGAUUGAAAUAGGUAUGCGGAUACCGGCGAUCGAAUCUCGGGUAAGUAACAUACCGAAGGACAAAGGGAAUGACAUACGGGAUUAUAUGAAUCCUUGGCACUGAGGUUCAACCGAUAAAGAUUUUCGGAAUAUGUAGGAUCCAAUAUGGGCAUCCAGGUCCCGCUAUUGGAUAUUGACCGAGGAGUCCCUCGGGUCAUGUCUACAUAGUUCUCGAACCCGCAGGGUCUGCACACUUAAGGUUCGAUGAUGUUUUAUGCGUAUUUGAGUUAUAUGGUUGGUUACCGUAUGUUGUUAGGAGUCCCGGAUAGGAUCACGGACGUCACGAGGGUUUCCGGAAUGGUCCGGACACAAAGAUUGAUGUAUAGGAUGACCUCAUUUGGUUACCGGAAAGUUUUCGGGCAUUACCGGAAAAGUUUCGGGCUCAUCGGUAGUGUACCGGGAGUGCCGGGAGGGGUGCCGGGGACCAUCGAGAGGGGUGUCACGCCCCAAGUGGUCUCAUGGGCUAUGGGAAGAGAUAAACUAGCCCCUAGUGGGCUGGAAUAAGUUCCCACUAAGGCCCAUAAGGUUUGAGAAGGAAAAAACACAAGGUGGAAAGAGUUUCCAAGUGGGAAGGUGGAAUCCUACUCCAAUUAGGAUUGGAGUAGGACUCCUCCACCUCCAGUUUCGGCCAAACCUUGAGGGUUUGAGGCUGCCUCUUCCCUCUCCCUCCCUCCUAUAUAUACUGGGGUACUAGGGCUGAUUUGACACAACUUUUCCAAGGCAGCCCGACCACAUAACUCCACGGUUUUACCUCUAGAUCGCGUUUCUGCGGAGCUCGGGCGGAGCCCUGCUGAGAUUAGAUCACCACCAACCUCCGGAGCACCGUCACGCUGCCGGAGAGCUCAUCUACCUCUCCGUCUCUCUCGCUGGAUCAAGAAGGCCGAGAUCAUCGUCGAGAUGUACGUGUGCUGAAUGCGGAGGUGUCGUCCGUUCGGAACUAGAUCGGAGCGGAUCGUGGGACGGAUCGCGGGACGUUUCGUGGGACGGUUCGCGGGGCGGAUCGAGGGACGUGAGGACGUUACACUACAUCAACCGCGUUCACUAACGCUUCUGCUGUGCGAUCUACAAGGGUACAUUGAUCAGAAAUCCCCUCUCGUAGAUGGACAUCACAAUGAUAGGACUUCGUGCACGUAGGAAAAUUUUUGUUUCCCAUGCAACGUUCCCCAACAGUGGCAUCAUGAGCUAGGUUCAUGCGUAGAUGUCUUCUCGAGUAGAACACAAAAGUUUUUGUGGGCAGUGAUGUGCGUUUUGCUGCCCUCCUUAGUCUUUUCUUGAUUCUGCGGUAUUGUUGGAUCGAAGCAGCUCGGGCCGACAUUACUCGUACGCUUACGAGAGACUGGUUUCAUCGCUACGAGUAACUCCGUUGCUCAAAGAUGACCGGCGAGUGUCGGUUUCUCCAACUUUAGUUGAAUCGGAUUUGACCAAGGAGGUCCUUGGAUGAGGUUAAAUAGCAAUUCAUAUAUCUCCGUUGUGGUGUUUGCGUAAGUAAGAUGCGAUCCUACUAGAUACCCAUGGUCACCACGUAAAACAUGCAACAACAAUUAGAGGACGUCUAACUUGUUUUUGCAGGGUAUGCUUGUGAUGUGAUAUGGCCAACGAUGUGAUGUGAUAUAUUGGAUUUAUGAGAUGAUCAUGUUGUAAUAGUUAAUAUCGACUUGCACGUCGAUGGUACGGCAACCGGCAGGAGCCAUAAGGUUGUCUUUAAACUAACAUUUGUGCUUGCAGAUGCGUUUACUAUAUUGCUAGGACGUAGCUUUAGUAGUAAUAGCAUGAGUAGCACGAAAACCCCGAUGGUGACACGUUGAUGGAGAUCAUGAUGAUGGAGAUCAUGGUGUGACGUCGGUGACAAGAAGAUCGUGUCGGUGCUUUGGUGAUGGAGAUCAAGAAGCACAUGAUGGUGGCCAUAUCAUGUCACUUAUGAAUUGCAUGUGAUGUUAAUCCUUUAUGCACCUUAUCUUGCUUAGAAUGACGGUAGCAUUAUGAGGUGAUCUCUCACUAAAAUUUCAAGACGAAAUUGUGUUCUCCCCGACUGUGCACCGUUGCGACAGUUCUUCGUUUCGAGACACCACGUGAUGAUCGGGUGUGAUAGACUCAACGUUCACAUACAACGGGUGCAAAACAGUUGCACACGCAGAACACUCGGGUUAAGCUUGACGAGCCUAGCAUGUGCAGACAUGGCCUCGGAACACAUGAGACCGAAAGGUCGAGCAUGAAUCGUAUAGUAGAUAUGAUUAGCAUAGAGAUGCUUACCACUGAAACUAUUCUCGACUCACAUGAUGAUCGGACUUGAGAUAGUGGAUUUGGAUCAUGUACCACUCAAAUGACUAGAGAGAUGUACUUUUUGAGUGGGAGUUCUUAAGUAAUAUGAUUAAUUGAACUAAUUGUCAUGAACAUAGUCUAAUGGUCUUUGCGAAUUACGAUGUAGCUUGCGCUAUAGCUCUACUAUUUUUAUAUGUUCCUAGAGAAAAUUUAGUUGAAAGUUGAUAGUAGCAAACUUUGCAGAGGAUUGUCCUCGUUGUUGCGCAGAAGGCUUAUGUCCUUAAUGCACCACUCGGUGUGCUGCACCUCGAGCGUCGUCUGUGGAUGCUGUGAACAUCCGACAUACAUGUUUCUGAUGACUACACGAUAGUUCAGUGCAAAAUACUUAAUGGCUUAGAAGCAAGGCGCCGAAGCCGUAUUGAAACGUCGCGGAACAUAAAUGAUGUUCUAAAGAGAUGAAAUUGUGAUUUCAUGCUUGUGCCCUUGUUAAGAGGUACAAGACCUCCGACAAGAUUCUUUGUCCACAAAGUAAAGGAGAAAAGCUCAAUCGUUGAGCGUGUGCUCAGAUUGUCUGAGUACGACAAUCGCUUGAAUCAAGUGGGAGUUAAUCUUCCAGAUGAGAUAGUGAUGGUUCUCCAAAGUCACUGCCACCAAGCUGUGAGAGAUUCGUGAUGAACUAUAACAUAUCAAGGAUAGAUACAAUGAUCCUUGAGCGAUUCGCGAUGUUUGACAUUGCGAAAGUAGAAAUCAAGAAGGAGCAUCAAUAGUUGAUGGUUAGUAAAACCACUAAGUUUCGAGAAAGGCAAGGGCUAGAAGGGAUACUUCGUGAAACGGCAAAGCAGUUGCUGCACUAAUGAAGAGACCCCAGAUUAAACCCAAGCCCGUGACUAAGUGCUUCUGUUAUGAGGGGAACGGUCACUGAGGCGAGGCAACUCUAGAUACUUGGUAGAUAAGAAGGCUGGCAAAAGUUGAAAGAAGUAUAUUUGAUAUACAUGAUGUUGAUGUGUACUUUACUAGUACUCCUAGUAGCACGAGGGUAUUGGAUACUGGUUCGGUUGCUAAGUGAUUAGUAACACGAAAUGAAAGCUACGACAUAAACGGAGACUAGCUAAAGGCGAGAUGACGAUACGUGUUGGAAGUGUUUCCAAGGUUGAUAUGAUCAAACGUCGCAUGCUCCCUCUACCAUCGGGAUUGGUGUUAAACCGAAAUAAUUGUUAUUUGGUGCUUGCGUUAAGCAUGGACAUGAUUGGAUCGUGUUUAUUGCAAUACGAUUAUUCAUUUAAAGAGAAUAAUGGUUACUCUAUUUGCUUGAAUAAUCACCUUCAAUGGUUUAUUGAAUCUCGAUCAUAGUGUUACACAUGUUCAUGAUAUUGGUGCCAAAAGAUACGAGGUAAUGAUGAUAGUACCACUUACUUGUGGCACUGCCGCUUGAGUCAUGUUGGUAUAAAUUGCAUGAAGAGGUUCCAUGCUGAUGGAUCUUUAUACUCACUUGAUUUUGAAUCACUACUGACAUGCAGAUCAUACCACAUGAGCAAGGCCUUGUUUUCAUUGAGAUGAAACAAGAUAGUAACUUGUUGGAAGUGAUACAUUUUGAUGUAUGCAGUCCAAUGGGUGCUGAGGCACGCAGUGGUUAUCAUUAUGUUCUUACUUCAAUGACGAUUUGAGUAGAUACAAGAGUAUUUACUUAAUGAAUCACAAGUCUGACAUAUUGAAAAGUUCAAUUCUGUUUCGGAGUGAAGUUCGUUGUAACAAGAGGAUACACUGUCUACGAUAUGAUCAUAGAAAUAAAUAUCUGAGUUAUGAGUUUUGGUACGCAGUUAAGACAAUGUGGAAAUUGUUUCGCAGUUCAUGCCACCUGGAACAUCAUAGUGUGAUGAUGUGUCUGAACGUCAUAGCCACGCACUAUUUGGUAUGGUGCAUGCUAUGAUGUCUCUUAUCGAAUUACCACUAUCGUUUAUGGGUUAUGCAUUAGAGACAACCGCAUUCACUUUAAAUAGGGCACCGCAUGUUUCCGUUGAGAUGACACAGUAUAGACUGAGGUUUAGAGAAAUCUAAACUAUCGUUUCUUGAAAGUUUGGGGUUUCGACACUUAUGUGAAAAAGUUUCAGUCUGAUAAGAUCGAACCCAAAGCGGAUAAAUGCAUCUUCAUAGGAUAUCCAAAACAGUUGGGUACAUUUCCUAUCUCAGAUCCGAAAGCAAAGUGUUUGUUUCUAAAAACGGAUCCUUUCUCGAGGAAAGGUUUCUCUCGAAAGAAUUGAGUGGGAGGGUGGUAGAACUUGAUGAGGUUAUUGAACCAUCACUUCAACCAGUGUGUAGCAGGGCGCAGGAAGUUGUUUCUGUGGCGCCUACACCAAUUGAAGUGAAAGCUGAUGAUGGUGAUCAUCGAGCAUCGGAUCUAGUUACUACAAACCUCGUAGGUUGACAAGGUCGCGUACUAUUGCAUAGUGGUACGGUAACCAUGUCUUGGAGGUCAUGUUGUUGAGCAACAGUGAACCUACGAGUUAUGGAGAAAGCAAUGGUGGGCCCGGAUUCCGACAAAUGGCUGGAGGCCAUGAAAUCCGAGAGAUGAUCCAUGUAUGAAAACAAAGUGUAGACUUUGGAAGAACUACUUGAUGGUCAUAGGACUAUUGAGUAAAGAUGGAUCUUUAAAAGGAAGACAGACGAUGAUGGUGAUAAGUCACUAUUAAGAAAAGCUCGACUUGUCGCAAAGAUGUUUCCGACAAGAUCAAACAGCUAUGAUGAGACUUUCUCACUCAUAGCGAUGCUAAAAGUCUGUUAGAAUUAUGUUAGUAGUUGUUGCAUUAUUUAUGAAAUAUUGCACAUAGGAUGUCAAAACAUUGUUUCCUCGACGGUUUCCUUGAGCAAACAUUGUAUGUGAUACAACCAGGAGGUUUUGUCGAUCCUAAAGAUACUAACAAGUAUGCAAGCUCCAGCGAUCCUUCAAUGGACUGGUGCAAGUAUACACUUUGAUGAGAUGAUCAAAGAUUUUGGGUUUGUACAAGGUUUAUGAGAAACUUGUAUUUCCAAAGAAGUGAGUGGGAGCACUAUAGAAUUUCUGAUAAGUAUAUGUGGUUGACAUAUUGUGGAUCAGAAGUAAUGUAGAAUUUAUGUAAAGCAUACAAGGUUGUUUGAAAGGAGUUUUUCAAAGGAAUACCUGGAUUGCGCUACUUGAACGUUGAGCAUCAAAGAUCUAUGGAGAUAGAUCGAAAGCGCUUAAUAGAAGUUUCAACAAGAUGCAUGCCUUGACAAGUUUUUGAAGGAGUUCAAAAUAGAUCAGCAAAGAAGGAGUUCUUGGUUGCGCUGUAAGGUGUGAAUUUGAGUAAGACUCAAAACCCGACCCCGACAGAAUAAAGAGAAUAGACGAAGGUCGUCUUCUAUGCCUUGGCCGUAGAAUCUGAAGUAUGCCAUGCUGGGUACCGCACCUGACUGUGUGCCUUGACUCAAAGUCUGUUGAUAGGUACAGAGAGUGAUCCAUGAUUGAAUCACUAGCAGCGGUCAAAAUUUAUCCUUAUUAAGUGAUGGACUACGAAAUUUUUCUCGAUUAUGGAGGUGGUUAAAGAGUUCGUCGUAAAGGGUUACGUCAAUGCAAGCUUUGACACUAAUCCGAAUAACUAUGAGUAGUGAAACGGAUUCGUAUAGUAGAGUAGAUAUUUGGAGUAUCUCCGAAUAACACAUAGUAGCUGCAUCUAUAAGAUGACAUAAAGAUUUGUAAAGAACACACGAAUCUGAAAGUUUCAGAACCGUUGACUAAAACCUCUCUCACGAGCAAGACAUUAUCAGACCCCAUAACUAUAUGGGUGUUGGAUUCAUUGGAAUCACAUGGUGAUGUGAACUAGAUUAUUGACUCUAGUGCAAGUGGGAGACUGUUGGAGAUAUGCCCUAGAGGCAAUAAUAAAUUAGUUGUUAUUAUAUUUCUUUGUUCAUGAUAAUCGUUUAUUAUCCAUGCUAUAAUUGUAUUGAUUGGAAACACAGUGCAUGUGUGGAUACAUAGACAAAACACUGUCCCUAGUGAGCCUCUAGUUCACUAGCUCGUUGAUCAAAGAUGUUCAAGGUUUCCUGACCAUAGGCAAGUGUUGUCACUUGAUAACGGGAUCACAUCAUUAGGAGAAUCAUGUGAUGGACUAGACCCAAACUAAUAGACGUAGCAUGUUGAUCGUGUCAUUUUGUUGCUACUGUUUUCUGCGUGUCAAGUAUAUGUUCCUAUGACCAUGAGAUCAUAUAACUCACUGACACCGGAGGAAUGCUUUGUGUGUAUCAAACGUCGCAACGUAACUGGGUGACUAUAAAGAUGCUCUACAGGUAUCUCCAAAGGUGUUCGUUGAGUUAGUAUGGAUCGAGACUGGGAUUUGUCACUCCGUGUGACGGAGAGGUAUCUCGGGGCCCACUCGGUAAUACAACAUCACACACAAGCCUUGCAAGCAAUGUGACUUAGUGUAAGUUGCGGGAUCUUGUAUUACGGAACGAGUAAAGAGACUUGCCGGUAAACGAGAUUGAAAUAGGUAUGCGGAUACCGACGAUCGAAUCUUGGGUAAGUAACAUACCGAAGGACAAAGCGAAUGACAUAUGGGAUUAUAUGAAUCCUUGGCACUGAGGUUCAACCGAUAAAGAUCUUCGGAAUAUGUAGGAUCCAAUAUGGGCAUCCAGGUCCCGCUAUUGGAUAUUGACCGAGGAGUCCCUCGGGUCAUGUCUACAUAGUUCUCGAACCCGCAGGGUCUGCACACUUAAGGUUCGAUGAUGUUUUAUGUGUAUUUGAGUUAUAUGGUUGGUUACCAAAUGUUGUUCGGAGUCCCGGAUGGGAUCACGGACGUCACGAGGGUUUCCGGAAUGGUCCGGAGAUGAAGAUUGAUAUAUAGGAUGACCUCAUUUGGUUACCGGAAAGUUUUCGGGCAUUACCGGAAAAGUUUCGGGCUCAUCGGUAGUGUACCGGGAGUGCCGGGAGGGGUGCCGGGGACCAUCGAGAGGGGUGUCACGCCCCAAGGGGUCUAAUGGUCUAUGGGAAGAGAUAAAUUAGCCCCUAGUGAGCUGGAAUAAGUUCCCACUAAGGCCCAUAAGGUUUGAGAAGGAAAAAACACAAGGUGGAAAGAGUUUCCAAGUGGGAAGGUGGAAUCCUACUCCAAGUAGGAUUGGAGUAGGACUCCUCCACCUCCAAUUUCGGCCAAACCUUGAGGGUUUGAGGCUGCCUCUUCGCUCUCCCUCCCUCCUAUAUAUACUGGGGUAUUAGGGCUGAUUUGACACAACUUUUCCAAGGCAGCCCGACCACAUAACUCCACGGUUUUACCUCUAGAUCGCGUUUCUGCGGAGCUCGGGCGGAGCCCUGCUGAGAUUAGAUCACCACCAACCUCCGGAGCGCCGUCACGCUGCCGGAGAAAUCAUCUACCUCUCCGUCGCUCUUGCUGGAUCAAGAAGGCCGAGAUCAUCGUCGAGCUAUACGUGUGCUGAACACGGAGGUGUCGUCCGUUCGGCACUAGAUCGGAGCGGAUCGUGGGACGGAUCGCGGGACGGUUCGUGGGAUGGUUCGCGAAGGGACGUGAGGAUGUUCCACUACAUCAACCGUGUUCACUAACGCUUCUGCUAUGCGAUCUACAAGGGUACGUAGAUCGGAAAUCCCCUCUCGUAGAUGGACAUCACCAUGAUAGGACUUCGUGCGCGUAGGAAAUUUUUUUUUCCCAUGCAACGUUCCCCAACAGUUUCACCUACCAGCAAAAGAAGAAAUUCUUCUUUGAUUUGAGACACUACUUUUGGGAUGAUCCUCACCUUUAUAAGGAAGGAGUAGAUGGUGUUAUUAGACGUUGUGUGCCUGAACAUGAACAGGGACAGAUCUUGCAGAAGUGUCAUUCCGAAGCCUACGGAGGACACCAUGCUGGAGAUAGAACUGCUCAUAAGGUAUUGCAAUCAGGUUUCUAUUGGCCCACUCUCUUCAAGGAUGCCCGUAAGUUUGUCUUGUCUUCUGACGAAUGCCGAAGAAUAGGGAAGAUCAGUAAACGUCAGGAAAAGCCUAUGAACUAUUCACUUGUCAUUGAACCAUUUGAUGUGUGGGGCUUUGAUUAUAUGGGACCCUUCCUGAGUUCCAAUGGGUAUACUCACAUCUUAGUUGAUGUUGAUUACGUCACUAAGUGGGUAGUAGCUAUCCCCACUAGAAAUGUUGAUCAUCACACCUCUAUUAAGAUGCUUAAAGAAGUCAUUUUCCCAAGAUUUGGAGUCCCUAGAUAUCUGAUGACUGAUGGCGGUUCACACUUCAUUCAUGGUGUUUUCCGCAAGAUGCUCGCUAAGUAUGAUGUCAACCAUAGAGUUGCAUCUCCUUAUCAUCCUUAGUCUAGUGGUCAAGUGGAGUUGAGUAAUAGGGAGAUCAAAUUGAUCUUACGAAAUACUUUCAAUAGAUCUCGAAAGAAUUGGUCUAGCAAACUUGACGAUGCACUAUGGGCUUAUAGGACUGCUUAUAAGAAUCCCAUGGGCAUGUCGCCGUAUAAAAUGGUUUACGGUAGGGCCUGUCAUUUACCUCUUGAGCUAGAACACAAAGCUUAUUGGGCAAUCAAAGAGCUCAACUUCGAUUUCAAACUUGCGGUGAGAAGCGGUUGUUUGAUAUGAGCUCAUUAGAUGAAUGGAGGACCCAGGCAUAUGAGAAUGCCAAGUUGUUCAAGGAAAAGGUUAAGAGAUGGCACGAGAAAAGAAUACAAAAACGUGAGUUCAAUGUAGGUGAUUAUGUCCUGCUAUACAAUUCUCGCUUAAGAUUCUUCGCACGCAAACUUCUCUCUAAAUGGGAAGGUCCCUAUGUUGUCGAGGAAGUAUAUCGUUCCGGUGCCAUCAAAAUCAAUAACACGAAAGGUAAUUUUCCGAGAGUGGUAAAUGGGCAAAGAAUCAAGCAUUAUAUCUUUGGUACUCCCAUAAAUGUUGAGACCAAUAUCAUCAAUAUCAUAACUCCAAAGGAGUACAUAAGGGAUGUUUAUCAACCUGUUUCAGACCCUGAAAACGAAGAGGUAUGUGUUUCGGUAAGUAAUUGGACUCCAAAACUUUUCCAGUAGGAAAUUUUCUCCGUUUUGGAAUUUUUGGAAAAAUAGAAAAAUAAAAAGCAGUCCGGAGAGCGCACGAGGCGUCCACAAGCUUGGUAGCCGCGGCCUCCCCCCUGGCUGCGGCUACAGGGCUUGUGGGCACCUCGUGUGCCUCCCGGACUCCGUUUUCUUGCGGAGCACUCCUUCUGGUCCAGAAAAAAUCAUUAUAUAUACGCCCGAGGGUUUUGAUCUCCGUAUCACGUAGUUUUCCUCUGUUUUCGUUUCGAGCCUGUUUCUGCUGCAGUUCUAGACUGCUAUGGCUUCCCCAAAAGCUCCGAAGGACAAGGUCUUUGAGAAGGUUAUCAAUCCUUACCUCGCGGAAGUGUUGCAGCACCCUCAAUCUAUCAAGAUGAGUGAGGAGAUGUUGCACAUUCGUGAUGUUGAGGGGCCUAAGAAGACCGGAAGCAUGGAGACGAGGCUCGAAGCAAUGGAGCAACAAGUCUUUAAGUGCCAAGGGAUGGUGGAGCGUGGACUCAACGCCAACCACAUGAUGAUCGCGGAAUUCACCAACAAGCACAAGAUGGAUGCCAAUGACAUUGGGAAGCACCUCUCCAGGCUCUAUGACAGGGUUGAUCAACUCCAGGGCCAGAUCUAUGACAGGCAGAACCAAAACUAUGAGUAUGAGUAUAGAUUUAAAUCAAUACGGUUGGCUGCAGAUUUAAGGAUUCCGGCGACUCGUUCAUCCUGCCAUGAUGAAGCACCUAUGCCUUGGAAGACGGAGGAUCAGACUCAUGUUGCAACUCCUCCACCACCACCAAAGGAAGACAACUGAGCAUUGGUAUGGGCAAUCCCCUUGGCUUUUGCCAAGCUUGGGGGAGUUGCCCUCGUAUCGUAUCACCUUUAUAUCUUUUGUUUUUACCUUUGUUUUAGUUCUUUCUUUUUCAGUUUUUACUUUCUUCUCUUAGUGGGAUAAGUCUUUAGUGUUUAGUUUGAGUCUUUUGCCUUGUGUCUCCCCCGAUGUAUUCGCGCGUUCGCGCUCGCCGAAGAGGUCCAGGCCUCGCUCCCUGGUUCCCGCUCCCUCUUCCUCGGCGCCCCCGCCCCGUCCCUCGAGUCCGCUACCGCCGCCUCUUCCUCUUACCCGUUCGCCGCCAGCCCUUCUUGCCUCCCCCGCGUGUUCCUCGCCAUGGCGCUGCACCUCUACCACUUUCGCCCCCACAUCCUCGUCGCCACCGGUGGCCCCCCUGCCCUCCCCAGCUCCCUCGUCGCGCUUCUCAUGGGAUUCCCUUUCGUGAUCCAGGCCUCCACCAGGGCGCGUUUCUUCCCCACGGCAGGGCUAGUGGGGGAGGAGGGGACGGAGGUCGUGCUCGUGCUCGCUGGGACAGUGGGAUCACCGCAGAUCAAUGUGGCAGUGCUUAACAUGUAUUACGAGAUGCUGUCGAGAAGGAAAAAUAGGUACAUUAUAUGGCAGACGGGACCAGAGGAUUUAUGCGAGAUGGAGAGCCUCGUCAGGGACCAUCGCCGGCUGUUUCUGACACCGUGAGUUCCCUUCCUUUGCUUGUAUCACGUUGUUUGUACUUGGGAUGUCAAUUUAUAGCUGUUAAGGGCGCGUUCGGUAGCCAGUAUACAACCCAACCAGACCCGCUGGAUGCUGCUUUUUUCUUGUUGGGUUAUUUGGUUAUAUGCAAACACUGUUGUGCCUGUAUCGCAUGGUUCUUAAAGCAUCGUUUUGCAUGCAUCGCUGCAAACGCUUAAAUCAACGGUUUCCAGCUAGCCAUGCCCAAGAGAUGCUCUCCAGCCCACGUGGGUGGCUCUGGCCAAGCAUGCUUGUAUGUAGUUAGCAGGUAUUUUCUUCUAAGCACCUCUUUAAUCUCCUUCAUCCCUUCUACACAACCCUGCUUUGUUUCGCGAUAAGCUGUACACAAAAAAUAUGCAGCUCGGUGUUCUAAUUCCAUUCAGGCGAUUGGAUCAUAGUUUCGUUCCCUAUAGAUGCUGGACUUCUUCUUCAUAUUUGAAGCUUUUUUCGACGAAUUUUGUCAAAUUUGUGAGACGGUCAACCGUUUGAAGUUUCCUUUGAGUAGUAGUUUCAUGUCGUUGUUUGACACGACUUUCGUAUUGCAUGCAUCGUCGUCGGACGAGCAUGUGGACGACCCAUGGCGGCGCCUGCAAGCUUCGGAGCUGGCCAUCCAUGGAGCUCCCGCGGAGAAUAAAGCGCAACGACAGCUAUGGUUAACACGGACACGUGUGCGUGGAAAGAAGAAAGGGGGGGUUCGAGGGGAGCACAUGGGACCUUGGUUUGUCCGGUGAUGGGGAGGAGCAAAGGCUUGGCCAUGCUCGAGCACUACUCCAUGUACGAUGUGCACGGUGGAGCUCGGUGGUCCUCUGGCGCGGCAGCGGCGAGGCUCCGGCAUGAGCAACACGUCCAGGAGAGGGCCUCUUGAGCAGCAGCUUGAGGAGCUCAGGCUCGUGGCGUUCGUGGCGCUGCUUCCUAACCAAGCACAUAGAGAGACAGAGAGUUCAGGGAAAGGAGAGAUGUAUGGAUUGGAGAGAGAGAGACAGGAAAGGGCAAUGAGGAACAGGGGACUGUGCGGCUGGUGCUGCUUCAGUAGUGCUAGUCGCUGACGGGACGAGGAGGCAGGGGGUGAGGUCGGGAUCAAGGUGAAAGCUGACGGGCGGCUGCCGGUACACCGGUGUCGUCGGUGGCACUGGCGCCGACCAGUAGUCUACCCGUGGUUCCCUCUGCCAUACUCGUCCUUCUGCGAGCGAAGCACGUGUGCGUUCCACUAUAAUCUCUUUGUUAACUGUAGUUGUUAACUCCUGGUCACCAUGCAUGUAUGCAACCAAGCACCGGGCAGAAAUUGCUUUCACGAUGACAACACCCCAUAUGUAGGCAACCAAACAACAUGCAAAUGUCGUAUUUACCCUAUAUUUUCUCAACCAGUCUACACUCCAUCGGACUCGUUUAUCUCCUCUCAACCAGGGCUUGCUGAGGAAGUUACCAAACACGCCCUAAUUAGCUUGCACGGGGAUCUCGAUGUAUUAAUGGGAACGUGUCAAACUUUUAUGGAAAGAUGCAUGUCCGUUGAGAAAAAUAAAAAGGGAUAAUUGGUUUUAUGCCCCUAGUUGGGUUACACUCGACAGGUUUAUCCCUACUUUCCCAAAACAAUCGUUCUGCCCAAACCACUUUGCUCGUCUUACGCAUUUGCCCUUUGACCGUUUGACCGCCACUUUAAAAACUUAAUAACAAAUGCAUACUAACUCAGAAAAAUGCAAAUAAGAUAUCAAACUGUUCAGAAAUACAUCACAUAGUGGUUUGGGUGGGAUAAACUAGGGAUAAACCUGCCGAGUGUGUCGCAACUAGGGGCAUAAAACCAAUUUUCACAAAUAAAAAUAGUGGAUUGAUGACGUGGCAUGUGUAGUGAGGUGGCAUGUGUGCAUGUUGAGAUAAAUACAAGUAGUGGGCCUAUGAUAGUUAAUUUUCUAUGCUUAUUAAUUGUGAUCUUUUCACUUUUGCUCAAAUUAGACAGGGUUUAGGUAACAUGAUACGGUAUAGGUAACAUGAUACCAUUCAGUCAAGCGAAGAUCAACCUUCUAUCAUGACAGUACUAAUUAGUGCAGAACUAGAAGACACGAUUGUGAUAUUACUACAAGCAGCACUGAUAACAUUAUGAUACCAUUUCAGUGUUAUAAUCUCAUAGCCUAUGUUCCAUUUCUUCUGAAAAUGUGUAUUGGUAACAAAACACUUACAUGACACUCGAUCCAAAUUUGACAAUAUGUUAGCGACCAACCCUAUUCUCGUCUGCGCUCAGCCAAGUGCGCAGGGCUUGGGAUACACGGAGCCUCGGGAGGGAGCAGCUACAUAUGAUGGAAUUCACUACAAACAACUUGGCUAGGAAUUGGAUGGCUUAGGCCUCCUCUGCUUCUCUAUCUCCUCCUCUCGUGUUCCUCUCCUCCACUGUAAUGGCUAACCCUUGGUGAAUCCAUGGCUUGUAGUUCCAAUCGUUGAGCAAUUGACCUAUGUACUUGAGUGUUGUUAACAAUUGGUAUUUUUUUAGAGGAAAAGGGAGAUAGAUAUCCCCUGUUCCAUUACUUGAACGAAACCAGAAAAGUUGCAUACGUCAUGUCUCUUAGAGCAGCAGUUCCAAGGGAAACAAAAUAAAGACUAGAGCAAUGUAGAAACGGGAGGAAGAGAGGAGUACCUCCAGCUCGUGUGUUUGUGUGUGGCGGCUCAUACUGGGAACGGGAUGGCUGGGAGCCUCUUUUUAGGUCAGUCCCAUUACAUGGGCCUCGGCCCUAAGAGAUAACUGGAUGGGUUGGGCCAUACCGGUUCAACACUCACCCUCAAGAUGGGUGGUAGAUAUCUAUCAUUCCCAUCUUGUCACAUGCCAAGUUACAAUCCUUUGUACCGAGACCCUUUGUCAAACAAUCUGCAAACUGCUGCCCAGAACUGACAUGAGUAAGGCUGAUGACCCCGGCAUCAAGCUUCUCCUUAAUGAAGAACUGAUCAAUUUCCACAUGCUUUGUCCUAUCAUGUUGAACUGGGUUAUUUGCGAUGGCUAUAGCUAACUGAUUGUCACACCACACCUUCAAGGGCCCCUUCCUCAGAAGUUUCAACUCGCUCAGUAGGUACUUCACCAGAGCAUCUCACACCUCCCUUGAGAUAAUGCUCUAUACUCAGCUUCUGUUGUUGAUCUAGACACAACCGACUGUUUCUUGCUUCUCCAUGAUACCAAAUUUCCUCCCACAAACACGCAGUAGCCAGAAGUUGAUCUUCUAUCAUCUUGACAACUGGCCCAGUCAGAGUCACUAUAGUCAUCCACCUCAAGAUGUCCACUCUUCCCAAACCACAACCCUUUACCCGGAGUCUCCUUCAAGUAUCUCAGGAUUCUAUGCACAAUAUCAAGAUGCCCACUCCUUGGUUCAUGCAUGUAUCUGCUCACCACCCCGUAGCAUACGUAAUGUCAGGCCUGGUAUGACACAAGUACAACAACCUUCCAACCAGUUUCUGAUACUCUUCCUUAUUCACUAGCUCUCCUGAUUGGGUUGUCACUUGGUUAUUUUGUUCAAUCGGAGUAGGGGCACUACGACAUCCCAUCAUGCCUACGUCACUCAAGAGAUCCAAGGUGUAUUUUUGUUGGCACAAAGAGAUUCCCUUCUCUGUCUGAGCCACUUCAAUGCCAAGAAAGUAUUUUAGGUUACCCAAAUCCUUUACCUCAAACUCCUUGAUCAAACAACCCUUUGAUCUCUCUAUUUCCUCCUCAUCAUCUCGAGUGAUGAUAAUGUCAUCCACAUAAACAGCAAGAAUGGUGACCUUCCGAUCAGAGUGCUUGUAGAACAUCGUGUGGUCACUGUUACACUGACCAUACCCCAUACCACGGAAAAACACGUCUGAAGCUAUCAAACCAGGCCCUUGGUGAUUGCUUCAGUCCAAACAAUGAUUUCUUCAGCGUGCAUACCUUCCCCGUAGUCUCUGUAGUACCAAAACCUGGUGGUAUUUCCAUGUACACUUCUUCUUGCAACUCACCAUCCAAGAAGGCAUUUUUAACAUCUAAUUUGCCAUGGGAGCAAACGUCUCAUCAUAGUCAAUUCCAUAAGUUUGACUAUAUCCUCUGGUGACCAAUCUGGCCUUAUACCGUUCCACCUUCCCUUCAGGAUUCUGCUUCACUAUAUAGAUCCACUUACAACUCACUGCUUUCUUUUCUGUCGGCAAUGUGGUUAGCACCCAUGUCUUGUUUUUCCUUAGUGCGUCCAACUCUUCUAUCAUCGCUUCACGCCACCUCGGAUCUUGCUUUGCAGCCUUCCAAUCCUUUGGAAUUGAAACAGUUUGAAGGGAGGCAACAAACACCUUAUAUGUGGGUGACAAAGCCUUAUAAGACACAAAAUUGUCAAUAUCAAGAUCAUCACAAGCAUCAUCCUUUGGUAGAGCCUUCCUUGCUACUUCACCCUUUCUUUCCGCUUCACGUGUAGCCUUUCGCAAUGCAAUGGGCAGCUCCACUGUGUCAGAUGAGCUCGUCUCACUGUCUUCCUGCACCCCUGCACUCUUGCCUCAUUGCCUUGCUGCUCCCCUUGCACUCUUGCCUCAUUGCCUUGGUGCUCCCCCUGCACUCUUGCCUCACUGCCUUGCUGCUCCCCUUGCACGUGUGUUUGCCAUCGAGAGUACACUAGGGUGUUCAUCUGCCAUCGAUCCCGAACAGGAACCCGAAGAGCACCAAUCUUAAAUGUAUCGACGGUUAGCUCGACACGAACCUGCACAUCAUCAUCAGUGAGAGUACUAAUCGGACUUGUUCCCACUAUUGGUUGGACCUGAACUUGCACAUCAUUAGUAGUGUUAUUGCCCACAGAAGCACCCUGAGUAUGAGACACAUCCUUCUCGCCCUCUUGACCAUCUUGCACAUGUUGUAGGUGGUCAAGCUCUGCAAAUAGCAGACUGCGAUCAGUCUGCGUACCAUAGAAUGGCUCCGACUCCGUGAAGGUAACAUCCAUACUCACAAACCUGUGUUUUUCAGAGGGAGACCAACAUUUAUACCCCUGCUGACUAGAAGAGUAUCCCAGGAAGACGCACUUCACUGCCCAAGGAUCAAGCUUUCCAACAGAUGGUCGGUGAUCACGAACAAAGCAAGUACUGCCAAACAACUUUGGGGAAACAACGAACUUAUUAUCUCCAAUGAGCAACUCAGACGGAGAUUUCAUACCUAAUAUCCUCGAAGGUGUCCGGUUGAUCAGGUACGUGGCAGUCAUAACUGCUUCAUCCCAUAAGAACUUAGGCACAUUCAUGGUAAACAUCAAUGACCGAGCAACCUCAAGAAUAUGACGAUUCUUCCUUUCGGCCACUCCAUUAUGUGGUGGGGUGUCCGGACAUGAAGUUUGAUGAAGAAUCCCCUGGUUAGCCAUGAAAUCCCCAAAAAUAUUGUUCACAUACUUUGUACCAUUGUCAGUCCUGAGCACGUUGACCUGCACCUAAAACUAGUUCUUUACAAGAGCAUGGAAGUUCUGAAAACAGCUAAACACCUCAUCCUUGUGACGCAUCAAGUAAAUCCAAGUCAUACGAGAAUAGCAGUCAAUAAAGGUAACAAAAUACUUCUUUCCAUUCAUUGACACUACUGGGCUAGUCCAUACAUCCGAAUGAAUGAGCAUAAAAGGAGAUAUGCUCCUAAGCCCCUUACUCACAUAUGAGGCUCGUGUGUGUUUUGCAUAUUCGCAAGCAUCACAUGUCAACUUGCCCUUGCCUAUUCCACACAUAACAACCGGAAAGACUACUCAUCUUAUCAAAAGAUACAUGACCCAUUCUACAAUGAUGGAUCAUCGUUUGCUUCUCCUUGUCCUCCAUGGUCGCAGCACACACCAAGUCCGGUUGCACCUCCUGGUCCAUGUACCAGAGCCCCCUACGCCUGGUGCCAGUCCCAACCGUCUGGCUCGUCUGUCGCUCCUGAAUCAAGCAACUGAACUUGUCAAGGAUCACACGAUAGUCUAUUUGAUCAAUAAGAGCACUGAAAGAGACCAAAUUGACAGGAAAAAGCUGGCACAUGCAAAACUUAUGAUAAGGAGAUGGCUGAAGUGCAUUUGACUGUGCUAACCCCUACGACAGGCUGAUUGGUACCAUCGGCAGUUUGUAUAGUGCCCUUGUGAGUAGGAGCAUGCUUAUGGUAAGACUCAAACACACAGAAAUUACCCGCAACAUGCUUAGAUGCUCCAGAGUCAAAGACCCACUUUGAAGCACUCUCAUUAGGAGUAAGAAAUGCCUUCAUCGAAUUACCUUCAUCAGUGGAGGCCCAGUGCGCAAAGUCUCCAUAGGCAGCCUCAUCAACUCCCUUGCCGUGUGACGUCCCAGUGUCCUCUUCAACUACCAUAUGCGCCCCUGCCCCCUCAGUUUCCUGAGUAGCCACCUCUGCCCCUAGAAAGUUGACCCCCUGAGUUCCAUGGGUAUCCACCUUUGCCUAGAGCAUACGUGCCUCUACCAGUGCCCCCUCUGUUGUAUCCCCUCCCUCUACCACGAGUUGGACAUUCCCUCUUCCAAUGACCUACCUCCCCACAAAUAUGACAUUUGUUGGGAUCUCCCCACUCCAUGCGCUCAGUGACUGCAAAUGUCGAAGCCGGCACAAACUUCACGUUUGCAUGCUCAAGAGAUAGCCUCACCUCCUCUUGAGACAUUGCUGCAAUAGUCUCCUCAAUAGUUGGUAGGAGAAGUUGGUGCAACAUGGAAGCCCCCUGCCAUGAAAGCAACCUCUAAGGCCUUCCAACAGUUUCAGCACACGCCUGCGUGCAAUCCACUUGUGCCCUGACUCGAUGCACGCCGCAUCGUAGAGUUCCAGAGGAUCACAGUUAUCCUGCUCCGCCCACAAAGCCUGCAGCUCUGCUACAUAUGCCAUCACUGACAUGUCAUCGCCUUGGCGCAGCCGACUGAUCUUCCCCUCAAUCUGAGCAAUUAGCAUGAAAUUACCCUUGCCUGAGUAUUGGGUGGAUAGAGUCUUCCAUAUCUCGACGGACGUGGAUAGUCCCUCCACAGAGCGACCAAUGGAGGUCACCACUGAGUUCAACAACCAGCCAACAAGCACAGAGUUUAUGACCAUCCACCGCUUUCCCUCCGCGGUAGUCUUGUCUUCGGGUUCAUCAACCGCACCCAAUAAGUGCCCAUUAAGUUCCUUCUAUUCCACUGCCAGCAAUGCCCUUCUGGACCAGCUCAAAUAAUUUGUGGGCCCCUCUAGCUUCAUGUCCAGGGGUGAUAUUUCGAGCUUCUGAGCCACUUCCUAUCGAGGAAUGAUGGCCCUAGAGUUGGAGUUGGACUCCGCGAGGAUCUUAGCGAGCUUCUCGAAAGCAGCAGCGAGAGCAUUUGGUUCAGCCCACUUUGGUGCUCCAGCAGCACCACAACCUCACUUCUUCUCCACAGCAGAACCAACACACAGCAGCAAAACAGCAACAUAGAUGCACAACAGCAGGAACAACACAACAACAGCUCCACUAACAACACAGCAACAGCUCCAGGAACAGUCCACCACCAGCACCUUCUACUCUAGCAGCAACACCCAGCUCCUCUAGCAGCAGCACCCAGCUCCCGGUCUCCCCUAUAGUGCACACCACCACCAGCAGCAACAGCAGCUGCAACUUCCUUCUCGGGCAAGCAGCAGCAGCCGCAACCCCAGAUGCAGCCACAACAGCAGACUCAAGCAGCUGCCCUUCUUUCGCUUCCUCCUCUCUCCUUCUCCCUUCCACCCCCAGAAACACAGCAGAACAGAGAGAGAUAAGAGAGCCGGGGCAGGUAGGAACCAGCACCAGCCGCCGCCCUGUCGCCCGCGCAGCCGCUUCUCCUCCUCGCGCGCACGCACAACCCACGCAUAGCCGCCUCCUCUCCAGCACGCAAUGCCGCCGUCAAUCCCCACCGGACCCUGCAGCCAUGCCGGCCGGCGCUGCCGUCCGUCAAGCCUUGUCGGACCUAGCCUCUGAUACCAUGUCGAAAUGGGAGGAAGAGAGGAGUACCUCCAGCUCGUGUGUUUGUGUGUGGCGGCUCAGACUGAGAACGGGAUGGCUGGGAGCCUCUUUUUAGGUCAGUCCCACUACAUGGGCCUGGGCCCUAAGAGAUAACUGGAUGGGCUGGGCCAUACCGGUUCAACAAGCAACAAGCAAGAGAAACUAGCCAACACCACCUGGGAGGAAAUUAUUAAGAGAAACUAGCAACUACUACUACGCGCAGGUGAUCUCCAGAGUAGAUUUCCUGGCCUUCAGUGGGGGUGCCGAUGGAGUUCGAGGAGACCAGCAAACCACCAGGGUUCAAACAGGGCUAGCCAUUCCAGGCUCGUCUUCGGAGGUUUUCCUUUUUAUAGGGGAUCGGAAAGAGGUAUCAUUAGUGAUCUUGAGCUUGCUCCAUGGGUCAAACGCCAGCGAGUCUUGUGUGGAAGUAAUCUGACUCAGCCACUUGUGAGUGCGAACGGCUUCCUCAAGAAAUUCACUAGAUGUGUUGCAAAGGCUGAAAUUCUCUCCCGAGGCUGGUCCGGAGACAAAAUGGCCCAAGCUUUGAUCAUGGCCAGUAAUCCCUUCAGGACCUGAUGGAUGGACAACCAAGUGUUGUUAUUGAAAAUCAUAGCAUUCCUAUAUUUCCGAAGACACCACAAAACAGCAGAGCUAGUAGUAUUUAAGGCAGAGUUUCUAUUGUUAGAAACCCAGAGUCUAGCAAUUUAUUCAAAGUUUCCACCUAGCUGAACUUUAAAAUGCUCGCAGAUUAAAGGCCAGACAUUCUUAGCUACCACACAGUUAAAGAAAAGAUGCUGGAUGGACUCUUUUCAGAACAAAACACACAAUCAAGGGUUUUGAUCAUCAUGUGCCUUUUUCGAAGGUUGUCCUUGGUCAUCAGUUUAUUGUGUGAAAGCAGCCAGAGAAAAACAUGAAUUCUAGGAUGAACUCUAAUUUUUCACACAGCAGGGAUGAAUACAGGUUGUACACCUCUAAAGUUAAUAACAUGGUAAAGAGAACUAGCAGAGUAUUGCCCUUUAUUUUCUAGUUGCCAGACCAGAGCAUCAGAUUCAUCACUGAGAGUAAUGCUCCUGGCAAUCACAACCAAUUGGUACCGUUGCUCCAUCAGGGUAUCAUCAAAAUUCCGUCUAAAGGAUAAUUUUAUUUGUUGACCAUCCUAAACCUCAUUAAUAGAUUUGGAUUGUUCAUUGCAAACCGAAUAAACAUGUCAGAAUUGAAUUGCUAGAGGGGAAGUACCAAACCAAGUAUCUUCCCAAAGUCUAAAUUUGCAGCCAUUUCCUACUUUCCAUCUGUAUCCAAAUUUGAAGGCUUGGAUAAUGGAUCUAAUCCCUUUCCUGAAUCUGGAAAUUUUCUGUGCGUGAUAGGGAGCAAAGGGGUUAGGUUUCUCCGUUUUGUACUUAUGAUCAAUGAUCAUUUUCCAAGGUUUACCAUCUCCUUCAUAGUAUCUUUUAACCCAGGUGCCUAACAGGCAUAGGUUGAGAUCUUGAAGGUUAGGAAUCCCAAGCCCCCCAAAUUCUUUUUUCAUAGAAGCUAACCCCCAAUUGGCUAGAUGGAGUUUCCUGUGACCUUCAAAGUCAUUCCACAAGCUGAUACGGGGCACACCCGUGGGUGUCGAUCUUUCACGGAUUGGAGGGGGAAUCCUCAAGAACACGAAGAACACGGGGAUGAAUGGGGAGAAAUCACAAGAGAGAACACUCAAGAACAAGUCCAAUCACACAUCCACUAGACUCACGACACAGAAGAUCCACAAGGGUAUAUGAACAACAAAGGGAAAGUAAGAUACAUGGUAGAGUUCAUCCCAAAUCCCAUGGGGAGAUGGGGCCUUUAAUACACUAGGGGAUCUUCCCUCGUAAGGGGCCUUGGCAUCCACUGCGUGGUAUUCUCACAUGCAGGCAUCUCCAUGGGAGGAGGUAGUAGAUGGAGCUAUGCUCAACAAAAGAUGUCUAUGCAUAAGCUUACCCUAGAAAGGAGGAGUGGGUGGAGUAUAUAUAGUGCCAGGGACGAAGGUGUAAGUGAGAUGGAUAUACAAGGCCAAAGUCCCGUCAUGCGCACAGGCAGGGCGGGAUGAUCCGGGCUAGGGGCCUGAUGAUCCGGGCAUCAUCCGGAUAAUCCGGCCGGGGGUCCGGAUGAUCCGGAUUCGGUAAAAACGUCGGGUAUCGUACCCGGACGAUCCGGGCUGGGGUCCGGAUGAUCCGGGCGCCUUCCGGAUGGGCCGGGGUCCGGAUGAUCUGGGCAAGUGCAGUCUUGCACUCCCUCCAGCUUCUGGACUCCGUCUUCUUCCGUCUUCGCUUCCAAGCUUCCCUCGCGGAUGGUGUAGUCGUACGUAGGUGUGGGCACUCCUCCUCGUCAUACGUGAAGCUCCGACAAUAUCUAUGCGUGCACACGAGAGUAGUGUCAAGUAGUAUACCAUCCUCGAAGGGGUCAAGUGAGCACGUGUAAAGGAGAUGAUUCACCUUUGUAUAUUUGAAGUAGAAGUAGCACGUGUCAUUUGGCAAAGGGACUCUUGCCAUGGUGAUGUCCGUGGGAUGCUCCAUAUCACAAGAAAUUAGCCAUUUGUGAAUUGAUCAUCUCUAUGGCCAAUUUCGGGAAUUUGAAGAAGGGAAGUAAAUAAAUGGGGAUGCUGGCAAGGCAUGCCUGAAUGAAAGCCUGCCCUUGUAAGAAAGGAGCUUACCCCUCCAUCCUGCAAUCCUUUUCAGAUUUAUGAGAGGUUGAAUAUAUUCUAUUUUAAGUUUAUCAUGGUGGAGAGGGAUCCCCAAAUAUUUAAUUGGGAAUUUGCCACCACUACAAUCUAGGGCAGUAAGGAAGUUUUGAAACUCAGCCUCUUCCACAUUAAUUGGAAUAAGCUCACUCUUAGAAUAAUUAUUUCUCAUCCCAGAUACUUGCUCAAAGCAAGUUAGAGCUACUUUGAGGUUAUUGGCAUGAGUAAGGUCCUUAUCUAAGAACAUAAUUGUGUCAUCUGCGUACUAGAGGCAGAUGACCCCUCCUAGACAAACAUCAGGACACAGACCAAUAAUUAGAUUCUGAUUAGCAGCUUUAUCUAAGAUCUUGAGCAAGUCAUACAUGAUUUAAACAUAUUCUAUCUCUAAGUUCUAUCUCUACCUUAAACACAAUAUACUUAUAACAUUCCCCCUCAGACGUAGUGGGAGUGAAGGAGACCAUUGCGACUGAAUUUGAAUUCUUGCGUCUCUGUCAUCUUCUCCACCGCGCCAUCAUCAACUGCGUCUCUGAUGGAUCGACACCUAGGGCGGUGACUGCGUCCCCUUCUGGUGCCUUCGUUGUCUUUCCUCUAUUCCCUCGCGCAGUCACAACAGGAGUGACGUGGACGCUAGUGACGACGCGAACGCUGUUGACUGGAGUUGUUGUCGAUGAGUUGCUAUAGACCAAACUAUUAAUGUCGAUGUAGCCGUGGUCGAGGUAGUCAUGGUCGAUGUGUGAUCGUCGUGGAUGAUGAAGCCAAAAAAAUCCGGAGGCACAAAAAAAUACGCUAUGACGGAGUUGCAGACGUGGACGAUGCACCUUGCGAAUGUCAGAGGGUGCCGUCAAGGAUGAGUCCACCGGUUUUGCCACGGCCGAAGGAAACCCAUCGAGCACACAUCUGUUUUGCCAGAACCAUGUGGCCGUGUAGGAUCGUCACUGUAGUGACGCCAUAUCGAUGCAGUCGUGCCAUCAUGGAUGACGCGGUCAAUGUCGUCGUCAUGACGCGGUCAUUGUCGUCAUCGAGGUCGCGUCUUGCAGAAAAAUUUGUCAGAGGACGCUAGGUGUCCAUCUUGUGGACAAGGCAGUGGCGGUGUGUUGACGAAGAUGUUGAUGAAGACCACGUCGAUGAAGACCUUGAUGAUGAAGCGUCGGCGAUGACGUCGCAACAGCGUGUCAAUGAUAAUGUGUUGCGUGAAGGCAUCCCUUGCAGCGACCAAGUGUCGAUGACGUGUCUCGUCGGAGAAGUCGAUGGACAAUUGCAUCACUUCCCACACCGGCCUGGCGUGUGGAUGGUGCAUGCCGUGAUAGAUUCUCAUAGUGUGCUCGAUGAUGAAUCUGGUGUAGUUUGGCUUGAUGCAGUGCAAAUCGGUCGGUGUAGUCGUAGAUCGCGCUCGGUGUAGAGGCUCAUAGACGACUCAAAAAUUGCAUGAGUCGCUGUGUAGGUAGCUCGAUGUAGAUGCGUGUGGAGUCCGUUGGUGUAGUCGGUCUCGUCUUGUGGAAGACGACGUGUGGCCAUAUUGCCGCUCCUUGGCGCAGAUCGAAGUAGACAUGUGGACAUGCGCGACGGUGUCCAGUGGCGGUGCCAGAAAUGUAGUCUAUCCAUGCGUGGACCUUUCGAGAUGAUGGAUGGACCUUUGGAGAUGAAGUCUGCUGGUGGCUGGAUGAUAACCCACAAGUAUAGGGGAUCGCAACAGUUUUCGAGGGUAGAGUAUUCAACCCAAAUUUAUUGAUUCGACUCAAGGGGAAGCCAAAGAAUAUUCUCAAGUAUUAGCAGUUGAGUUGUCAAUUCAACCACACCUGAAAGAUUUAGUAUCUGCAGCAAAGUAUCAGUAGCAAGGUAGUAUGAUAGUAGCAGUAGCAACAGUAACCAGUAGCAGCAAAGUAACAGCAGUAGCAACACAGAAAUAGUAGCAACAGUAGAGUAACAGCAGCAACAGUGACAGCAGUAUCGGCAAGCAAUGUAGCAAGGACCAGUAGGAAAAACUCGUAGGCAUUGGAUCGGUGAUGGAUGAUUAUGCCUGAUGUUAUUCAUCAUGUAACAGUUAUAACACGGAGAGAUAUGUAACUAGCUCCAGUUCGUCAAUGUAAUGUAGGCAUGUAUUCCGUAUGUAGUCAUACGUGCUUAGGGAAAAGAACUUGCAUGACAUCUAUUGUCCAUCCCUCCCGUGGCAGCGGGGUCCUAAUGGAAACUACGAGAUAUUAAGGUUCUCCUUUUAAUAAAAAAAACAUGAACUCCUCAUACUAUGGUCAUCUCCGGGAGUGGUUCCGGCUAUUGUCACUCUGGGGUUGCCGGGUCAUAACACAUAGUAGGUGACUACAAUUUGCAAGAUAGGAUCAAGAACACACAUAUAUUGGCGACAACAUAAUAGGUUCAGAUCUGAAAUCAUGGCACUCGGGCCCUAGUGACAAGCAUUAAGCAUGGCAAAGUAGUAGCAACAUCAAUCUCAAAACAUAGUGGAUACUAGGGAUCAAUCCCCGUCAAAACUAACUCGAUUACAUGAUAGAUCCCAUCCAGCCCAUCACUGUCCAGCAAGCCUACGAUGAGAUUACUCACGAACGGUGAAGAGCAUCAUGGAAUUGGCGAUGAAGAAAGGUUGGUGAUGACGAUGGCAACGAUCUCCCCUCUCCGGAGCCCAAAGCAGACUCCACAUGUGCCCUCCAGAGGAAGAACAGGAGGUGGCGGCGCCUCCGUAUCGUAAAACGCGAUGAACUCUUCGCCUUGAUUUUUUUCCGGGCGAGACGGACUAAAUAGAGCUAGAUUUGGAGGCGGUGGAGCGUUGUGGGCCCCACAAGCCUGCCAGGCGCGACCAGGGGGGCCCGCGCCUGGUGGGCUUGUGGGCUCACAGCUCCACUUCCUCCGCUGAUUCUUGCGCCAGUAUUUUUCAUAAAUUCCACAAAAAUUCUCCGGCAAUUUUAGGUCGUUCCGAGAACUUCUAUUUCUGCGCAAAAACAACACCAUGGCAAUUGUGCUGAAAACAGCGUUAGUCCGGGUUAGUUCCAUUCAAAUCAUGCAAAUUAGAGUCCAAAACAAGGGCAAAAGAGUUCAGAAAAGUAGAUACGACGGAGACGUAUCAACCUUCCCAAGCUUAAAGCCUUGCUUGUCCUCAAGCAAUUCAGUUAAAAAACUGAAAGAUACAAAAGAAAAACUUGUACGAACUAUGUUUGAUCUUGUUGUUGCAGCUAUGUCUAACUCAUAACCAGAAUUUCAGCAAGAUCACAAGCUAACCACAUAAGCAAAUGACAUCUAGGUAUCACGGUAAACUCAUAUCAAUAGCAUAAUCAACUAGAGAGCAAACAAUAAUAAGUCUCAAACAUCAACACUUCAAUCAAAACAACAUGAAUCAGUAUGAACAGAUGGUAUCUCGCUGGCUCUUUCUGAGACCGCAAAACAUAAAUGCAGAGCACCUUCAAAGACCAAGGGCUGACUAAACAUUGUAAUUCAUGGCAAAGAAGAUCCAGUCACAGUCAUACUCAACACAACUAAAAGCAAAAGCAUAAAAAUGACAGAGGUGCUCUCUAAUUGGUGCUUUUGUAAGAGGAGGAUGACUCAACAGGAACAUAAAUAGACAGGCCCUUCGCAGAGGGAAGCAUUGAUUUGCAGAGGUGCCAGGGCUCAAGCUUUGAAAAUGUAGAUAAUAAUAUUGGGUGGCAUGCUUUCAUUGUCAACGCAAUGACUAAGAGUUCUCACCAUCUUCCACGCUACACAUGCUAUAGGCGGAUCCCAAACAUAAAAGUAAAGUUUUGACUCCCCCACCACCAAUCAAUCACACUCCACGACUAGCCGAAUCCUCGGGUGCCGUCCACACCAACAUCAAUCCAGGGGGAGUUUUGUUUGCAAUUAUCUUUUCGAUUUGAGCAUGGAACCGGGCAUUCCAAUUACCGGCCCCUUUCUCAUGAAUGAUAGUGAAUAAACACAUAUCGAGGAUAACACGCCUAGCAUGGAAGAUACUGAUAGCCCCCUGUCACCACAUGAGCGAUUCGGGCAUGCAAAACAGAUUAUUUCUUGAAGAUUUAGAGAGUGGCACAUGCAAAUUUGCUUGGAACGGCAGGUAGAUACCGCAUAUAGGUAGGUAUGGUGGACUCAUAUGGAACAACUUUGGGUUUAUGGAAGUGGAUGCAUAAGCAGUAUUCUCGCUUAGUACAAGUGAAGGCUAGCAAAAGACUGGGAAGCGACCAACUAGAGAACGACAACAGUCAUCAAAAUGCAUUGAGAUUAACCAACAUUGAGUGCAAGCAUGAGUAGGACAUAAAUCACCAUGAACAUGAAUAUCAUAGAGGAUAUGUUGAUUUUGUUUCAACUACAUGCGUAAACAUGCGCCAAGUCAAGCCACUUGAAUCAUUCAAAGGACGAUACCAUCCUAUCAUACUACAUCAUAGUCAUCUCAAAAUUCAUGUUGGCAUCCAAGGCAAACCAUUAUAAGCUCCUACUAAGUAAGCAUGGCAUCAGAAACUAUGAUCUCUAAGUUGUCAUUGCAAACAUGUUUCUCUCACAACAUAGCUGAACUAGGAACGAUGAGCUAGUCAUAUUUACAAAAACAAAAUAGAUCGAGUUCAUACCAGCUUUUCCAGGCUCAGUCACUUCAUCAUAUAUCGUCAUUAUUGCCUUUCACUUGCACGACCGAACGAUGUGAACAAUAAUAAGCGUGCUCGUGCAUUGGACUAAGCUGGAAUCUGCAGGCAAACACAAAGGAGAAGACAAAGUAAUAUGGCUCUUUAACAGAUAAACAGAUAUGCAUGCGAGAGCCACUAAACAUUGUAACCAUGGUAUUCUACCUUGACCCAAAGAAAAAGAAAACUAUUUACACGGGAAAGCUCCCAACAAGCAAAAGAAGAACAAGAAAAUCUUUUUGGGUUUUCUCAAACUAGACAAACACACGAAAAGAAAACGAGAAAGAGAAAUAAACUAGCAUGGAUGAUACAGUGGCAAAGUGUGAACACCGACGAACAAAGUGAAAGCAUAAGCAAGAAUGUAAAGUCGGUGAGAAACACGUACUCCCCCAAGCUUAGGCUUUUGGCCUAAGUUGGUCUACUCCUAAGGAGGGAAAUAACCAGCUCUGGGGUACUCCGGAGUGAACUGAGGAUGCCACUGUUGUGUGAGCUCCUCUGGCUCCCACUGAUAAACUGGCGUCUCGUACUCGACUGGUGGCUCGGGCACGGGCACCUGUGGUUGGGCUAAGCCCCAAUAUGCGUAUAUGUCCGAGGGCAUAAUAAUGUACCUGCCUACAUGAAGAUUGAACAAAGAGGGAGCAGACAAAGUAAUAGUCUCACGAGCACCUUGACUAAAUACCAGGUUAUAAAUCAUCCUUCUGUUUAUAUCUCUAUCAAGAAAGUCAUGGCGAACCAUGCUAUCAUAAUCUAGAUAUCUCUCAGGAAGAAGAAUCUCUUCUUCCUCAUCCAGUCUAAUGGGUAUCUCAAAAUGUCUAGCGAGACGAGUAGCAUAGAUACCUCCAUAGACAACGCCUUUAGAACGGUUCGUGUUCAACCGUUGAGCUACUAUAGCACCCAAGCUAUAAGUUUUAUCAUUAUAAAGGGCUUCGCGCAAGACCGCAAGAUCUGGGGAGCUAAGGGACCGAGCUUUCCCACGGCCAAUCAAACAUUUUCCCACAAAUAAUGAGAAGUACCGAAGCACGGGAAAAUGUAUGCUAGUAGCUCUAGCACAAGACACUCCUCUUUCCUCUCCUACAUCAAUAGUAUCGAUGAAAGUCUCCAAGUCCCGUGGAUGAGGUUCAUGAAUAUCCCCAACAAAAGGCAAUUUGAAAACAUUGCAAAAAUCCUGGAGUGACAUGCGCUGGGGGAUAUCAUAAAGUUUGAACUCAACCAUAGGAGGAUUCUUCCUCGGAUAGAAGUUAAAGCUUUGUACGAAAAUAUUAGUGAGGAGGAGGUAUUGCAGACACUUAUCUUCAACGAAGGCGGUAAGGUCUGCGUUCUCCACCAAGUAAUAAAAGUCCUCAUAAAGUCCGACGGUGCGUAAGAACACAUCGCUUGGCCACUCGCACGCUCGAACUUCUGCAACUCGAGGGACCAGAUACUUGGUCUUCUUCUCACUUCCAUCAUCCUUGGGGUUACGACUUGAAGAGCCUCUUAAGAACCUCCUCAUCUUUUCCCUUUUCUAUCUCUGAAAUUUUUAGUGACUCUAAGGAAAAGUGAAUAAGGUUCAACGAAAAUUGUAGCAACUACUCCCACAAGUGCCUAGAGGCCAUGUUACGCAUCAAAACUACUUGGGACCAACUAAAAUUAGCAUGCAAAGCUCAAGAACAUGGUCACCAAGGCAGCAAAAAUACGCGAAGUAUAAGGCACUAGAGAAAAAACUAAUUGGACCAAUGGAGGAGUCACUUACCAAGGAGUAAUUUCCCCAAAACAGUUCGGAGAAUGGUGCUUUGAGCAAGGAGAUCUAAAAUCCCAGCAAGAAGAGCAAGAACACGGGUUUGAGCUACGAAACAAUUUUUUCUGGAGGUAGGAGAAGCAGAUGGGAGCUAGAAUGAGUGGAGGGGGUGCACGUGGGCCCCACAAGCCUGGUAGGCGCGGCCUGGGGGGUGCCCGUGCCUCCACGGCUUGUGGCCCACCGGUGCAGCCCCCAGACUAGCUCUUCGUCUCAGUAUUUUUCAAAAAUUUCAGAAAAAAUCAUACUUGAUUUUCAGGAUGUUCGGAGAACUUUUAUUUUCGGGGUACUUUUCUACAGGACGCUAAAACAGAAAACAGGGAAAAGUAAACUAAAUCUAUCAUUUUUCUUCUAAGCAACCGAAGGUGACAGCUUGGAACAGAGGUUUGUGACUCCUCGAUUCAUCCAUCUCAUGGUCAUCGAAAGAAAUCCGUCAAUGAGGUUGAUCAAGUCUCCUUGACAAACUUUUCGAAUCGCAAAAGAAGACGGGGAAUUUUUGAAUAGUCACUAGGUUACCUCAAUGGGAUGUGUAUCUCCCCAACAAGAAAAUCACACUUCAUCUUAACAAGAGGAAUAGGGCAUUCAAAGCUCCCAAUAAGAAUCGAUGAAGUCUUUUCGAUAGCAUUGAUGCAAUGUGCUUGAUAUUGUUUCUUCGGAAAGUGCACCGUAUGCUCAUUACCGUUGACAUGGAAAGUGACAUUGCCUUUGUUGCAAUCUAUAACAGCCCCUUCAGUGUUUAGAAAGGGUCUUUGGAGGAUGACAUCCAUGGCAUCGUCCUCAGGAAUAUCCAGAAUAACAAAGUCUGUUAAGAUAGUAACGUUAGCAACCACAACAGGCACAUCCUCGCAAAUGCCGAUAGGGAAAGCAGUUGAUUUGUCGGCCAUUUGCAGAGAGAUUUCAGUGGGUGUCAACUUAUCCAGUUCAAGUCUACGAUAAAGAGAAAGAGGCAUAACACUAACACCGGCUCCAAGGUCACAUAAAGCAGUUAUAACAUAGUUUCCUUUAAUGGAGCAAGGUAUAGUGGGCACACCGGGAUCACCUAGUUUCUUAGGAGUUCCACCCUUGAAGGUAUAAUUAGCGAGCAUGGUGGAAAUCUCAAGCUCGGGUAUCCUCCUCUUAUUAGUCACAAUAUCUUUCAUGUACUUAGCAUACAAAGACAUUUUGAGCAUAUCUGUCAAACACAUUUGCAGAAAGACAGGUCUAAUCAUUUCAACAAAUUGCUCAAAAUUCUCAUCAUCCUUUUUCUUGGAUGGUUUGGGAGGAAAGGGCAUGAGUUUAUGAACCCAUGGUUCCCUUUCUUUACCAUGCUUCCUAGAAGCAAAGUCAUUCUUAUCGUAUCUCUUAUUCUUAGGUUGUGGGUUAUCAAGAUCAGGUUCAAUCUCCACAUCCUUAUCGUUGCUAGGUUGAGCAUCUUCAUGAACAUCACUAUUGAUAUUAUCAUUAGGCUCAUGUUCAUCACCAGAUUGUGUUUCAGCAUCAGAGACAGAGACAUCGUUUGGACUCUCAGGGGUAACAGCAUCCGUGUUGCUAGCGUGCAAGUUCCUAUCAUCUUUCUUCUUCUUCCUAGGAUGACUAGGUGCAUCAGUGCUAACUCCUUGAGAAUCUUGUUCAAUUCUCUUAGGAUGACCCUCAGGAUACAAAGGUUCCUGGGUCAUUCUACCGCCUCUAGUGACGACUCUAACAGAAUUGUCAUUCAACUCAUUGAGCAAGUCAUUAUGAGACUUAAGUACUGGUUCUACUUGAGUAGUAACCAUAGAGGCAUGUUUACUCAGAAGCUUAAGAUCAUUGACAUUUCUGUCCACACAAGCACUUAAAUGACUAAGCAUACGAGCAUUCUGUUCCAAUUGUGUGCUAACAUAAUCAUUGAAACUCUGUUGUUUGGCAACAAAGUUAUCAAAUUUAUCCAGGCAUAGGCUAGCAGGUUUAUCAAAAGGAAUAUCACUCUCAUCAAACCUACGCAGAUAAUUUACUUCUACUACCUGUAUCGGGUUAUCGAGACCAUGGAUCUCUUUGAUAGGUGGUAGAUUUUUAACAUCUUCAGAUUUAAUGCCUUCUCUCACAUAGAUUUCUUAGCUUCUUGCAUAUCUUCAGGACUGAGGAAUAGAAUACCUAUUUUCUUCGGAGUUGGCUUAGGACGUGGUUCGGGAAUAGUCCAAGCAUUCUCAUUGCACAAUAUGUUAUUCAAUAGAAUCUCAGCUUCUUCUACGGUUUGUUCCCUAAAAACACAACCGGCACAACUAUCUAGGUGGUCUCUAGAAGCAUCGGUAAGUCCAUUAUAGAAGAUAUCAAGUAUUUCAUUCUGCUCAAGAGGGUGAUCAGGCAAAGCAUUCAGUAGCUGGACGAGCCUCCCCCAAGCCUGUGGGAGACUCUCUUCUCCAGCUUGAGCAAAGUUGUAUAUUUCCUGCAAGGCAGCUUGCUUCUUAUGGGCAGGGAAAUAUUUUUCAGAGAAGUAGUAGACCAUAUCCUGGGGGCUACGCACACAACCAGGAGCAAGAGAAGUCAACCAAGUCUUAACAUCAUCCUUUAGCGAGAAAGGAAACAGCUUGAGGAUAUAGUAGUGGCGAAUCUUUUCCUCACUAGUGAAUAUGGUGGCUAUAUCAUUCAGUUUGGUAAGAUGGGCUACAACCAUUUCAGACUCAUAACCGUGAAAAGGAUCAGAUUCGACUAGAGUGAUUAACUCAGGGUCGACAGAGAAUUCAUAAUCCUUAUCGGUCACAAAGAUAGGCGAAGUAGCAAACUUCGGGUCAUAUUUCAUCCUAGCGUUCAAAGAUUAUUCUUUCCACUUGAGCAGUAAUUUCUCAACAUCAUAGCUAUCCUUACAAGCAAGAAAUUCCUCAGCUAUCUCUCCCUCCAUAACAUAACACUCAGGCAUAUCAGGCAAUUCAUGUCUAGGAGAGCUAGUUCUAGCAGGCAAAAUAGCAGGUUCUACUUCAAUAGUAUCAGCAGUUUCAGAAGUAUCAUCACAUCUAGCAGCAACUCUAGCAAUUUGUGCAUCAAGGAAAGCACCUAGUGGCAAAGCAGUAUCAAGCAUAGCAUCAUCAGGCAAAGCAGUAUCGAGCAUAGCAUAAUGGACAACAAAAGUAGCAUCAUCAAGCAUAGCAGGAGGUGGUGUCGCAAACUUACUCAUAACUGAAGGUCAAUCAAGUGCAGAGCUAGAUGGCAGUUCCUUACCUGUCCUCGUAGUUGAGGGCAAAACUUUAGUUCUUGGAUCUUUCAGAUUCCUCAUAGUGACCAGCAGACGUAAAUCCCAAGUGACUCAGAGAAUAUAGCUAUGCCUCCCCGGCAACGGCGCCAGAAAAAGGUCUUGAUAACCCACAAGUAUAGGGGUCGCAAUAGUUUUCGAGGGUAGAGUAUUCAACCCAAAUUUAUUGAUUCGACUCAAGGGGAAGCCAAAGAAUAUUCUCAAGUAUCAGCAGUUGAGUUGUCAAUUCAACCACACCUGAAAGACUUAGUAUCUGCAACAAAGUAUCAGUAGCAAGGUAAUAUGAUAGCAGCAGUAGCAAUAGUAACCAGUAGCAGCAAAGUAACAACAGUAGCAACAGAGUAACAGUAGCAGCAGCAGAGUAACAGUAGCAGAAGUGACAACAGUAGCGGCAAAGUAACGUAGCAAGGACCAGUAGGAAAAACUCGUAGGCAUUAGAUCGGUGAUGGAUGAUUAUGCUGGAUGUUAUUCAUCAUGUAACAGUUAUAACACGGAGAGAUAUGUAACUAGCUCCAGUUCGUCAAUGUAAUGUAGGCAUGUAGUCCGUAUGUAGUCAUACAUGCUUAGGGAAAAGAACUUGCAUGACAUCUAUUAUCCAUCCCUCCCGUGGCAGCGGGGUCCUAAUGGAAACUAUGGGAUAUUAAGGUUCUCCUUUUAAUAAAGAACCGGACCAACGCAUUAACAUGUGGUAAAUACAUGAACUCCUCACAGUAUGGUCAUCUCCAGGAGUGGUUCCGGCUAUUGUCACUCCGGGGUUGCCGGGUCAUAACACAUGGUAGGUGACUACAACUUGCAAGAUAGGAUCAAGAACACACAUAUAUUGGCGACAACAUAAUAGGUUCAGAUCUGAAAUCAUGGCACUCCGGCCCUAGUGACAAGCAUUAAGCAUGGCAAAGUAGUAGCAACAUCAAUCUCAGAACAUAGUGGAUACUAGGGAUCAAUCCCCGUCAAAACUAACUCGAUUACAUGAUAGAUCUCAUCCAACCCAUCAUUGUCCAGCAAGCCUACGAUGAGAUUACUCACGAACGGUGAAGAGCAUCAUGGAAUUGGCGAUGAAUAAAGGUUGGUGAUGACGAUGGCGACGAUCUCCCCUCUCCGGAGCCCAAAACGGACUCCAGAUCUGCCCUCCAAAGGAAGAACAGGAGGUGGCGGCGCCUCCGUAUCGUAAAACGCGAUGAACUCUUCUCCUUGAUUUUUUUUCCGGGCGAGACGGACUAAAUAGAGCUGGAUUUGGAGGCGGUGGAGCGGUGUGGGCCCCACAAGCCUCCAGGCGCGACCAGGGGAGGCCCCGCGCCUGGUGGGCUUGUGGGCUCACAGCUCCACUUCCUCCGCUGAUUCUUGCGCCAGUAUUGUUCGUAAAUUCCACAAAAAUUCUCCGUAAUUUUUCAGGUCAUUCCAAGAACUUUUAUUUCUGCGCAAAAACAACAUCAUGGCAAUUCUGCUGAAAACAGCGUUAGUCCGGGGUAGUUGCAUUCAAAUCAUGCGAAUUAGAGUCCAAAACAAGGGCAAAAGAGUUCGGAAAAGUAGAUACGAUGGAGACGUAUCACUGGACAAGGAGUCUUCGUGGAGCUAGAUCUUGAGUCGGCAGUCGAGGAAGUGCCUACAUGUCGAAACAUGGGAACGCGCCGCCGACACGUCGGGUAAGGUCAAAUUGGAUCUGACGGGUCUUGUUGGGUUUAUUUGGUGGCUAAGAAAAAAAAUCAAUCUGUUAUGAAAUUUGGAAAUUGGAAAAUAUCUAAUCUAUGGAGGCGAUUCAAUCAUUGAUUGAUCAGGUGCCGCGCCCCCGGAGAGAGAGGAUUAAUCUUCCCGGGGGCGGCGCGCUGCGAAAGUGGUGAAGCAACCUAGGAUCGGCAAUUCAAAUGGAGAGCGUUUUAACUUAUGAGGAGAAGCCGGUCCUAGGUUCCUUCACCACUUCUGCAGCGCGCCGCCCCGGGGGAGAUUAAACAUGUCUCUUCGGGGACACCGUAUCUCUCAAAGGAAUAUCUGCCAUCUCUGCAUGACACUUAUUCAGCUGGGAAAUGUGAAACACAUCAUGAAAUUGUGACAAACCCUUUGGUAGUUCCAACUUGUAUGCAACUUCUCCUGUGCGUUCCAAAACCCUAUAUGCCCCACGAAUCUUGGUGCUAACUUUCCUUUGACUCCAAACCUCUUAAUACCUCAAAGUGGAGACACUCGAAGAUAUACUCUAUCUCCCACUUCAUAAAUCACUUCCUUGCAUUUAGCAUCUUCACAACUCUUUCGUCUGGAUUGAGCUAUCUUGAGUCUAUCACGGAUCAACUUGAUCUUCUCCUCAAAAUCUCUGAUCAAAUCUGACCAAACAAUUUGCGAUCUCCAACUCUAUCCCACAUCAACGGUGUUCUGCACUUCCUUCCAUACAAAGCAUCGAAAGGGGCCAUCUGCAAACUGGCUUGAUAGCUGUUGUUGUAUGAGAACUCCGCAUAAGGUAAGUAUCAUCCCAACUAGACCCGUAGUCUAGCGCACAAGCUAUCAACAUGUCCUCCAGAAUCUGAUUUACUCUCUUUGUCUGCCCAUCUGUCUGCGGAUGAAAGGUUGUGCUGAACUCUAGCCUCUAGCCAGGUACCCAAAGUUUCAUGUAGUUGAUGCCAAAAUUUUGAGGUAAAUUGUGUUCCUCUAUCUGAUAUGAUGGUCCUCGAAACUCCAUGCAAACAUACGAUCCUGGUCAUAUAUAUCUUUGCCACCUUAGCACUUGUAUAGGUAGUCUUAACUCGAAUGAAAUGUGCAACCUUGGUCAAGCGAUCAACUAUUACCCAAAUGGAAUCAUAACCUGAACGGGUCCUGGGUAAUCCUGCGAUAAAGUCCAUGCCAAGUUUAUCCCAUUUCCAGUCAGGUAUCUGUAGUGGCUGGAGUAAACCGUCCAGUUUCUGAUGUUCUGCCAUUACCAUGUGACAUACAUGACAUACUGGUACAUACUCAACAAUUUAUCUCUUCAUACCUGUCCACCAAACACUUUCCUUUAAGUCCAAAUACAUCUUGGUAUUGCCCGGGUGUAUCGAGUAAGGUGAAUCAUGAGCCUCGUGGAGAAUCAAUUUCCUGAUCUCUGGGUCAUUAGGUACAGAAAUACGCUGCUCAAACCAUACGUUGCAUCCUCAUCCUCACGGAAUCCUUCUGCCUUCCCUUUGUUGAUCCUCUCCUUUAUCUCAGAAAUUCCUUGAUCCAACUUCUGGGCUUCUUUGAUCCUUCCCAACAAGGUGGACUGAAUCUCGAGUGCGGCAACAUAUCCUCUUGGAACUAUUUCCAAUUGGAGAUCUCUAAGAUCACCACACAUCUCCUGAGGUAAUCCUCCUGCGAUAAGAGUGUUAACAUAACUCUUACGGCUCAAAGCAUCUGCCAUGACGUCAGCUUUUCCUGGAUGAUAAUGAAAACUCAUGUCAUAAUCCUUGAUGACUUCCAACCAUCUCCUUUGCAUGAGGUUCAACUCUUUCUGCAUGAAGAUAAACGUCAAACUCUUGUGAUCUGUGUAAACAUCACAUUGAUUUCCGAUGAGAAAAUGCCUUCAGGUCUUGAGUGCAUGCACCAUCGCUGCAACUCCAAAUCAUGCAUGGUAUAGUUCAACUCAUGAGGUCGUAGCUGACAUGAAGCAUAAGCUACCACCUUUCCUUUUUGCAUAAGUACGCCUCCAAGUCCUUGGCGUGAAGCGUCGCAAUACACCUGAAAAUUCUCGUGUAUAUUCGGCAGAAUUAGCACUGGGUUGUAACCAAGCGUUUCUUCAACUCCUGAAAACUGGCUUCACAUUCCUUAGUCCAGUUAUACUUGGUGUCCUUCUUCAACAAUUCCGUCAUGGGCUUUGCAAUCUUGGAGAAAUUCUCGAUGAACCUCCGGUAAUACCCGGCAAGUCCAAGGAAACUACGAAUCUCACUGACUGGCGUUGGUGACUGCCAUUCGGUGACUGCUUCUACCUUGGAAGGAUCCACGACUAUUCUUUCUCCUGACACAUGUCCGAGGAAUCUGACUUCCUUCAACCAAAACUCAUACUUGCUAAACUUGGCAUACAACUGAUGUUCUCUAAGCUCCUUGAAAACCUAGUGCAAAUGUUCCUUGUGCUCUUCUUCAUUCUUCGAGUACACCAAUAUAUCAUCAAUGAAUACCACAACUAACUUAUCCAAGAAAUCCAUGAAUACCUUGUUCAUCAUGCUCAUAAAAUAGGUAGGGCCAUUAGUCAAACCAAAAGACAUGAUUGUGUACUCAUAAAGCCCAUACCUUGUGGUAAAAUCUGUCUUGGGUAUAUCCUUUUCACGGAUCUUCAACGAGUGAUAACCCGAUCGAAGCUCGAUCUUAGAGAAUACACUAGCUCCCUAUAGCUGGUCAAACAAAUCAUUGAUCAUUGGUAGCGGAUAAUUGUUUUUGAUGGUUACCGCGUUCAAAGAACGGUAAUCCACACACAUCCUCACGGUUCCAUCUUUCUUCUCCACUAAGAGUAUUGGGGCUCCCCAAGAUGAUGAACUCGGGCAAAUAUACCUUUUCUCCAGCAACUCUUCAAUCCGCUUCUUGACUUCUGCUAGAUCAUUAGCGAGCAUCCGGUAUGGCCUCUUGGAGAUAGGUCCGGUGCCUGGUAACAACUCAAUCAGAAACUUGGGUAACUCCUCUGGAAAUACAUCGAGAUAAUCCUUUACCACUGGUACUUCCUCCUGGACAACCCCCGUAAGAGUGAUCACCUGAGUCCUCUUAGGCUUAAGCCUAUACACAUACUUAAUCCUCUUCUCCUCUAGGGUGGUGAGGAAAAUCAAAUACUGGCACAGUCAAUGUUUUCGUGAUACUUGGACAUCCAAUCCAUACCUAGGAUUACAUCCAAUCCUUGUGACUCUAGUACGAUCAUAUUUGUGGGAAAAACAUGUCCCCCUAUGUUCGAAGGUAACUGAAAACAUCCAUGACUAGUCAUAGACUCUGCUCCCAGGGAACUCACUAGGAUGGGUGACUUAAGAGCUACGGUCGGUAACUUAAGUUUGUCCACAAAUCCCCUUGAUAUGAAUGAAUGUGAUGCAUCAGUGUCAAAUAGAAUGAGUGCUGGAAAUGAAUUAACCAAGAACUUACCAAUCACUGCAUCAGGCUGCUCAUAGACUUCCUCCACAUUAACAUGGUUCACAUGCCCCUUAGUGAAAGGAUUAGGCUUCUUGCAUGUAGAACUUCCAUUGUCGUUCCCAUUUUGCAGCUCAAGACACUCAUUGGAGUAGUGUCCUGUCUUCUUGCACUUGAAGCAGGUAAUGUGACUCAGAUCCUUCCUCAAGGGUGUAGCAAGGUUGAGAUGAUGGUGAUUGUCGUUUCCUCCAUUCCCAUUGCCAUUCUUAUGACCAUUGUGGUUGUGUCCAUUGCCUCCAUGCUGAGAAUGACCACCAUGGUUAUGAUGGUUGUGCCCUCCAAACUUACUAGGUCCUCAAUCGGAAUAUCCCGAGAAAGGUGCGGAGUGGGACUUCUGCCGAGCUCCAGACUGAAACUUGCCUUGACCAUAUUUCCUCUUGUGGUUCUCCAUCUACUGAUGCUUGCCUUCCAGAGUAAUAGCCUUGUCCACUAACUCUUGAUAGUUCUCAAAAGUCGCUACCAUCAACUGAACUCCCACCUCAUCGUUCACUCCCUCCAGGAAUUUCUCCUGCUUGGCUCCAUCGGUGUCCAGUCACUUGGUGAAUAACGAGACAACCUGUUGAAGUCCUCAUCAUACUCUGACACUAAGCAACCUCCCUGGUGCAAGUCAUGGAACUCUCUCUUCUUGAGAGCCAUAGCUCCAGCUGAAACAUGAGCAGUGCGGAACGCCUGCUGGAAUUGAGCCCAAGUCACAUACUCCAUGGGGUACGUGACGGUGUAGCUCUCCCACCACGAAGCGGCUGGUCCGUCCAGUUGGUGAGAGGCAAACCUCACCUUCUCCCGACCAGUGCAUCCUGCUAUGGCCAGCUUCGUACCCCUGUUGCGAAGCCAGUCAACUGCGACGAUCGACUCCGAUAUGCUCGUUAAGAUUGGUGGGUUUAGCCUUAGAAGGCUAUCAAUUGGUGGUGCAGGUGGAGGUGGAGGUGGGUUGUUGUUUUGGUUCAUGUUCUGCAUCAACAUGUGCAUCAUCUGGGUCUGGGCUUGAAGCAAUUGUGCCAAGGCGGGUGGGACAUCUUCCGGUUCACGCCUUGGUGGCAUCUGUUGGGUCAGCAUAGGUGAGGUAUAGAGAGAAUUAGGCCUAAGGGAGAAACACUACCCAUAUGCAAUGAUAGCAAUUAAAAUCCAAAUCAUUCCAAUUCAAUUUUCAAUCAAGAAAGUUCACACGAAAACAAAUCUAAGGUGAGCCAUGUCACAAGAGUUGACCAGGUUUCACAAAUAAAUCAAAACGAAAUACUAAUCGAAUAUCGAAUCCUAAGUUCUCAUGAUGGUCUAAAUCUACUCCUCAUCGGAAGUCAGAUCUAUCGUGCUCAUGUAAGCUCCAAUUGCAUCACUCCGUAUCUCCUCAUCAUCGUCCUCGUAAUCCCGGUCUUGGCUGACAUAAUCCCCAUAAGAGUGAUCCUCCUGGAUAUUCUCCCCGUUAUAGAGCUUUACCUCGGCUUCCUCUGGCUCAAGCUUCAGGUCGUCAAACUUAUCCUGCAGCGCAUCGAUCUCCUCCUCAUGUUUUGCACGAGCGUCCUGGAGUUCUUCCAGCUCGGCCUUGCGGGUCAUACUUAAUAACAAAGGUCUUCUCCCCUUUGAUAACUGCAGCAACAAUGCAAAACUCGGAAUGAUCUUGCUUACAACAAGCAAUGAUCCUUUGGUCUGAGUUUCUGUGAUACCUAAAGUCUCUGGCCUGUGUGAUGUGCAAGCUCAACAAAGCUUCUCUGAAUUGAUGUUGAUCCUUAAAGCACAUGUACAGACAUAAAUGCUGAUGUGGUUGCUCAAGUUUGUCAUUGUACCAGAUCCUUGGUUUACUUUUCUUGGCCCUACUCUUCCUCCCUUUAAGUAGCACAAAUGAGGGUGGCUCAUUGUCACGCCCAAGAUGCGACCCUAUCCUCAAUUUGGCACGAAGGCCUCGUCAGGGAUAGAAACGCAUCUCGUCGUGUCGCAAGAAUGGAUAUCGUUACAAGUACAUGUACUGAAAAGAAGAGAUAUAUAAAGAGUUGGCUUACACUCGCCACAAGCUACAUCAGAGUCACAUCAGUACAUUACAUAAUCAUCAAGAGUAAGAGCAGGGUCCGACUACGGACAAAAACAAACGACAAAAGAAGAACGACGUCCAUCCUUGCUAUCCCAGGCUGCCGGCCUGGAACCCAUCCUAGAUCGAUGAAGAAGAAGAAGAAGAAGCAACUCCAAAUGAACAAUCAACGCGCUCGUGUCAAGUAACCUUUACCUGUACCUGCAACUGGUGUUGUAGUAAUCUGUGAGCCACAGGGGACUCAGCAAUCUCAUUUCCAAAGGUAUCAAGACUAUCAAAGCUUAAUGGGUGAGGCUUGGUUAAGUGGUGAGGUUGCAGCAGCGACUAGCAUAUAUUUGGUGGCUAACUUACGAGUACAAGAAAUAAAAGGGGGAAGAUCUACGCAUAACGGACGUGAACUACUGAUGAUCAAAUGAAUGAUCCUGAACACCUACCUACGUCAGACAUAACCCCACCGUGUCCUCGAUCGGAGAAGGAACUCACGAAAGAGACAGUCACGGUUAUGCACGUAGUUGGCAUAUUUUAAUUAAGUUAACUUCAAGUUAUCUAGAACCAGUGUUAAACAAAGCUUCCACGUUGUCACAUAACCGCGGGCACGGAUUUCCGAAAAGAUUUAACCCUGCACGGGUGCUCCAACUAGUCCAUCACAAAUUACCACAAGCCGCAUAGAAAUCCUCAAUCACGAAGCUCGUGAUCUCGUCGGAUUCCCUAGUGGAAAACCUCAACUCUGAGAUUACCCAAAGCAUCAUCGGAAUCCCGAUGCACAAGAUAUCUCGUCAAAGGUAAAACUAAUCCAGCAAGGCCGCCCGACGUGUCGACGAUCCAGAUAGGAGUCGCGUACCUCGUUCUCAGGACACGACGGAUAAGCGAAGCGUACGAGUGCCAAACCUCGAGUUUCCUCGCGGUGGCCCCGCACGGUGCUCUGUUUUGGACCAACACUCAUGAGGAGCACUGGCCCGGGGGUUGAUUAAAAUAGUCCGCGGGUGCCGGCGGGUCCCUAUGCAUUAUUAUUAGGUUAUUAGGCAAAUGUAGUACCAAAGUUGGGCCUUGCCAGACCAGCUUUAAUCUAAAACGAAUUAUCAAGGGGGUCCCCAUAACAACCCCGAUCGUGUUAGGAGCGCUCAUUUAUGGAACAUAACACCGGUAGCCGAAACUAAGGGGGCAAAGGUGGAACAAAACACCAGGCUAGAAAAGGCCGAGCCUUCCACCUUUUACCAAGUAUAUAGGUCCAUUAAAUUAAGUAGCAUUAAUAUGGUGAUAUAACAAGGAACUCAUGCUUUCGCAAGGAAGCAUAUGCACCUGCAACUAGCAACGCUAACAACAUGGAUAAGCAAGCGGUAACAUAGCCAAUCAGUGGUUUGCUAGGUUGAACAGGUUGAAGGUUUCAUGGCAUUGUUGAGAGGCUGAUAUUUAACAUGUGGUAGGCAACAAGACAUAACGACAGAAACAAUAUAACUAGCAUGGCAAUGAUAGUAAUGGUAUCUGGGGAAAUGAUCAUCUUGCCUGAGAUCCCGCUUAGAAGAAGAAUACCUCCGUGAAGCAGACGAACCAACGUAGUCGAACGGGUCCUCACAAUCCGGCACGCUGCGGAACUCUAUCGAGACGAAGCAAACCGGAAACACAAAUCAACACACGAAAUUCACCACACGAUGCACAACACAAAUGAUGCAUGAACAGCUGAAUACAUGCAAGUCACGGCAUGACAAAUCACACCAUCAAACACUACACAUUAAGUGAAGUUCAAUAUGCAACGAGUUGCAUAUUGACGAAACUCCACGUUAAUUAUUUAGUUCUAUCCCGAUUAGGUACACGGCAAUAUUAAAUGUUGUUAAACAUGGCAAGAGGUGAAGCGUAAUUAAACUACUAUCUAGGCAUUUUAAAUGAGGUCGGAAAUGUCAUAUAGCAUCUCCGAGACGACCUCACAUGUUAAUUUACAAUUCUGUCCAGAUCUGAACUAACACAUUUAAUUGGUUGUUAAACAGCAAAACAAAUAGGUUCACAUGAUUCUACGCGUCAAGGCAAGCAAUCUACACAUAAAGAACAUCUCCAACGGAGCUACGGAUCAAAAGUUACAAGCACCGCAAGAUAUGAUGGCAUGAAUGCAAUAUGUGUGCAACGAUGGUCACGAGCACUUCAAAACAUACAAACAGCAAGAGAACAUGAAACUACAUGAGAUUCUAAGCAAGUUUCAUGUAGGACACGAUCAAAUCGGAGCUACGGUUCAAAAACUACGAGCAAAACAAGAACUGACUACAAUCUGCCAAAAUCAGCCACAUAGCAUUUUCUACACCCCACAACUACGGCUACACAACUCCGAUAUGCACAAGCAAGGCAUGACACGGAAGAGGGCAAGAAGCACUACUACGAACAACUAACAACAACUAGCAUCGCAGCAAGGAGCACUAGGAAAAGAAGACACAAAAUGGCAUCUCACACACUAUUGCAGACUUAGUGAAAAUAACACCUCAUGAAAGUGCAGUUUUCAGCCUGGAGCUAUAUUGACAGCAGCAAAAUCUAUAGCUACACGACUCCAAAUGGCAUGAAAAUUUACAGCAUGCUAGAGAAACACAAGGGGUACAACUAACUCCAUUGGACCAACCUCAAAAGAGCUACAGAUCACAAGAUGCAAGCAACACAAGACAGCAACAAAAUAUAACAGAUUCCAGACUUAGAAAUAUUUCAGCUCCUCUAAAACAGCACUAUUUCUAGCAACUUGAGAGCAAUCAAACCACACCUAAACAUGCAUUUCUAUUGCAACUAAAAAUACCAGGGGCUAAACAAAACAUCCAAGAUCAACUCUCUAGUUGACAACUCCGUCAAACGACGCACGGAAUAAAUCCUACGAAUUAAUCAAAAGGGCAACAUAGAAAAAUAUCUCGCGAACUAACUUGCUCUAAUGCUAAAACUAAUUGCACAGAAAAAUCCAUGGGAUUUUCUACCCCGGAAACAUAUAAAAUAUGUGGGGUUUGCAACACAAAAUAAUGCCACACAUUAAUGCGGGAAAGUAACCUAUAUACGGGAAAAUAAACUAGAAGCAAUUCCCUACACGCAAAAAUACAAAUGAACACUCUAAAAUACAUGGAAUAAUGGUCCCUAAAAUAUAGGCAUUUCUAAUACGGCAUUCGGGCAAUACGGUCUAGCGCGAAAAAUAAAUACGGCGUCUAUCCUAUAGAAACAGCACGCAAAACUAGGCGUUUGGCAUGUUAGACUUCGACGAAUGAUUAUGCAAGUUGUAAAUUCGGAUUCUACGCGAAAUUCUACACGAGAUCCAUAUCUAAAUCAUCGCGAUCCAACAAACGGUUUAAAAGUUACAAACGUUUAAAUAUACGGUUAUUUUCUGGAAUUUAUCUAAUUCCGAAAAAAUUUCCUAAUUAACUACUGGGCCGAACAGGGGGGUCUCACCUGGGCCGCCUGGAGGAAGGAGGCGAGGCGUUGGAGGAGCCGGCUCGAGGCUGGGCCUGGGGAGGCGCUGCGGCACCGGACUGGGCCUGCUGCGGGGCCCAGCCGAUGGGGCGGUUGGCGCUGGGCCGCGGGGGAGGCCGAGGCGAGGCGCCAGCUGGGUCGACCCACGGCUGCUGGCGAGGGGCUGGCCGUUCCCGUCGUUCUGCUCGUGCUCGAGCAUGACAGGGGCGACGACGCAAGAGUUGACGGCGAGGUGGGGCUUCAGGCCGGCGUCUCCGGUGGCCGGCGCGGGGGCGCAAGGGGAGCAUGGAUCCGACGGGUACAGGGCAACGGGGGUCGCGGGGAGGCGAGAUCUACGCGGCGGCGGCCGGCUCGAGCUGGUGGUGGUUGCCGGCGGCUGCGAAGCUGCUCGGGGCGAGGGCUGCGCUCGUACGGCGGCGGCGAGGCACGGGGCGGGCGGCGGGGCCGGACGGGGACGGGGCCGGCAGGGCGCUGCGGGCAGGAGGCGGCGCCAUGGGAGGCGCUGCUCGGUGCGAGGGGCACGAGAGCACGGGAGGCGGCGGCUGGCGGCGGUUGGGCGGCGGCGCGCCGGAUGGGCUCGGCCGGGCCCGAUCUGGGCCUGGCGGGCCGGCGGCGCGGGGGAGGAGAGAGAGAGAGCAGGUGGGAGGCUAGAGUUUUGCGUAGGUGGCAUGGAUUUCGAGGCAGAGGGGGAGUGGCUCUCUAAAUAAUGGCAUGGGGGCUAUAUAUAGACAAACGGGGGGCUCGGUUACCCGGAAUCGCGUUUCGGAUCCAACCGCGGGGUCGGGUUCGGACGAUUCCGAACGCGGGAAUGGGUACGCGGCCGUGUAGAGGGGAUAUCCGGAGACGAGAGGGAGAACGGGCGGUGCGGCAACGAUUUUUAAAACACCGACAAACGUCCGACGGUAGACCGAAUACGGUGCCGCUACGGUCGACCGUUCGGGUACCUGACGGACUCCGAUCGCGACAAAAUUCGACAGGCGGCCUAGCUAUAUUAAAAUAAGACCGCACGACAAAUCUCAACCCGAUCAGAGAAAGUUUUACGCACACUUUAAAAACAGGGUUUCGACGGUGCCGCGGGCGCGUGCGUGUGCGGUCAGGCUCGGAACGAACAACGACGUUAACCGGCAGCUAACAACGGAUGCAACAUUUGAAAACUGGCGGCAACGAAGAUGCCGAUGCAAUGCAGAUGAUGCGCAUGAUGCGAUAAUGACACGUCAAAUAAAAUAAGCCACACGACGAAAAUGGAAAGAGAGGGGAAUCUUCUGGAACGUCGGCAUCGGGCUGUCACACUCAUGUCCAUCAUCUUCAUCCUCAAACAACAACCAAUCAUCUUCUUCAUCUGCUGAAGGAAUGAAAUCAGGUAUCACCUCCUCUAACACACUACAAUGUGACCUAGUAGUGGGGCCUUUCCUAACUUCAAGUUUCUUCCUCCUUUUUGCAGAUUUUUGCAUUGGAGGCUCUUCUCUUGCAAAAACAUUGACAUCCUCAUCUUCCUGCUCAAACAAAUCCUCAACAUCAGUGUCACCCUCAUAAUGUAAUUGUUCCUCAUCUGAGUCUUCAGAUUGAUCUACAUCUUCUUCCUCUCCUAAUUGUGAGUUGUUAUCUGAAUUGUUAUCACUGUCAUAUGCAUCCUCAGUUUCAUCACUACUAUUGUGUGACUGUUCAAACAAUGGCUCUUCCUCCAUUAUAACAUUCAGAUUGUCCUUUCUGAAGUUCAUGCUCUCUUGGGUGCAAAAGGCAGUAGGUUGACUAGGGCUGCUAUGGAAAACAACACCUUCUGGAUCAAUAGCAAGAACUGCAGGCUCACUAAGAUCAUACAGAACAGGUGGUUCAUAAACUAUUGCUGCUAAUUUAUCCUCUCUAUGACUGACAGAAAUCAUAUUACUUAAGUUUGUUCUCUCUUCAGUUGCUGCACUUGCUGCUAAAUAAGUUGUUGUUGCCCUCACUGGCAAAUUGAGAACUAAACUGUGCUUAUAUACCUUUUUAGUUCCUGCAGUUUGAUGUUUGUGUCAAUUAAUUCUAACCCUGGUCUCUCUCCUCUCCUAUUCCUAAAUUCCUCAUGUGGUAUAACUCAUCAGAGAAAUAAAAACCUUGUGUUUGCAACACUUCAUACAGGUUCAGAAAUGUAACAUCUGAGCUUCUUAGCUUCAUAUCAAUAUUUGGCAGUGAAUUCGAAGCUCCCAAACAUCAUCAUUCAAACUACAGUUCAGACAUAUAAAUUAAGAUAAGCAGAUAAGCAUAUAAAUUCAGAUAAGCAAACUCAUCGGUCAAACUAUAAUAUUACUUGCUGUCUUCAUCAAUCAAACUAUCAUAAUUCUUAUCAACACCACAACACCAAAGCCUCUACUAUAAAUUCUGAAUUGCACACGAGCAACACACAACCUCUAAUUGACAAGUAUGACAUUGCAGAAUUACAGUAACAAGAUUGAAGACUCUAAUAUGAACAUAAUCCUAAUAAUAUCGAGCCCAGGAGCAACCCAAAAGAAAGAAUCAACUAGCCUCUACCAUUGAUACAACAUAAUGAAAAGGCUAGGGUUCUUUAGUGACUUACAUCAAGCCGCCACCAGCACCACUGGUCUAGUGAUGGCUACUGCUAGGGUUGGCGACCCAGAUCUCUGCCAUCUUCACCCUGUCCUCCAUGAACAGCGCCGCCUCCUCCUCCAAAUCCCGAUCCUCCAAACCAGCGCCGGAGGAGUGGUUCGAACUGGAGCCGCCAUCGUCCACAGCCAGACCUACGUGGUCAUCUACCCCGAGGCCGGGGAGGUCUCCGUAGCUGCCCGCAACGUCACUGCCGCCGGGAGUCGCCGCCGCCAUCGUCGGAGAGCCGCGCACAGAGGGAGAGGGGAGAGCAAGGCUAAGGUUCGAGCGAGACCAAGUGAUCAGGAGAGGGUUGGUCCGGUUCGACCAGGUUCGAGCGGAGACCAAGUGACCGAGCCGGUACGUGUACGCCAUCGUGCCGACUGACAUGCGAGCCCGGCACGUCAGAUACAUCGUCAAUACAGGUUAUAUGGCUGUCAGAUCGUAUUGUAACAAUUAAACUAUAAAAUGAUACUGAUACGAAAAAAAAAUGACUAUUGAUACGUAUCCGUCACAUGGUGCGGGUAGUGCGCUGCAAUUACCACUGGUACUUCCUCCUUUGGGGUGGUGACUCUGGAAAUACAUCGAGAUAAUCCUUUACCACUGGUACUUCCUCCUGGACAACUCCCGUAAGAGUGAUCACCUGAGUCCUCUUAGGCUUAAGCCUAGACACAUACUUAAUCCUCUUCUCCUUUGGGGUGGUGAGGAAAAUCAAAUACUGGCACAGUCAAUGUUUUCCUGAUACUUGGACAUCCAAUCCAUACCUAGGAUUACAUCCAAUCCUUGUAACUCUAGUACGAUCAUAUUUGUGGGAAAAACAUGCCCCCCUAUGUUCGAAGGUAACUGAAAACAUCCCUGACUAGUCAUAGACUCUGCUCCCGGGGAACUCACUAGGAUGGGUGACUUAAGGGCUACGGUCGGUAACUUAUGUUUGUCCACAAAUCCCUUUGAUACGAAUGAAUGCGAUGCAUCAGUGUCAAAUAGAAUGAGUGCUGGAAAUGAAUUAACCAAGAACUUACCAAUCACUGCGUCAGGCUGCUCAUAGACUUCCUCCACAUUGACAUGGUUCACAUGCCCCUUAGUGAAAGGAUUAGGCUUCUUGCAUGUAGAACUUCCAUUGCCGUUCCCAUUCUGCAGCUCAGGACACUCAUUGGAGUAGUGUCCUGUCUUCUUGCACUUGAAGCAGGUAAUGUGACUCAGAUCCUUCCUCAAGGGUGUAGCAAGGUUGAGAUGAUGGUGAUUGCCGUUUCCUCCAUUCCCAUUGCCAUUCUUAUGACCAUUGUGGUUGUGUCCAUUGCCUCCAUGCUGAGAAUGACCACCCUGGUUAUGAUGGUUGUGCCCUCCAAACUUACUAGGUCCUGAAUCAGAAUAUCCCGAGAAAGGUGCGGAGCGGGACUUCUGCUGAGCUCCAGACUGAAACUUGCCUUGACCAUAUUUCCUCUUGUGGUUCUCCAUCUGCUGAUGCUUGCCUUCCAGACUGAUAGCCUUGUCCACUAACUCUUGAUAGUUCUCAAAAGUCGCUACCAUCAACUGAACUCCCACCUCAUUGUUCACUCCCUCCAGGAAUUUCUCCUGCUUGGCUGCAUCGGUGUCCAGUCACCUGGUGCAUAACGAGACAACCUGCUGAAGUCCUCAACAUACUCUGACACUUAGCAACCUUCCUGGCGCAAGUAAUGGAACUCUCUCUUCUUGAGAGCCAUAGCUCCAGCUGAAACAUGAGCAGUGCGGAACGCCUGCUGGAAUUGAGCCCAAGUCACAUACUCCAUGGGGUACGUGACGGUGUAGCUCUCCCACCACGAAGCGGAUGGUCCGUGCAGUUGGUGAGAGGCAAACCUCACCUUCUCCUGAUCAGUGCAUCCUGCUAUGGCCAGCUUCCUACCCCUGUUGCGAAGCCAGUCAACUGCGACGAUCGGCUCCGGUAUGCUCGUUAAGAUUGGCGGGUUUAGCCUUAGAAAACGGGUAAGGCUAUCAAUUGGUGGUGCAGGUGGAGGUGGAGGCGGGUUGUUGUUCUGGUUCAUGUUCUGCAUCAACAUGUGCAUCAUCUGGGUCUGGGCUUGAAGCAAUUGUGCCAAGGCGGGUGGGACAUCUUCCGGUUCACGCCUUGGUGGCAUCUGUUGGGUCAGCAUAGGUGAGGUAUAGAGAGAAUUAGGCCUAAGGGAGAAACACUACCCAUAUGCAAUGAUAGCAAUUAAAAUCCAAAUCAUUCCAAUUCAAUUUUCAAUCAAGAAAGUUCACAUGAAAACAAAUCUAAGGUGAGCCAUGUCACAAGAGUUGACCAGGUUUCACAAAUAAAUCAAAACGAAAUACUAAUCGAAUAUCGAAUCCUAAGUUCUCAUGAUGGUCUAAAUCUACUCCUCAUCGGAAGUCAGAUCUAUCGUGCUGAUGUAAGCUCCAGUUGCAUCACUCCGUAUAUGCAGGAAACCCCUUAUAUAUUGGGAUAAAUACAAAAGCGGAGCAAAACGCUUAUAAAUUAGAAACACCAAAAUCCUGAAGUAACCACUGUAACCAAGUCACCUCUGCCGUCAAAAGAGCCAUCGCUCGCAACUCAGCCUCUGCACUCGAACGGGAAACUGCAAUUUUUUCUUCGUCUUCCAGGCAAUGAGAGAACCAUCGUCUUCCAGGCAAUGAGAGAACCACCAAGAAAAACAAAGUAAGCAGAAAGUGAACGGCGAUCAGAAGGAUCACUAGCCCACGUAGCAUCCGAAUAGGCCUGAAGCUGUAAAGAACUGGAGCGAGGAAAGAAUAGACGGUGAGAGAUCGUGCCCCGAAGAUAUCGGAGAACACGGAGGAGAUGACUAUAGUGAAUCGAUGUGGGAGUAGAGACAAACUGACUCAGAAUAUGAACCGGAUAAGAGAUAUCCGGACGAGUGACAGCUAGAUAAACAAGAGUGCCAACAAGAUGACGAUAGCGCGUCGGAUCAGGCAGGGGAUCACCAUCAGUAGCCGAGAGGUGAACAUUGAGCUCCAUAGGAGUCUCAACAAUGCGCUCAUCAGUAAGAGCAGCACGAGCAACAAAAUCCUGGAUAUACUUUUCCUGGGAUAUAAAGAAGCCAUCAGAGGUAGAAGAGACUUCAAUCCCAAGAAAGUAGCGAAGAGGUUCAAGAUCAGACAUAAGGAAUUGCUCACUAAGACGGGCCUUGACAAAGGCAAUAUACUCGGGGUCAUCCCCAGUGAUGACCAUGUCAUCAACAUAGAGAAGAAGAAGAGUCCGAUCACGAGGAGAAAGGUGAAUAAACAAUGCUGGAUCAUGAACACUGGUGAAAAACCAGCGGCAGUCACCACAGAGGCAAAACGCUCAAACCUGGCGCGGGGGGCUUGCUUAAGGCCAUAGAGAGAGCGACGAAGACGACAUACCAUGCCAUCAGGAACAGAAUACCCAGGUGGAGGCUGCAUGUACACCUCCUCACGCAGCUCACCAUUAAGAAAAGCAUUCUUAACAUCAAGCUGAGAGAUAGACCAGUGGCGUGUAGAGGCCACGACAAGAAGUGUACGAACAGUGGUCAUAUGAGCCACAGGAGCAAAAGUCUCGUCAUAAUCACGACCAUGCUCCUGCUGAAAACCACGAGCCACAAGACGAGCUUUGUGAUGCUCAAGAGAACCAUCGGAGCGAGUCUUAACCUUGUAGACCCACUUACAAGUGAUGGGAUGGACUCCGGGAGGAAGGGAAACAAGAUCCCACGUACUAGUGCGUUCAAGAGCAGCAAUCUCCUCAGCCAUCGCAAACUGCCAUUCAGGAUGAACAACAACCUGAUGAUAAGUAGUCGGCUCAAGAACAACAGCUCCAGCGGUGGAAAAUCCAAAGCGAUCAACAGGCGGACGAGGACAAGAACGCAAGCCAUAAGUAGGUUGAGACGAGGAUGACGACAGAUCCACAGAGGCAUCCACGGAACGUGAACGACGAGUGUAACACUGAGGAAAAGAUGGAACAAUGGAAGGAGGAAUCACCAAAAUAGAAUCGGGGAGUGGCGACGAAGAAGUCACCGGAGGUGAAGGUGUAGAAUCCGGUGACAUGCUAGAUGAGGAGACCGUGGAAGAUGGUGGCGACAAAUCGACUGGAGGUGGAGAAGCAGGGGGAGCGGAACGAGUAGGCAAAGGCUCGACGGGUGUGAUAGGUGUGUCAGGAAAAGUGAGAAAAGAGAUAUCCUCCACUGAAAAAGUCGAGGAAGAUGGGCGUGGGUAGAAGGGACGAGACUCAUCAAAAGUCACAUCCCGAGAGAUACGCAUCCGACGACCGAUAGGAUCCCAACAACGAUAGCCCUUAUGCUCAUCACUAUAGCCUAAGAAGACACACUCAACAGACUGAGCGGUCAGUUUGGUGCGUUCGCGAGGGGCAAGAAGAACAUAGCAAACACAACCAAACAAGCGAAGCAUCGAAUAAUCGGAAGAACGAUCAAAAAGACGCUCGAAAGGAACACCACCCUGUAGAGCAGCGGAAGGCUGGAAAUUGAUGAGAUAGGUGGAGGUGGAGACGGCCUCAGCCCAAAAAUGAGGCGGGAGAGAGGCAACAAUCAUCAACGCACGAGCCGUCUCAAGAAGAUGACGAUGCUUGCGCUCAGCCACGCCAUUCUGAGCGUGAGCACCAGGACAAGAGAAUUGAGAGAGAGUCCCUUGCUCAACAAGAACAGCACGCAACAUCUUGGAGAUAUACUCGCCAGCGGAGUCAGCACGGAACACACGAAUGGGAGAAGAGAACUGAGUAUGAACCAUGGCAGCAAAACGCUUAUAAAUGGACACCUCACUACAAGAAGUCAUGAAAUAAAGCCAUGUGUAACGAGAGAAGUCAUCUAUGAAAAUAAUAUAGUAUUUAUGACCCCCUUCCGAAGCGAAGGGAGCCUGACCCCAUACAUCAGAAUGAACUAAAUCAAAAGGACGCUUAGACACUGACUCACUAUGUGGAUAUGGUAACUGAAUCUGCUUGCCAAGACGACAACCCUGACACUCUAAAGAGGCAUCUCCCGAGACAGACUUCAGAAGACCUCGACGAACUAACGACGACAAACGAGAACCACACAGAUGACCAAGGCGAUGAUGCCACUGCUGGAAGGAACCAGUAGCCGAGGCAACCAAAGCGGAAGAACUGGCGAUAGAGUGGGCAGCGGAAGGAACAUGAAGCCAGUCCAACUCCCAAAGACCCUCAGAAUCAUGGCGGCGAAGACCAGCCCCAACCAGAGUGUGCGUGCGACGGUCCUGGACAGAACAAGAGUCAAGGUCAAGGAUGACACGACAACCAGAAUCAGCAAGUUGACCAGCUGAAAACAGAUUCAUGGUAAGUCAAGGAACAUGAGCAACAUCAGGAACAAAAUAAGGAGUGGUAAGAUUGCCUCUACUAACGACAGAAAGGGGAGUACCAUCAGCGGUGAGGACAUGAACGGGAGAAUCAAGUGAUCGAAGAGAGGACAGAGUGGAAGAAUUAGAAGUCAUAUGAAAGGAAGCUCCAGAGUCCAGAACCCAUGGGGAUGUACCUGACCGUGUAGAAGGUGGUUGCUCAGUGCGGGAAGCCUCAGUCACAGAACCAGCAGUACCCGUCGAGGAAGAACCUGAAGCAGCGAGCAGACGCUUAAGUCUCAGAAUAUCCUGCUCAGUCAAAGCGAUGGCUGAAGCUGUCGAGGUAGAGGACGAAGUCGCUGUAGAUGAUGAUCGCGCCUUGCGCAAGUGUUUUUUCUUCGUGUAGCAGUGUGACUCAAUAUGACCAUCAUUGUUGCAGUAGUCACAAUGUGGACGGGGGCGACCUGAGCCUCCAGAACGGGUGGGCAAGAGCGGCGGAGCACUGGAGCGAGAAGGGGCCGGUGCAGCAGGUGGCGUAGAAAAAGUCCAAGCAGCGAGCACCGAGGGAACCUCCAGCAAACCAGCACCACGUAAGCGAGUCUCCUCAGCACAAAUCUCAGAAAGCGCCUCCAUGAGAGAAAUACGGCCACGAGCAAACAACUGAGCACGCCGGGGCUCAAACUCCUUACGGAGCCGAGACAGGAACUCGUAGACGCGAUGAAACUCCAAGUCGGCCUUGACAGCCUGGCAACAGGGGCAAGUACGGCAACCAGCACUGCGGAGAGAAUCAAGCUGGCGCCAGAUAGCAGAACUCUGUGCAUAGAAGUCAUCACCAGUAGAGUCACCCUGCUGAAGAGCAUGCUCCUGACGGACCAUAGAGAGGUAUAAGGCAUCACCAGAGGGCUCAUAGCGUUGACGAAGGCGAGUCCACAUCUCAAACACAGUAGAAAGGCUCAAUAGCAGAACGCUAGCAGUAAGAAUAGCUGCAGCACGAGCAUCAUCAUCAAGCCACUGGGUGUAAGCAGACAGAGGACCAUGAUAUGUCUGAAGAGCCUCCUCAUAAGCCAAAACCUUCUCAUCAUAAGCACGGAUAGCGGCCUCAUCAGCAAGCUUAGCUGCAUCCUUUGUGGCCUGAGAAGCAUCCGCAGUAAGAGCCGGUGGGGUCGGCGGAGUGGGAGGCACGGGAGGAACCGGACACGGCGGACAACAGACCUCGCCAGAAAGAAAACCCCAUAGGCGGAUGCCACGCAUGUGAAUGCGCAUGAAGCCAAUGAACUCGGUGUAGUUAGUGCCAUCAAAGAUCACCGGAGAACGAGGAACAACAACGUAGCCGGAUGCUGCAGACAUGUUUUUUUUUAAACGCAGUCAACAAACCGCAGCUGCGUCAGGAGCCGCAUCGGUCUGAGCCAUGUCGAUCUGGAUCGGCAGCUGCGUCAGGAGCCGCGUUGAUUUGGAGCUGCCCUCAGUAACAAAUCCGGCUGGGAGGACGGGAGAAACCGGGAUCCAGCAGCAGUACGGCAGGUGGGAGCGGUGGGAUCCAGCAGCAGGUCUGGAGGCGGCGUCGGGAUCCAGCAGCAGUACGUCAGGUGGGAGCGGUGGGAUCCGCGGUUGACUUCACCGAUCCGACUGGGAUCCAGCAGCAGGUCUGGAUCCGCGGUUGACUUCACCGAUCCGGCUGGAAUCCAGCAGCAGGUCUGGAGCGGUGGGAUCCAGCAGCAGGUCUGGAGGCGGUUAACUUCACCGAUCGGGGCAGGACGGGCAGGGGCUGGCGGCGGCCUCGAUCGGGGCGGGACGGGCAGGAGGCGAUCUGAUCGGGACGGGAGGGAUCCGCAACGGAAUUGAUCCAAUCGGGUGGAUGCGCUCGAGCAGGACGGGAGACCGAGGCAGCGGCUUCGAUCGGGGCGGGAGAAGGAGAUCGAGGACGAACUCGAUCGGGAGCAGAGAGACGGAUCAAUCGCACGAGUUGCAGCGUGCAAAAAAUUGACCUAGCUCUAAUACCAUGUUAGGAAUAAGCAACUUGUAUUCCCAUGAGGCCAUAGGUCGGUAUAUAUACAUGUACAGGUGAUGGACUAUAUGCAGGAAACCCCUUAUAUAUUGGGAUAAAUACAAAAGGGUACAUGACUUAUAUUAUAACUCUAACACUUAUGACCCCCUUUCGAAGCGAAGGGAGCUGGGCCCCAUACAUCGGAAUGAACUAAAUCAAAAGGACGCUUAGACACUGACUCACUAUGUGGAUAUGGUAACUGAAUCUGCUUGCCAAGACGACAACCCUGACACUCUAAAGAGGCAUCUCGUGAGACAGACCCCAGAAGACCUCGACGAACUAACGAUGACAAACGAGAACCACACAGAUGACCAAGUCGAUGAUGCCACUGCUGGAAGGAACCAGUAGCCGAGGCGACCAAAGCAGAAGAACUGGCGAUAGAGUGAGCAGCGGAAGGAACAUGAAGCCAGUCCAACUCCCAAAGACCCUCAGAAUCACGGCGGCGAGGACCAGCCCCAACCAGAGUGUGCGUGCGACGGUCCUGGACAGAAAAAGAGUCAAGGUCAAGAAUGACACGACAACCAGAAUCAGCAAGUUGACCAGCGGAAAACAGAUUCAUGGUAAGUCGAGGAACAUGAGCAACAUCAAGAACAAAAUAAGGAGUGGUAAGAUUGCCUCUACUAACGACAGAAAGGGGAGUACCAUCAGCGGUGAGGACAUGAGCAGGAGAAUCAAGCGAUCGAAGAGAGGACAGAGUGGAAGAAUUAGAAGUCAUAUGAAAGGAAGCUCCAGAGUCCAGAACCCAUGGGGAUGUACUUGACUGUGUAGAAGGUGGUUGCUCAGUGCGGGAAGCCUCAGUCACAGAACGAGCAGUACCCGUCGAGGAAGAACCCGAAGCAGCGAGCAGACGCUUAAGUCUCAGAAUAUCCUGCUCAGUCAGAGCGAUGGCUGAAGCUGUCGAGGUAGAUGACGAGGUCGCUGUAGAUGAUGAUCGCGCCUUGCGCAAGUGUUUUUUCUUCGUGUAGCAGUGUGACUCAAUAUGACCAUCAUUGUUGCAGUAGUCACAAUGUGGACGGGCGCGACCUGAGCCUCCAGAAGGAGUGGGCAAGAGCGGCGGAGCACUCGAGCGAGAAGGGCCGGUGCAGUAGGUGGCGUAGAAAAAGUCCGAGCAGCGAGCACCGAGGGAACCUCUGCAAACCAGCACCACGUAAGCGAGUCUCCUCAGCACGAAUUGCAGAAAGCGCCUCCAUGAGAGAGAUACGGCCACGAGCAAACAACUGAGCACGCCGGGGCUGAAACUCCUUACGGAGCCGAGACAGGAACUCGUAGACGCAAUGAAACUCCAAAUCGUCCUGGACAGACUGGCAACAGGGGCAAGUACGACAACCAGCGCUGCGGAGAGAAUCAAGCUGGCGCCAGAUAGCAGAACUCUGUGCAUAGAAGUCAUCAACAGUAGAGUCACCCUGCUGAAGAGCAUGCUCCUGACGGACCAUAGAGAGGUAUAAGGCAUCACCCGAGGGCUCAUAGCGCUGACGAAGGCGAGUGCACAUCUCAAACACAGUAGGAAGGCCCAGAAACUCAGAGGCAAACUGAGGCAGAACGAUAGCAGUGAGAACAGCUGCAACACGAGCAUCAUCAUCAUCAUCACGAGCAUCAUGAUACGUCUGACGAGCCUCCUGAUAAGCCAAAACCUUCUCAUCAUAAGCACGGAUAGCGGCCUCAUCAGCAAGCUUAGCCGCAUCCUUUGCGGCCUGAGGAGCAUCCGCAGGAAAAGCCGGUGGGGUUGGCGGAGUGGGAGCCACGGGAGGAACCGGACAUGGCGGACAACAGACCUCGCCAGAAAGAAAACCCCAUAGGCGGAUGCCACGCAUGUGAAUGCGCAUGAAGCCAAUGAACUCGGUGUAGUUAGUGCCAUCAAAAAUCACCGGACAACAAGGAACAACAACGUAGCCGGAUGCAGCAGACAUUUUUUUUACUCGCAGUCACCUAAACGCGUAUCGCGUCUGAAACCGCGUCCGUGUCUGGGGCCGCCUCGAUCUUGGGCCGCCUCGGUCUGGGCUUCUGGCAAACUCCACUCCACCAUGAGCUGGACGAGAUCGGGAUGAGAUCUGGUCACGAGCGGGAGCGGCGAGCGAAAAGAACCAGAGGACGGGGGCGGCUGGAUCCGGCGCGAGUCGAUCUGGAGCGACGCCCUCGACCUGCCAGGUGAAGAACCAGAGGACGGUGGCGUCUGGAUCCGGCGCGAGUCGAUCUGGCGUGGGCGCGAGUCGAUUUGGAGCGACGCCCUCGAUCUGCUAGGUGAAGAACCAGAGGACGGGGGCGGCUGGAUCCGGCGCGAGUCGAAUAUGGGAUUGGAGCCGCCUCGACCGAAACUCCUCCACGUGAGAGCGGGACGAGACGAGCGGAGCAGACGAGACGAGCGGGACGGGGUCGACGCGACGCAGCGAGAAUUUCACGACGAGGCGAGCGGGACGAGGUCCGGCACCAGAGGGGGAAGAUUAGAUCGGGAAGAGCACGAGUUGCGCGUGCGAAAAAAGAACCUAGGCUCUAAUACCAUGUUAGGAAAGCAACUUGUAUUUCCAUGAGGCCAUAGGCCAGUAUAUAUACAUGUACAGGUGGUGGACUAUAUGCAGGAAACCCCUUAUAUAUUGGGAUAAAUACAAAAGGGUACAUGACUUAUAUUAUAACUCUAACAGAAAUAUCAGAAAUAACACACAUCUUUAUUACAUCGAUAGUCCAAGAAUGAAAUAUUUAUUACAAUAGUGUGGCCUAAGGCCAAAGAGAACAAAAUACCGCGGAAGCAAAGAAGUGUAACGAGUCCAUCAACUCCAUGAGCAAAAAUUGAGUGUAGAACAUCGACCUAUCGUACCUUAAUCCUCAUCGGAUAAAUCUGCAACAUGAUAGGUUGCAGCUACAUGGAAUGUACUGGCAAGUCAAAUCAUAAGAGAGUAAUGAGCCUACUUGUACAUGCAAUUUGGUUGGUGGAAAGCUCUAAGUUUAGUUUUGCGUAAAGCUGGUUUUUCCUUAACAAAAAUAAUUAUUCUACUUCUACAAAUAUCAUAAGAUUGAGAUGAAAACCCCAACUCAAUCCAUUCCCCAAGUUGUGUGUCAAUACCCACUUGAUUAAUUCAAGAGUGACGAGACCUCCUGGCAUUUCCACUACUAAAAGCUCAAGUCCGUAACCGGGGACACGGCUAAUCGAUUAGAUUGACACUCUGCAAAGGUUGCGCACUUUUCCCCACAAGACUCGACCACUUCCUUGAUCGGAAGAUCGAGACAUAGCCUUUCGAAAGCAUUUCCCUUAUCCCACGGAUAGGCCGGUGCACCUACAUCAUCUACAUCUGCUAGCCUAUCCCGGAAGAGGUCAUACCAUCUACUCAACUAAGCCAGAGCCCAUAUUGGCUUGUGGCUGCACACAUAAGCUUAUAGACAUGAAAAUACAUUUGAUCCCUUUGAGCCUGGGUGGACGAACCACUAGUGUGCACUCCCAUGGAUUCCCCAUGAAUGCUCCCACUGUACUUCGCCACCAUUCAAACCAAUUUCCGCCCAGGUAGUUCAUUAGAAGUAUUGGUCCUGAUUACUACUUGGCACUCAUAUCUCAAUGUGAAAACACUCCUCAAUCCACGUCUACUUUGGCGAAACAUCAUAAUCUAACACGGUGGCGACAAAGUAUGUACGGUUCAGACCUACCUCAUGUGAACUACUAGGUGCAAGCAUAGCCAUCCGGCAAAAUUUCCUACCAUGCAAUCCUACCACCAAAGGACUAUGUGCAUAUAAAAACAUAGGUAAAAUCAGGUAUGAUCAAGAUGUAGACUUGCCUUGGCACUGGGAGUGAAGUUCUAGAGAAUGAUAGUACUCGGCUUCGCACUCCGGACAAUCUAGCGCAAAAUUAAAAUGAACACACAUAAACAAACGUUCAUACAAUUCAAAGUAACAUGCAACACAAAUAUUCGUAAAAGCCAAAUAAUAUCCAACACACGUAAAUAGCAUGCAAUUUUUGUAAGUAUAAAAUAAAGAUGUGAAAAUAUGGUUAAAAAUCGUGAUGUGCACUAGUGUUCCUACAAGGCAUGCUAGCAAAAUUAUCAAGAACAGAAGCUAAUAACAUGGAAAAUAGUGUGACACUGAUCCCAAGUCAUAGGAUUUAUCUUAGGUGAUGAAGUGCAAAAAGAUUCAAUUUAAACGGGCUUACGGUUUGCAAGACAUGGCCUAAUAGAGUUUGAAUUCAAAUCUGAAAUAAAUUCAAAUUUGAACUUGCAAAAGUUUGCAAUGAAAGGUUCUCCGGAUAGAUUAUUCGAGACGAAGAAUUUGCCGCUGGUUUCAUCUCGUUUGGAUUUACGAGCACACAGUUGUGCUAUUCGAAGACUGGAAGCAAAUCUGAAAAAAAAAAUCUGCACUAGACAGAUUCUUGGCCACAUGGCGACACACGAGUGGCUGGGAGGUGUUUGCUGCCUAGCUAAUCUAGCGGAUGGCCGGCAAUUAAGCAAAACGGCGGCGACAACUAAUUAAAAAAAAACUGACAUUCGGUUUUAAAUAAACCGUGCGAUUUAAGGGAUACUCCGGUUAACCAGAUACCCCUUCGAUCUAAAAAAACAAAACACCUAAUCUAAUAUAUAGUAACGUGAGGGCAGCGGCUUAUAGAGGCAACGACGCUCGCGUCAGGCAGAAGCUCGGCGUCGGCGUGGCGGCGGCUGCGGCCGUCCUCGAUAGCGGGGAAGGAGACGGGCGGGUCCGGCUCGGCGAGGGCGGCCGAACGGUGGUGGUGCGGGGCAUCGAUGACGUCGGGGUAGAGUAGGGCGAGGUGGUGAAGCGAACUCCGGUGGCGCAGGGUCGAACGGGAGGCGUCUUCGGCGAUCCUAGGGGCACAAAAACGUGUCAAAUACGUGCACAAGGACUUGGGCGUCCGAUUUUCGAAGAGAAAAGAGGCCACGGUGGUUUAUUGGCGGUGUGGUACUCCGGCGAAGACGGUCCGGCCGGCGAGAUGCAAACGGACGGGGUGGUGGUUGUGAGCGGCGAGAGGAGGAAUGGGACGGCUGAAUGGAACGAGGGGCUCGAGGGCCUUUUAUAAACGUCGCUAGGGCGUCCGGGAGCGAGGGGGUAAACCUUAUGCCAGGGGUUUCGUGCGGCCGGUGCGGGAGGACGAGCAGUGGUGCCUAUCCCGCUGGUGUCGCGGGAGGUUGGGGACGACCUGCGGCUAGGGCCCAUGGGCCAGCGGCGGCAGCGAGCGAGAGACGAGCGAGGCGAGCUGGCGAAAGGGACGCUAGGCGCUGGCGGCCUGACUGCCCUGUGCGUGCGUGUUGUGUGCCCCUGACCGAAACCUUGUUUCGGUCGUGGUGUGCCCCUUUGGACAUAAAGUGCUUUGAAGAUAAAAACAAAAUAAGAGUACACAUAAAAAAAUACCAUAGUAAUUUAUAAAAUCAGUAUUGAUAAUAUAGAGCAUAGUGGACAUUAAUUCAUGCUCAUGAUUUUUUUUUUGAAAAUAAGUAUUUUAUACAAUAAAUGCAUUUUUUGGCAAUAAAUUAAUUAUCAACAGAACACGAAAUUCUCCAAAUGAUAUUCCAACACCUUCCCAGCUCAUUUUAUAUUUGAGGAAGUCAUAUUAUCCUCUCUCUUUUAUUUUUCUUGAGUGGGAAAUAUUUGAAAAUCAUAAACUCCAAAAUGCAAUAAAUCAUGAUAUGCAAAUGAUGAUUCUAUUAACAUCCAAAUUUAAUAAAAUUGGGAUGUUACACACAUGUUCGACACGAUGCCUGAGCUGCACUGACACCAUCUUGGUGUCAGCGACAGCUUCCACCGAAACAUCAGGUUCAUCCAAGGUCACCGUCAAUGUCGUUCCCGAGCUCUGCUGCCUUGACCUCGAACCAUCGGAUGUCCUUGAGUUUGUCACAAUGCUGCCCACAUGUUUGACAGAUGGUCUGAAUGACGACCCCUUGGUCAUCCCUGAGCAGCAGGACCAUUCCAAGGAAUGUGAAAAUUCAGUACAAGAUGCCAACAUUCCCUGUGAGUUUCAUGUCAUCAACGUAUGUGAGUUCCCUGCAUCUGUCACCCGCCAGCUCCUUUGUUGUGAAUUGCCCAAAAUUGUUACUGCCUUCGUUUGGGAAGUCUAUGAGGCUGGCACCUGAUCCACUAUAUGGGCAGAAGAACAAGAGGAGAUUCCUGAAACAUGAUCCGAGUGGUCGUUUCUUGUUGGGGCAGAGCGGCAAUAACAGUGAUUUAUUUCAUACUCUGUUUGUUAUUGACAAUCUUGGUACCCAGCAAUAUUUGUUGUUUCUGAUAGCUGAAGAAGUCGCUCACUCUCUGUAUCUGAAGAUGAACUGAAGAACAGGUUGACAGUGGUUCUAUUUUCGCCGUCGAACUCGACAACUUUUUCUGUUAUUGCCGUAUGUAAACUUAUGACGAUUACAAGGAUAACAACCUCCCGAUCAGCUGCGCCGGAUCCGCGUUUGUCGCGCCAUCCCACGACUACUUCCCCAGAGCUUGCGGAUCGGGAGUCUAACAGAAAACAGAAAAGCUAACCACUACCUGAGAUCGUGCAACAGCACGUCCCAGUUCCUAGCUACGAGCAUGCGCACAUGCAAGUGCUUAUUCGACGCUGAAACCCUACUGGAGCUGAGCUUAGGUCCAAGUCCUACAAUAUUUGGGUUGCCGGAGAGUUUUCAAGUCUCAAGGAAGGCUCCACAAGGUAUUAUCGACAGCAGAUAACCCCAUUUCCAAUAUGAAUUACAAGUUACUACAACGGCCAUGGGAUGUAGGAGAUUGGAGUGUCGGUUGUUCCAGGUCCUACCUGUUGGCUGGAGGAUGAGGUAAGUGGCCACGCAUAUAUGGAAUUGACACUAGUAGCAAGCUACUUGUUACAGCUCACGUUGUCAAUGGUACGGCUCGCUUACUUACCGUUAUCCGGUACAGUUGUGAGGAAUUAUUGGCAUUGUCGUGGGAUCCUGGACAGCGAGCAAUUAAUUCAACUGCAAUUAUCCGUGCCCGAAGCUGUAUUUUCAUCCAUCGGCUGGGUCGUAAUUCCUCAUAUAAACACCAGCAGCAACAAGUUUUUACAACAAGCAGUGAACUAGUAGCAAGUGAUGGGUUAGCAUGGAUUGCAUGCUUUCUUGAUGCUUGUGAAAUAUUGGGUCCUGAUUUUGAUGCUCUUGCACUGCUAAUAAUUGGACCUCAGUUGACAUACAUCUGCACGAGAGACCAAUGGAAUAUUGCUUGGUCUUAUUUGGGUUGAAAUCAUUGUCAGUGGCAGCCUGUUCCAUGGUCACCAUUCCUCUUAAUUCCAACUGAAAUGCAGCUGAUCAACGUACUUGACUAUUGCCAACAUGAACAGCUGAAGCAUGCCAGAGACUACUGUACUUUUCAGGUGUUGGGACCACUUUGUCUGCCACCAACGCGAGAAAGGGAUUCCUUGCAAUUUCUUUGGUUUGUGAUUGCUCUGGUGCAUUUCACGGAGUGGUAUUCUAGCCUGUACCCUGACAAGUUCUGGAAUCCAAGUUGUUUUUGGUCUAGUCAACGCUGGCAACUACUAAACCGACAGCAUCAGCGACGCUCGAGCCUGACCUCUUCAUGCCACCGCGAACGACCCGCUCUGUGGUGUGCCUUGACAAGCCUGAGGACAAGCAACAACAACUCCUAUAUCAGUUCAACUCUGUUAGCAUUUUCUGUCAGCAUUACAUGGAACGCCAUGUUGCUUUGACUUCUACAUAUCCUGCACUUUAUGCUGAACAAGCGACCAUUGAGGACAGCCUGUCUGGAUUUUUCAGUCAGUUUCAGUUGAUUUUUCAACCACGAUAUCUGGAAGCAUCCGAGUACUUGUCACCGGCAUCAGAUUUAGUUUUUUACCACAGUGCACCUGUAACUGCUGAAUGAUUGCUCCAUAUGGUUCUGUUUCUCUAUGGAAAUUUGCAUGGUCCAACUUGUUUGACAUUUUGAGGGCGAUUCAGAACACAUGUGCACUUUGGUCAUGCAUCCUGCGGGCACAGACUGAAGUGUCACUUCUUAUCUAUGGAAAUUCAACUUUGAAGGGACCAAGGGAGCAAUGGGUUCCAAGCAUUCCAAAGAUCUUCCAUAUCUGCACUCGAUAUUACCAUUUCCUGUCACCACAAAUCCAGUGCGGUUACAACAGAGCUAGCACACAACAUAUUUCUUCAGGCCGUGUUUAAGUUAUACACCAUGAACUAUGCUUAUCUACAUGGUCAUGCACAUAUCCAGAUAGCAAAUUCGGUUAUGGACAUUAGUCCCUCCCCACUGGAUUACUUGUUGCAAUCUUGCGAUGCUAGACACAUGUGCUCUGGUGGUUCUGCUUCCGUUUCAUGUGAGAUGUUUGCAAUUGGAAAUCUCUCAGUGGUACUAAAUGAAAAGUUGCAGUUCUCAUGGGAUCUUGGUGUCCCAUCUUUCUUGGGAUCGUUCACACAAGUGGGAUCAAAAGGGAGUAGGAAUACCGCAAUACCAACAUACUGCUGCAACCAGUACCUCGGCCAAGCUUACUACUUCAACAUGGUCCAUGCCGGCCGAGACUUCUACCUUGAUCCCUACCUCGAUCAAGACCCUGUUGGCGACGACUACUACAUAAGCCUCACUCAAGUCCAUUCUGACGACAAGUACAACACCAGCCAUGGCUACCAUGGCGACCACACUACAAUCAAGCUAAGUCAAGUGCCAUGGGAUCCAGGCGGUUUCAUAGGCCAUCUGCUCGAGGUUGUUAGGAAAGCAACUAAUCUUUAUUGAAGGCCCAAGGGGCAUAUACAUAUAUUACACAUGACUUGAGGUGCAAGGAAAGUAACAUAGACUAAUAAGGACUCCUAGACUAAUACUAAUACUUCCUAACACCCCCCCUCAAAUGCAAAGCGGAUGCAAUAGCAUUGCAUUUGAAGAAGUGUAAUACUAAAAAAAAUGAUAAUCCAAAUCCGCGUCUUGAGAGUGUCGUCGUAGCAUGAAGAGUCUUCAAAACUUGUCGAGUCGCCGAAGGAGAGAACGAAGAGAUGGCACAUCAGAGGUAGACACCGCAUCACUUGAAGAUACAAGAUAAGUAUCAAGAGAAGAUGGGUUGUCAAAAGAAGAUGACACAUCAAGAGAAUAAAGCAUUGUGCAGAAAAUCAUAGUCCACGACAACCGUCGGCGAAAGAAGCUCGGCGGAUAAGGCACGAUGGACGUAGAUCGACAAUGCAAAAGAAGUCCAGAAAAUCCUAUAGAAAACAACAAGGGCAAGUAGGCCACAAAAGUUGCAUAGAAAGGAUCAGGACCAGAGAAAGGCUGACGGACUAAGGUAUGGUGGACUCGCAUGGCAUGAGAAAACACAAAAUAUCAACAGAUUUGGUGGACGCAGCGGAAAACAAAGAAAACUAGAAAACUAACACUAGAUUAGGGAUGAUGGCAGCAGAAGAGAAAAAACAAUAUCAUGUCGGCGAAGGCCAAUUCCAACCAGAAUGUGCGUGAGACGAUCCUGACUGUGUAGAAGGUGGUUGCUCAGUGCGGGAAGCCUCAGUCACAAAACCAGCAGUACCCGUCGAGGAAGAACCUGAAGUAGCGAGCAGACGCUUAAGUCUCAGAAUAUCCCGCUCAGUCAAAGCGAUGGCUGAAGCUGUCGAGGUAGAUGACGAAGUCUCUGUAGAUGAUAAUUGCGCCUGGCGCAAGUGUUUCUUCUUCGUGUAGCAGUGGGACUCAAUAUGACCAUCAUUGUUGCAGUAGCCAUAAUGUAAACGGGGGCGACCUGAGCCUCCAGAAGGAGUGGGCAAGAGCGGCGGAGCACUCGAGUGAGAAGGGGUCGGUGCAACAUGUGGCGUAGAAGUAGCCCGAGCAGCGAGCACCGAGGGAACCUCCAGCAAACCAGCACCACGUAAGCGAGUCUCCUCAGCACGAAUCUCAGAAAGCGCCUCCAUGAGAGAAAUACGGCCACGAGCAAACGACUGAGCACGCCGGGGCUCAAACUCCUUACGGAGCCGAGACAGGAACUCGUAGACGCGAUGAAACUCAAAGUUGGCCUGGACAGCCUGGCAACAGGGGCAAGCACGACAACCAGCAGUGUGGAGAGAAUCGAGCUGACGCCAGAUAGCAGAACUCUGUGCAUAGAAGUCAUCAACAGUAGAGUCACCCUGCUGAAGAGCAUGCUCCUGACGAACCACGGAGAGGUAUAAGGCAUCACCAGAGGGCGCAUAGCGCUGACGAAGGCGAGUCCACAUCUCAAAGGCAGUAGGAAGGCCCAAAAACUCAGAGGCAAACUGAGGCAAAACACUAGCAGUGAGAACAGCUGCAGCACGAGCAUCAUCAUCAAGCUACUGGGUGUAAGCGGACAGAGCAACGUGAUACACCUGAAGAACCUCCUCAUAAGCCAAGACCUUCUCAUCAUAAGCAGUCACAGCGGCCUCAUCAGCAAGCUUAGCCGCAUCCUUUGCGGCCUGAGGAGCAUCCGCAGUAAGAGCCGGUGGGGUCGGCGAAGUAGGAGCCACGGAGGAACCGGACAUGGCGGACAGCAGACCUCGCCAGAAAGAAAACCCCAUAGACGGAUGCCACGCAUGUGAAUGCGCAUGAAGCCAAUGAACUCGGUGUAGUUAGUGCCAUCAAAGAUCACCGAACAACGAGGAACAGCAACGUAGCCGAAUGAAGCAGACAAUUUUUUUUUGCAAAGCAGAGAUCACGAUCCAAUCGGGAUCAGGACGGGCUCCAACGGCAGGUGGUGGAAGCAGCGACGGCCGUUAGCGCUGAUGCGAGAUCCGCCGCGAUCUGGUAGAUGGGGCGGCGUCGGUGCUGGGCGAGCUGGAUCCGCCUCAAUCUGGCAGGCUGGAGGCGGCGGCUUUGACCUGCGGGAACGAGAUGUCGCGGCGGCUGAUGGAACCUCGAUCUGGCAGGCUGGAGGCGGCGGCUUGGACCUGCGGGAACGAGAUGUCGCGGCGGCUGAUGGAAUCUGGUAACCCCGUGACGGGUGGCGGAACGCGGGGCCGGUCCGGCUUGCCACGGCAACGCCAGGGAAGAGAUGUCGCGGCGGCGAGCCUGCAGGAGAACGGCGAGCAGAGAAACCGGAUCGAGGAUUGUUGGAGGUGGCGGAACACGGCGGCCGGCGACGGAAUCCGUCCGGAGCCGAGACGGCGUCCGGCGACAGGAUCCGGCUGGAGGACUUGCAACCGAGGCACGGCCAGAAGAAGAUAAGCUAGCAGAAAAGCUAGCAGCAGCAAGACGUGAGGAGAGCAUGUCCGCGAGAAGAGAGGAUCAAAGAAAAAUACAAGAACAAUACAAAAUCGAUCUGUACGAGCACGAGUUGCGACGUGCGAGAAAAAAUAGCCUAAGCUCUAAUACCAUGUUAGAAAGCAACUUGUCUUUAUUGAAGGCCCAAGGGGCAUAUAUAUAUAUUACACAUGACUUGAGGUGCAAGGAAAGUAAACAUAGACUAAUAAGGACUCCUAGACUAAUACUAAUACUUCCUAAUAGAUGUCAAGCCGAAUUUUAAGCAAGGAGGAAUGUUAGCGACCAACCCUACUCUCGUCUGGGCUGGGCCAUGUGUGCUGGGCUCGGGCUACACGGAGCCUCGGGAGGGAGCAGCUACAUAUACGAUGGAAUUCGCUACAGACAACUCGGCUAGGAAUUGGAUGGCUCCGGCCUUCUCUGCUUCUCUAUCUCCUCCACUGUAAUGGCUAACCCUUGGUGAAUCCAUGACUUGUAGUUCAAAUCGUUGAGCAGUUGACCUAUCUAAUAGAGUGUUGUUAACACCAUAGCUCAGAAUAAUGGUGCAAUAGAGAGUAUUGAGAUAUUCCUCUUUCCGACGAAUUCCCCUGCAGUAGUAACACUAUUAUCAAAGUGGACUGUUAGAAAAGAACACUCUUUCUAGUUCUGAUUUGUUAUGUAAUCUAAUCCGUUCUCAAAUCAUGAUGUUGGUUCAGUUGCUGCGUCUAAACUUAGUCUGUAUUUGCAGAUCCUAAUUUGCAGGUUAUAAUUUCAAUGACAUGGUAUCGAUCUUUGGCAGUCCAUGAUAUUUUGUAAUGUGCAUUUCUGUAAUGCUCUAGCAGAGCAGAUAUAGUAUUGGUUUGAAUUUUUUUGUUUUCCAAGCUUUAUUGUAAGUUCUCCGUGCUGAUUUAUCGUAUCUCUUCUUAUGAAGAUUCUUGCAUGAAAUGGACAUGACAUAUGCUGCUACUGAUGUUGUCGUUUCUCGAGCUGGUUCUGUGGCUUGCACUGAGAUAUUAGUCACUGGGAAACCGGCAAUUCUGGUAUCAUAUAUCACAUUAAUUUACUUGUUAUGUAAUUCCAUUUGUUUUCAGUAUAUGUACCUAACUCUACCUUUUAACAACAGAACGUAACCAGGUUAAUCUUUGUUGUGCUCAAAUUUUAACUUUCGUGUUUAAUAGUUAACUUAUUUUAAAACCAAUUCCUCUUUGCUGUGUUCAAAGAAAAAACUUGGAUGCUCUAAUUAAAUUGAUGUUAUGAGUUGUGUCAAAGCUUAAAGAAUAACCAUGUAGUAACAUAUUUGGAGUGCAAUAACUAGAUAGGUCUUUUCACUCUGAGACCCAUAAAAUGAUCAAUGCCGUCAUGCUGUGCCAAAGACCUAUUGCUGAAAGUAUUUUUAUUUUAAGUUAAUAGAAAAGGUGGACUAAUCAUGUGCAUUUAUUGGCCACAAACUGCAAAACCAAACUACAGUACAUGUUAUAAGUUUUAUCCUUUUUCUCAAAAUUUGCCUGUGCAAAUUUGUUCACAUCAUUUGUUUCCUGUUUCUUUCAGAUACCCUUACCCACAAUUGUGGAUGACCAUCAAACGAAAAAUGCAUAUAUCAUGGCAGAUGUCAUGGGAGCAAGGGUCAUUACAGAAGAUGAACUUGAUUCUAGUAGCCUA
rnacentral:lncRNA from 1 species